rnacentral:lncRNA from 1 species
AAAGAAAAGAAAAAAAAAACUCAUCUCCCUUUCCCUGCAACCCAGAUCCCUUCUUCUCCAAUGAGUGGAUUUAAGGAGUGAGGUGUGUAGAUGAGGGAAGUAGAUGCGUGUGAGGGUGGGUGCGCUUUUUUCUUUUUCUUUCUGGGUUGCAGGUUGGGGUAGUGGAAGAUGGGUGCACGGCGGAGGUGGAGCUGGGUGCAGAGAAAAAGGUGGAGGAUGGGUGCGGACCGUCGGACUUCGCCAGGUAUGCUAUCUGGGUUUUUUUGUUUGGGGGGGUGGUAAUGGAUCGGGGUUUCAGAGGUGUUUUUUUUUUUUGGUUCAAGGUUGCCGGGGGGAUGAUGGGAUCGGGUUUCAUAGCUAUUUUUUUUCUUGAACCUUCUUCCCUUCUCUCCUGUGCAUCUGCAAACUAGUGCAACAAUCAUUAGACUGCAUUGGAAUUCCAGUGCAAUCAUUGGAAAAACAAAAACAGCAAGAAUAAGGUUUUCAAACUAGCAGCGGCCGGGUUGCAGUGGUUCGACAAAUCCAACUCAUGGGAAUCGACUGUGGGUAUGAGACUAGUCGGUGCGGAAACGAAACACGGCAAAGUUCAGGGCGAGUCUGACAACGGGUGAUAGUGGACGGCGGCGGUGAGAACCGAUUCCAGUGAUGCGGGACAGAAACGGGGCAACAAGGAUGGCGAUGGAGCAGCGGGCAUGUAAUCCUGGGUCAGUCGGAUCUGGGUGAUGGGUUAGCGCGGGAGAUUCAAGCAGGUGGCGAGACUGGUUCGAGGCGUUGGACAGAUCGGUGGCUGGUGGUCUGAUGCUUGAUGGUGGUGGUCGAUCUGGUAGGGGAUUAAUGGGAUCUGGGGUUUGAAUAAUGGGAACUGGGUUUUUGCGGCGGAGGGGGUGGUAACGGAUCGGGGUUUCAGAGGUGUUUUUUUUUUUUUUUUUGGUUCAAGGUUGCAGAGGGGGGGAUAAUGGGAUCGGGUUUCAGAGAUUUUUUUUUGGUUAAGGGUUCAGGUACGAGGGCUUUUGGGUGGGGGUGGGGGGGGGGCGGGGGGAUCUAGAAUUUUUUUUUUGUAAAUUUAGAAGAUUAAGGUUUUAAAAAAAAAAUUAUUUGCCACGUGGCAUACAUUUGGCUACCACAUGGUAUAAAUGUGGUAGCCGCGUCAAUACUUAACAGAUCAAUGGAUGAAAAAUGUAACGAAUGUAUUAUUUUUAAAUAAAAUAGAACUUGAGGUAUGAAAUUCAAAUGUUUUAAAGAUGAUGCAUGAGGUUGUAAUAGAUCUCAAACCUGAUGAGCUAUUAUGUAAUUUACCCCUGAAGAUGUGUGUAGGUUUGAGUUUACGCAAUAGUGGGUUCAAUCAUCAAGACAAUUUUUUAAAAUUAGAGUAAAUUGUAGCAAUGGUCCCUCAACUUUAAUCAAAUUGGAGCAAUGGUUCCCCAUCACUAAAAACCAUUACCAUUGGUCCCUUAACUAUCAAAAUGUAGGCUACAGUCAUUUUCAUUAAUUUCAAAAAUUUUGUCAAAAAAAAUUAUGUUGGAAUAACCAUUUAAAUUAAUAAUUACUCUUAAUUCGAGUGUGUAAUUAUGGUCUUUUUCGGUCACUACGUCAAAAUUUUUGUCAAAACAAGUUAUGUUGGAAUGAUCAUUACUACAAUAAAAUUUAGGGACCAUUUCUCCAAUUGAAUUAAAGUUGAGGGGUGGUAAGAUUUUAGUUAAGGGAAUCUAGCUGGACAUGAUUGAGUUGAGGGACCAUUGCUUCAAUUGAUUAAAGUUAAGGGCCAUAGCUUCAAUUUACUCUAAAAUUAAAUUUCCACUGGCUCUUCAUCGGUAUAGACAAAAUUUUAACUUAAGGCAUUCCGCGAUUUAACGAAGAUAUGGAUGAGAAAUUUAACUAAGGUAUGAAAUUGAAAUAAAAUAGUAGUUAAUGUAUGAAUCUAAAAUGUUUUGAAAAAAGUUGUAUGAGGUUAUAAUAGAUUGAAGAUAAACUAUAAUUAAUCUCUUUUGCUUUGAUAUUAACAACUGUUAGAUCUGACCCACAAGACUACAUCAGAUUAAAUAUUGCAAAUCAUGUAAAAAAAGAAAAAAAUAUUAUUUUUACAUUUCCUGAUUGCUAAUCUUGGAAAAAAAUAGACCUCAACUUACUGCAACAUGCAUUCAUCAUGGUGUGGCAUAUUAAAUAAUAUUGAAUAAAAUUGAUUUAUUUUGCAACAUAUACCUUGGAAAGAAGAAUACACAGUUCCUCAACUUACUCGCAAACACAUUGACAAAGGCAAGCGCAAACAUAGUCGCCAUUAAAUGUGAAAAUAUGAACACAUAUUUUGAGAAAAUAUUUUGACCUUGGAGUGGCAGGCUAUGAUCUUUUCUUAGCCAACACCUUCUUUCAAGAGAGAAGAAUACAUGUUGAUACUACAAAUGGGGGUUCGCGAAAACACAAAAAUCUUAACAGAAGGGGCUUAUACUUGAGGACUUGGUGGAGUUAUACCAGCGAGGAGCGUGGCUAAUCAACAUCGCUUGUUGGUGAUGGAUGUAACAUAUCAAAAGAUGAGAAAAAACAGACAAGGGAAAAGGACAAGAUGUGGGGAUCUAAAAGAGGUGGAAAUAAGAGUUCUUCUACAGAGAACGCGGUUAAAUCCGAUAGAUUGGGAAAGAGUUAUUUUCAUUGGUAAUCUUUUCAAACUGAGGACAUGAAAGGAGAAAGCUUCUUUAGGGGAGAUUGAGUACUCAGCAAUGAGUGUAGAAACUACUCUUUUUAUGCCGUAGAUAUCCGGAGGAGAAGUUGUUGUAGCUUUGAGAGAUGAAGAAAGAAAAGGCAAGAAGGCACAAACAUAACCAAUCAAACAGACGUUUUUGGGAAAGUUUUUUGGGAGAUGGCUAACUGACUUUUUUCAUAGGAUUUGAAAAACGAAGAAGAUGCAAAUGAGUGGCGAACGAGUACUUUGGUGCCUAUCAAGAAAUAAGGAGAUGUCAAAAUUGCAUGAACUAUAGGGGGUAUAAGCUAAAUGAGUCAUACAAUAAGCUCUGGGAGAGAGUCAUUGAACAUAGAUUGAGGCAAGAGACACGGGUUUCAGACAACCAAUUCGGGUUCAUGCCAGGGCGCUCAACCAUGAAGGCAAUUUAUCUCUUACGAAGAUUGAUGGAAAGAUAUAGAGAUGGGAAAAAGGAUUUACACAUGGUCUUUAUAGAUUUGGAAAAAGCGUAUGAUAGGGUCCCAAGAGACAUUCUUUGGAGGAUUUUAGAGAAGAAAGGAGUACGAGUAGCAUAUAUCCAAAGCUAUACAGGAUAUGUAUAAGGAGCAAAAGACUGCCGUAAGAACUUCAUGAAGGACAACCGAAAGCUUUCCCAUAACUGUAGGAUUACAUCAAGGCUCAUCCUUAAGUCCUUACCUUUUUGCGAUGGUAAUGGAUGAGUUAACAGGACAUAUUCAAGAUGAUAUUCCUUGGUGUAUGCUUUUCGCAGACGAUAUAGUGUUGAUAGAUGAAACUCAGGAAGGGGUAAAUGCAAAGCUUAACCUUUGGAGAGAAGUGUUGGAAUCUAAAGGUCUUCGCCUAAGCAGAUCAAAGACAGAAUAUAUGGAGUGCAAGUUCAGUGCAAAUGGAGGCCAAAACGAGUUAGGGGUGAGGAUCGGAGAUCAAAAAAUACCAAAGAGCGACCGUUUUCGUUACCUAGGAUCUAUCUUGCAAAAGAACGGAGAAUUAGAUGGAGAUCUCAACCAUAGAAUACAAGCUGGAUGGAUGAAGUGGAAGAGUGCAUUCGGCGUGUUGUGUGACCGCCGUAUGCCACUGAAGCUCAAGGGAAAAUUUUAUAGGACGGCAAUAAGGCCGGCGAUGCUGUAUGGCACAUAAUGUUGGGCGGUGAAGCAUCAACCACGUACACAAAAUGGGUGUAGCGGAGAUGAGGAUGCUUCGUUGGAUGUGUGGGCACACGAGAAAGGAUAAGAUUAGGAAUGAGGAUAUCCGAGGUAAAGUAGGAGUAGCCGAAAUUGAAGGAAAGAUGAGAGAAAAUCGGUUACGGUGGUUUGGACAUGUGCAAAGAAGGCCUACUGACGCUCCGAUUAGAAGAUGCGACUAUGGGACAGAGGUUCAGGGCCGAAGGGGUAGAGGAAGACCUAGGAAAACUUUGAGAGAUACCCUAAGAAAAGACUUAGAGUACUUGGAUCUAAUGGAGGACAUGACACAGGACAGAACACAAUGGCGUUCUAAGAUUCAUAUAGCCGAUCCCACUCAGUGACUUGGAUUUUCCAAGUCUCCAACCGAGAAGUUGUCCUCGCUCGGGAAAUUAAGGGAACACUACCUCAACCUACAUGUUCCACUCACAAAGCUUCAACAUACAAGCUUCAACAAAAGAAAAUUCAAAGAACUUAGCGAAGAAGGUUUUGGUGAUUUAACACAAUACGUUGAAAUGAAGGAAAGCUUAUUUAUUGAUAUCCCCGAUAAGUUACAAAUAUGUACAUAUACUUGAGUCAAAAUAAACAAACAAGAUGGAGCCUUCAUAAAGGUUGCUUAGGAGAAGUCUCAGCAGUCGGUAGAGCCCCAGAAAGAGAAGGCACCGGAGGGGGAUCAUUCGGAGCCUCAGUACUAGACAGAACCCUAGAAGGAGGAGGCAUCAGAGGUUGAUCAUUUAGAGAUUCAUUACGCGGUACAGCCCCAGAAGACGAAGGCAUUAAAUUCCUUUGGAACAAACCUACAAAUCUGAUGAUCAGUAAAACUUGACCAUCAGAUUCCUUCUCUGGUCAAGCUUCCUCUUCAUGUUUGUAGGCUAGUCAUGGUGCGAGCCGGUCAACUGUUUUCUCAUGCUUGAGCCCUCUAAUCUGUUUUUGAGAACUCUAUACUUCAGCCGCCAAUGAUUCAACUUGGCGGGUUCGACAAAUAGGCGUUGGGCCAUAUUAGACACAGAACCUGCCACACUUGAGCCGAGAAUCCUUAAUCGCAACCAUCAGAUAGACCGGGAAUAGUAUGUUAUCUUGGAGUGAGAAGGUUCUGGCCACUACCGCAGCGGGUCAUAUCAUUCUUCAUCAUGGAAUCCACAACGGUAAGGACCAGUAGGGAGACGAAGGAUGGGCGCCAUAUGUUGUCUGGAGAAGGCGGGGCUGCCUCUCAAUAAGGUCAAGUCAAACGCGGUCGGAGGGGGGGACAUUUUCAAAGGUGUUGAGAGAGAGUCAGAAAAAUCAAGAUCUUAGAAGUGCAAGAAUGGAGCUUCUACUGGUGGAUAUUCAAGUGUGCUUUAGAACUUAAUGUCAACCCUAAAAAUCUGCACUCACAAGCUUCAAAUCGAAGAGCGCCUGCUCAGAAAUCGAAAGGCGUUUCUUUCUCAAAAGCUGGGCUGCUAAAAGACCACGAAGGCGAUCUCAGAAAUCUGAAAGUUUUGCUUCUCAAAAGCUGGGCUGCUCAAGACCACGAAGGCGAUCUCAGAAAUCAGUUUGAAAUGCCGAAGAGGAUUUGGUUUUCUCGAAAACUGGGCUGCUCAGAGACUACGAGGGCCGAUCUCAGAAAUCGAAGAGGCACCUACUUUCCAGCAUUGUCAGCACUGUCACACCACACUCAGAAAUGCGGGAAAUAUGGCAUUCGUCGAAGAUGUAUGCGAAGUAGAAAGCACAUUAUCGUACUGUUCAAUCAUCACUUCCCCACACGCAACAGUAAUAGGUACCACAUAUAACUUUUGCCAAAGUUUCUCUGACAAGUUAGACUACUUUUCCAGCCUUGUCAGCACCUGUCACACGCACACUCAGCUUUGCGGAAAUUAUGGCAUUCUGUCGAAGAUUUCUGGCGAAGAGAAAGCACAUGAAUCGUACUGUCAAUACCCCUUCCCACACGUAACAGUAGCUCAUGGGUACCUAUUAACUUUGCCAAAGUUUCUCUGACCAAAGUUGAGACACGUGAAGCUUGCAGCUCUCACACUCGCUCUUGACCAAGAAGGGUAAAAGAAUAGCAGAAACAACACUAACAAAGUUUACACAUAAAUUUUGAAGGCCUAGCUACCAUUAUUACCCACAAGGGUAAAGGAACACGUAUCACUGCUGGAUAAUUGGAAAGUCCCGGUGUGUCAACCUCUGUGCUUCGUGGCAAAGGUAGACUACAAACAUGACAACCUUUGCUCACAUUCGAGAAAACACUCCCAACAAGAUUGCUUGCCCCAAAAUCGAAGAGGCAUCGCCCUCCGAAUCUCGAGAGCCAGACUCCCAACAUUGAUUACUUUCUAAAAAUCAAAGAGAGGGUAAAGAACAGGUACACUGUUGGAUAAUUGGAAAGUCCCUGUGUCAACCUCUGUGCUUCGUGGCAAGGUAGACACCAAACAUGCCCAACCUUUACUCACAUUCGAGAAAACACCCCCAACAAGAUUGCUUGCUCCAAAUCGAAGAACCGCCCUCCGAAUCUCGAGAGCCAGACUCCUACAGAUUACUUUCUCAAAAUCGAAGAGAGGGUAAAGGAACAGUACCACUGGCGUAAUAAUUGGAAAGUCCCUGUGUGUCAACCUCUGUGCUUCGUGGCAAGGUAGACUACCAAACAUGCCCAACCUUUACUCACAUUCGAGAAACACCCCACAAGAUGUUGCUCCAAAAUCGAAGAGGCACCGCCCUCCGAAUCUCGAGAGCCAGACUCCCAACAUGAUUACUUCUCAAAAAUCGAGACAUCGCUCUCCGAAUCUCGAGAGCCAGACCCCUAGCAGACGCCUCAAAGCAGAUUGCUUUCAUUCGUUCUCCGAAAUCUGAGAGCCAGAUCCCCCCGACAGGAUUGCUUGUUCGAAAACCGAAGAGGCACCACUUUCCCAACUUCAAGAGCCGGAUUCCUUGGAUAAGUUUUCUGUAAAUCACACACGCACAUCUGAUUUCCAGAACCACACCAGACCAAAAAAGUCUUGACAGAGUAAAACUUGAAGCUCGAGCUCCCACUACCGUGCUAUGACCAAGCAGGGUAAAUGAAUAGCAUUAUUACUUGAUGUUAGGGAGACUCCUAUAUAUGUCGACCUUCAUCCCAACGGACAGGCAGACCUGCAAAAAUGCUCACCCUUCUUCUUAUCUGCGAGGGCAUUCCCACAAAGCCUUUCGAAAUAUUCAACUUUCUUUCCCCCCGAUAAUACCUCUGUAAACAAGCUAUACUAGAGCAAGAAUAUCUUCAUAUCAUCAGGGUUAAAAGCAAGAGUAUCCCAUAUCCAUGCUUUUUCCCUGUCUUUUCCUUGGCCUGUUCUUACCUGCAAGACAAGGAGAAAGAGAGCAAUUCAAUAGCAUUGGAAUUAAGCUUCCAGCCAGGAACAGGACUUACAUACUGCCUGGAACCCCUAUCUUGAGAUAGCUUACCCUAGGGCUGGAUGCCUCAACGAGGUACUCAUCUCAUCCACAUCCUAUGUAUUCCAGGAAACGUACCGCAUACUGCUGAGGAAUAGACCUAGGGCAAGCCUGUGAGAUGGUAUACCCAUAUCAUCUCUUCCCUCAUUUUUCCUCCUUUAACCUUCAUGUUGCCUGCAAGAUAUCAAAUGGAAAAUGUACUUGCACUUUGAUGGACAGCAGAUCCCAAUUCUCGGCUUACUUGAGGAAACCACAAUGGGUAAAGGCUUGACAAGCUGAAAACUACAAGAAAGCUUCAAGUGAACUCUUUGAUAUAUAACCUUGUGCAUCUCACCAGUUACAGAUACGCACCCUGAUGGAAGAAGUGAGUACUUCCAGAGAAGAUGCCACAUCUACCUAUGAGACAGAUAAGGAAGCCAAGAUGAUGAGACACACUGGUAUUUUAGAAGUUUCGUGGUUACAAGAUCAUUCUCCCACAAAUUAUUCCUAAUGUCAUUUGUACUAAAUUCACUGUACUCUAAAGAAGAGCUUGAACCUAUGUACUUUGUAAACCCUUGAGAAACAAAUUAAUCUGAGAAACUCCUCCUAUGUGAUCGACCCAAUCUAGCGGUGAAUCACGUACGCUAUCUUGUGUUUGCUUUCCUAUCUCUAUCCAUGUUAUAUACUUUUCCACACUAAUGACCGGAGCAAUCUAGCGAAGAUUAAGAUGGAACCGUUUUGUACCUUUGAUCAUCUUGCAAAAACGGGUGGUUAGCAUUGGGAUUCUUCAAAUAUAACAAAGGGAUAAUCGUGUAAGAGUGUAGGCGGAAGAGACCCGUAAGAAAAAGGAAACUUGGCUCUAAGCGGUAGGAACAUGACACCAAACCGAGCGCACACGGGCGUUCUAGGAUUCAAUCAUAGCCAUGACCCCACUUAGUGGGAAAAGCUUUGUUGUUUGUUGUGGGCCGAAAGUAUGAAUAAUUACUGAAACACUUUUAAAUUUAGCCCUAAACAAAAUGAUUGAGUUACAUUUUUCUUUACACAAUUCUUUAUAAUAAAAAAUAAAGUUUACAUAUAUAAAAUUUUGUUGUUUUACUUUAUUGAAAAUAUGAAAUAAGAUAUUUAUAUAAAUAAAACUAAAGUUUAAAAAAAUGGCCACAUUUUUCAUGGCAUUUUAAAAAAAAGCUGCAUAAUAACACUAUUUCUGUCCCGUAUUUUACCGUCAAUAUUUUAUUUUAUUUUUUUUAAGUAAGUAGUAAAGUACUUACUUUAGGAUAAAGAUGGUGGUUGAAUUAGUAAUGCUGUGGCAUUUAACUUUUAAUCAUUUUGAAAUAAACGCUACAUAAUAUGUUGGGGGUUGAUUGUUCGCUUUCUUAAUUAGUAAUGCAAACUAUUAACCUGUGGCAUGAUUUAAUCUAACGUUUACUAUGAAGACAAUCUUAAUUACAACUUUGGAAAUCUCCACAAAAAGUUUUUUCAGUGUUGGUGGAUUGUUCUAACAGACAAGAUCGUACAAAAAAUUUAUUACCUACUCUUGAGUUAAAUAUCAUGGAUAAAAAACUUCAAAGGAAUGAAAAGAAAUGAGGUGAUAACGAUUGGUAGGAGUAUUCUCGAAUCUAAAUGUUAGGGUUGCCUUCCAAAAUUAUACAAAAUUUUUUCUCAGUUAUGACGAAUAUGCAUGUUUUUCGUAGAAAGUUCAAUCUCCUCUCUCUUUGAAGAUAAAAGUCAAAGAAUGAAAAAAACUAUAAGCAACCAAAACCAGUGGAGGUACCAUGAAUUAAGGCCGAAGCAUUUGAGUGUUUUGGGUUGGAAUAAAGAGAUGAUCAAAACCCAUUAUAUGCAAAACAACAUAUUGGAAAGAUGAUAUUCAUGCUUCUUUAAAAUUAAUACACGAGUAAUUAAUCAAUUAAAUCACUACAAUUACGACCAGUUGCUGGUCAUUGGCUCUAUAGACAAGACUUUACAAAUCAACUGUCCGGAGCCUAAGGACCAAGUAAUUUGGAUCACUCAAAUUGAAUUCUACCAACCCCAUUAACAUUCUGUCGGUCCACCUCACACAAACAAAGUGCUUAUCUAUUGUUCACACAAACCAAGAGUCUGAAUUUCCUGGUCAUUAGGCUCCAAACACUAAGUUCCAAAGAGGAUCCAAAUUCAUUCUCUAAUAGUUUUGGGGUUGGAGGUGUAUCUGGACUAAAGGCAGCUGAAACUACCAAUUCAGCUUCCACUUGAAGAGUAUCAGAUCCAGAAAUUGAGUCUAAAUAUCAAAAGGGCGAAAGAAUCGGUUUUAGGGAUAUGGUUUUGAUGCGGAAGGGUUUUCCGAAAUCAUGAAAGGAAACCAAAUAUAAAGGAAAUAUGAUCCCCUCUUUAUAAUAAGAAAUGGGUCAUUAAUCCUCCUAUAAAAAAGGAUUUUCUAAAAUACCUUAGAAGGUGUUCAUUAGCUAAACAUAGCUUACAUGCCUUUGUAAUGCAACAAGUUUUCCCUCCAAAAAAGGGAGUUUGCCAAAUUAACCCUUGCAUGCCAGCAACCUUCCGAAAUGCAGGCAGCAUGCCAACCUUUCGCCACAGAGAUUCAUUCUUUACAAACCAUGAGAGAACGCUAUUACUUGUCUUCAAUCAAUAGAAUAUUGCAGAGUAUAAUGGAUUUUGGUUAUUGUAUUCAGUUGAGAUUAUUUUUCUGAUAUUGAAGUGGUAAAAAAAAAAAAGCAAUUAUCUUUGGAUUAUAUUCUCUGAAAUGCAUGAAACCCAGAAACUGUUUGCUCUAAUUACCAUUUACCAAGUUCAUCUUUGCAUGUCAAGAUCGUAUUUUCAGAUAUUAUCUCUGUAAGUAGAAAUCGGAGCAAUGAAAUCCAUUCCGUUGUCGUUGGUAUGUUAUUAGAUGUAACAUUUUCGUGCUACUGGUAGAUAGAUAUCAACCUAAAUGUUGCAGAUUUUAUAUGUUUUUUGGGGAUAGUAAUCGAUCAACUCUGGUGUUACUGACGUGUUUCCAAAUUUUGGUUUUUGACUUGUGUCCUGUGUAGAAAAAUAUAAGUAGCUCAAAGUUCUCUCUACAGAGUUGGGUUGGCGGAUUUUCUGGAAAAAAAAAUUCUUCUAACCAUUCGAGUGAUAUUGUUGGGACAAGCUCAGAUCCGAGCCUCCAAAGGUACCUGAAAAUUAUGGUGUACACAGCUGGGGAAGUGAUGCGAAUUCUAUUGCUGUCCCGGUGCUAGCUGCUGAUCGUCGUACCUAGUGCAUAAAGCUCCCGCUUUACGCAGGGUCUGGGAGAGGUGAAUGUCGGCUAGCCUUACCCCCAUUUAUGGAGAGGCUGCUGAUGAAAGCAAUAAAUUUAAUUAACGAGGUUCGUUUCAUAACUUGCUUAAAUGAAGAAGAUAAAAAAGUUAGUUUGCGCCAGAAGCUUCAUGAUUCAGAGUUGAGGAGAGCUGAAAAACUUCAAGUGAUAAGAGCCGAACAGAAGGAGGAUAUGGCAAUUGAGAAGAGGCUGUUUUAGAACAGAGGAAACUCAUCGAAGCUGAAAAGUUGCUCAAGUUAGAAGAGAAGAGGAACGCAUAUCAUCAAGCAUAGCUCGUGAAGCAAGGGCCAUGGAACAACUUCGUAGGGAGGAGGAAAUUAAGAGCCAAAGCUCAGCAGGAAGAGGCUGAACUUGUGGCCCAAAAAUUGGCUGAGAGACCUGGGGAAAGUGAGCAAGGCCGAAAGUUUUUCCUGGAGCAGAUUCGAGAGAGGUUCUAUGGAUUUCAGAGUGUGGGGUCAUUGCACCCAACUCUAAACAAGGAGGGUCAGGGAAGAAUUCGGCAAGCAAUGUUACAACACAAGAUUCAAUGAAUCGGAGAAUCAUAAGAAUUUGGCAAAGACUAAUGGCUCUAAAAUAUGAUUCUUCAUCGGAAUUCAAUAUCAGAAUUUUGAAUGACAACAGAUCACACAUGUUUAGAACACCAACAUGACUAAAUUGAAUGGCUCUUAACUAUUUUAUACAUUGUAGAGAGACUCGGAUCCUCACUUGGUACAAGCUGGAACAGCCUUCAAUUUCUUUUCACGUUCAACGGCUUUCUUGACCGUAUUAUCUUCCUUGUUAUUUAGGUGAAAGCUCACUACCUUUCCUUUCCACAGACCAGCCUCUUUUAGAAGUUUCGCAGCCUUGACAUCAUCUUCUGUCUCUGCAUAAAGUGGAUUGUCAUGGUAGAAAGUUGGAGCAGUGUUCUCCAUGGCCUUGGCCUCUCUGCGCUUUUACUGAACGCUGGGAAUUAGGCAUUUUCUGGAUUUUGUAGGCACGGUACCAAUUUUUUAUGCGUUUCCAUUCAGCGAGAACACCAUCCAUCAGCUUUCUGAUCUUGCCCAUGUGAUCUUGCAUGCAAUUACAUGAAAGCAUGUAAGUCGAUUCAUCGAUAUAUAUAUAUAUAUAUAUAUAUAUAUAUAUAUAUAUAUAUAUAUAUAUAUUAUGGAGGGCAUCGAUCAUUUCUAGGAAUGAAUUAACAGAGAAAUGUAGUCAUAUAUACACAGAGGAAGGAACAGAGAAUGUAAAAAGAGAGAUCGAUGAACAUACUAGACGUGAAGCUAUCUCUGAACGUAGCUCUCUCCCUUCCUUGCUUUCUCUAUAGCGCUCUCUCCCCUCUGUAGCCAAUUUCACUUGGAAAUGGAUCCUCUCUUGAUCUUUUUCACCUAAUCAUCCUCAUCAAAUAAUUCGGACCCUUAAAAUUUGAUCAAAUGGCUAAAUUUUUUAUAACUUUUAGAGUGGGCCCGUGAUUAUAGUCAUUUGAUCAAGUUUCAAGGGUCCAGAUUGUUUGAUGAAAAGGAUUAAGUGGAAAUGAGCUGGAGAGGAUCCAUUUCCAAGUGAAAUUGGCUACAAAGGAGAUAGAGAGCGCUAUAGAGACAGCAAGGAAGGGAGAGAUAGCUUCACGUCUGGUACGUUCAUCGAUCUCUCUUUUUACCUUCUUUGUUCCUUCAUCUGUGUAGAUAUGAAUACAUUUCUCUGUUAAUUCAUUCCUAGAAACGAUCGAUGCUCUCCAUAUUAUAUAUAUAGAUCGAUUGAUCGACUUACAUCCUUUCAUGUAAUUGCAUGCAAGAUCACAUGGGCAAGAUCAGAAAGUUGAUGGAUGGUGUUCUUACUGAAUGGAAACGCAUCAAAAAUUGGUAUCGUGCCUACAAAAUGUAGAAAAUGCCUAAUUCCCAGCGUUCAGUAGAAGUGAAGCGUAGAGAGGCCAAGGUCAUGGAGAACAUUGCUCAAACUUUCAACCAUGACAAUCCACUUUAUGCGAAGAUGGAAGAUGAUGUCAAGGCUGCGAAACUUCUGAAAGAGGCUUGUCUGUCGAAAGGAAAGGCAGUGAGCAUUCACCUAGAUAACAAGGAAGAGCAUAAUACGGUCAAGAAAGCUGUUGAACGUGAAAAGAAAUCGAAGGCUGUUCCAGCUCGUACCAAGUGAGGAUCCGAGUCUUUCUACAAUGUAUAAAACAGUUAAGAUCCAUUCAAUUUAGUCUUGUUGGCGUUCUAAAGAUGUGUGUGAUAUGUUGUCAUUCAAAAUUCUAAUAUUGAAUCCCGAUGAAGAAUCAUAUUUUAGAAUUUAAGGCCUUACUAGUCAUAGUGCCCGCGCAUUGCUGCAGGUGUUAUAAGUGUAUAAAACAUGUAAAAAGUUGGACCUUAAAGUACAAAAUAAGGAGCAAAAUUAGGGUCUUCAAUAUCAAAGUCUCUGCCAAAAUGAUCUUGGAUCUUCAGCUCAUGCUAUAAACCUGGGUACUAAAACAAUGUAAAUUAUUGAAACAAUGACAAUAAAUCUUGUCACUUGAAUUUCAUCUAGGUUUGAUCUAAAUUUGAACUACAUGCUGAUGAUCUGAAUGAAAGAAGGUAAUGGUAACAAUAGAAAUUGGUUCGAAUUUCUGAUGUCGUGUCAGUGGAUUUUAAUUUUUUAGACCACUAUGCCUAUUAUAUUUGUAGUAAGGAACGAACAUUCACAUAUAACAAAAGGUUCAGGUUUUAUCAAGACAUUUCAACACAGUUAACUAUCCAUGCAGAGCUUUUAAAUUAGUUUCCGAAAAGAAAAGUAACGUCUCGUUUCGAAUUUUAUUAUCUAAAUCUUACCCUUAUGCGAUUUAAAACUCGAAAAGAUGCCCAAACUAUAGCGAUCCUUUGCAAAAGAAACCGGCAAACAAAGAAAAAAGAACAAACCAUGAGCAAUAAAACUCACAGACCAUACUACACAAAAUCCCUAUAACGUAAAUUGAUAAAGCAUUUUACCCAAUCCAAUUGAAUUCCUGCUCACAACACGUAAGAAAAACUAAUAAACCAUUUUAUCAAAAUAACCGUUUAAUUUUAAACAUUUAAAACCGAAGAGAACCAAACGCGCAUAUUUGUAAAAAAAAAAAAUGGAGUGUUUUGAGUAUCUAAACCUCACCCGCAUCACUUAAAAAAUGUAGCAGCCCCAAUGGAAAGAAAACUUGCAAAACGUCGUCCCAGCACAAACACAACAUAUUAAACAAACAAAUGAAGACAAAAAAAAUUUAAAAACCGACAAUGAACGAUAAAAUUCAGAAAUCCCAAGACACAAAAUGGCAAACAACAUAAAAAUUAGUAAUAAAAGUUAUGAAAAAACAGACACCACUAUAGACAUCGAAAUUUCGGUAAAUAAAUGUUGACCAAUAAAUCAAAGUUUCAAUGCUCAUGUAUUACAUAAAUUUAACACGUAGCGUGUGUCUAAACAAAAAAUCGAAAUAAGUUGGAAAAGUCAUCAAACAUGACACGUGUCAACACCUGGCAGAAACGACUUAUUUCAUUUGGAAUAUUAUAUUCAAAAUUAGGCCUUGGAAAAUUCUAUAAAUACAAGCCCAUUUCAUUCAUUUAGGGGGGGAACCAAUUGAUAUUACACCUUGAAGCUCUGAAGCUCUGAAACUCCGAAGCUCUCAAGCAUCCAGGUUCCCGAAGAAUCAAGAAAGCCUUCUUCGUUCUUCGUUCAUCAUUCUUCCAAGAUCAAGCCCCGACAGCCCUUGAAGAAAGUGUUCUUCGUUCAUCGUUCUUCCAAGAUCAAGCCCCAACGGCCCUUUAGAUCAACAAUCAUCCACCAAUUCAAGAUCAAGCCCCGACAGCCCUUGAAGAAAGUGUUCUUCGUUCUUCGUUCAUCGUUCUUCCAAGAUCAAGCCCCGACGGCCCUUGGAUCAACCAUCCACCAAUUCAAGAUCAAGCCCCGACGGCCCUUGAAGAAAGCACCAUCGUUCAUCAUCCGUUCAUCCAAGAUCAAGCCCCAACGGCCCUUUGGAUCAACAACGUCAACAAAUCCACACAUCCAACCGUUCUUCAAGAUAAAGCCCAAAAGCCCUUGAAGAUCCGUUCAUCUUUGUUCUUCAAGAUCAAGCCCAAAAGCCCUUGGAGAUCCGUUCGUCAUUGUUCUUCAAAGAUCAAGCCCAAAAGCCCCUUUGAAGAUCCGCUCAAAUCCACCUUCAAGAUCAAGUCCACGGCCCUUGAAGAACGUUCAUCCUUAGAUCAAGCCCAACGGUCCUUUGGAUCAAUCACACAUCCACAAAUUGACACCUUACGGAGAUCGAAUCAGAUGAUCAAAAUAGAGAGAGAUUGUAACCCAAAACCAUCAAAAAUACAAAUAUUUGUUUGUGCACGUUGUUCUUGUCUCUUUCGUUUCAGGAAUUUUUCGUGUUCAUAAAUUGGCACGCCCGGUGGGAUAAUCUCUGCCUCUCAUCUCUUUCUCCGUUUAAGGAAUCCAAGCACACCUCAAAGUCAAUGGCAUCAAGCGAGGGACAAGCUGUUCUUGCAACCACUGAGGGAAGGAUCCUAAACACUUCUGCCGCAAACGGACAAUCCAUUGGCGCCACAACCGCUCCUCAACAUGCCACUUCAAAAUUAGUGCCGCUAAAAGAGCAAGGGGAGCAUCCAAGGUGUGAGUCUGUCAUCAACCUGACCUCGCUGGGGGCACCGAAGCAUGAUGUUGAGGCACACAAGAUGACGUCCCAAAGCAGCCAACGAUGUUCUUCGUCAGCAUCUUGAAUGUUUAAAGGAAAGUCACGUCUAUUGGUCGCACAAGUUAUGACUAUCGGCGUUACCUCCGUUGAAGAACAACUGGCUCAAAUGAAUGAAGCGAUUGCAAGGCUAACACAGAUUGUGGAAGAAAAAGACUUGCAAAUUGCUGCACUCGUCAGCCGACUGCAGCCACAGGACGGCGAUAACCCUAACCUAGAGAAUGAUCCACUAAAGAGAAGAGACGACGAAGAAGAGAAGCCUCAGGUGUAGAAAAACCAUGUGAAGCCGGAGCCAGACCAAGCAGCGGCACUCAUGGGAUCUCUUUCUAUCCAGCAGCUACAGGAAAUGAUCACCAACACCAUCAAGGCACAGUACGAAGGGAGCUCACAUACCUCCUUAUUUUACUCGAAACCCAAAGCAGCACGUUGCACAUUUCGUCGAAACUUGCAACAACGCGGGGACGGAGGGAGACUACCUCGCCAAGCAGUUUGUGCGCUCGUUGAAAGGAAAUGCCUUUGAGUGGUACACGGACCUAUAACAGAUGGGAGCAAUUAGAGCGGGAAUUCCUCAACCGCUUCUAUAGCACCCGCCGUACUGUGAGCAUGCUAGAGCUAACGAGCACAAAGCAGUGGAAGGACGAGCCAGUCAUUGACUACAUCAACAGAUGGCGCACUCUAAGCCUCGACUGUAAAGACAGUCUCUCGGAAACCUCUUCAAUCGAGAUGUGCAUCCAAGGCAUGCAAUGGGGUUUGCAAUACAUCCUUCAAGGCAUUAAACCGCGGACCUUCGAGGAAUUGGCCACUCGCGCCCAUGACAUGGAGUUGAGCAUCGCCCAUCAUGGGAAGAAAGAACCGAUCGCCGACUACAAGAAUGACAAAGUUCUUGGGAUAAAGGUGGAAAAGGCUGCAUGGAAACCCACUAAGGAAACGAUGACGGUCAACACAUCUCCCGUCAAAAUAUCCACGCGAGGCAAGGCGAUUUAAAUCGAAGCUUUUCGUGAUCAAAAGACACGUAGACGCACUUUGAAGGAGCUUGAAGAGAAGACUUAUCCAUUUCCCGACUUUGAUGUGGUUGCCAUGCUAGAUGACAUGUUGGACAAGAAGGUGAUCAGUUUGCCUGAGUGCAGACGGCCGGAAUAGAUGAAUCGUACUGACAGUCCAAGAUACUGUAAAUUCCACCGCUUCAUCAGUCAUCCGACAGAAAAGUGUUUCGUGCUGAAAGAUCUCAUCAUGAAGCUGGCUCAGAAAGGAAUCAUCGAGCUAGAUCUUGACGAUGUGGUGGAGUCAAACUAUACCACCUUCACUUUUGGCUCUUCCGACUUAAAGUUUUCACUUCAACCGCUGGGGGCAUCCUCCAAGACAAGCAAAGUUGAAGGAUGGACUCAAGUCACUCCUAAGAAAUUGCACAAGAAGCAUACGCCUCCUCCACAAAUCCGCCAAUCGGAAAGGGGGCAAAACAGCUCUUGUCAACCUUCAAAGCAACGUGAACGUGUUGAAGAUGAUGAAAUUUCGACACAUAGAUCGUCCAUCCCCAUCACGAUGCGUGAUUUCUUUCCUGAAGACUUCUUCAACUACUCAGUCAAGGCUCCUUGCUAUGAAGAUUGCGAGGAACGACUCUCUCAGAUCGCUUGACAAACCAAUGCUCCUUGUUCGCACGAGCCUAAAACUGCACGAACCAAAUAUCCUGGUCUGCAUGAGCAUAAAAGGCAACACAAAAGCUCCUUGUCUGUAAAAGCCUAAACUGCAAGACACAAGGCUCCUCGCCUACACGAGCCUAAACUGCAUGACAUAACGCUCCUGGUCUGCACCAGCAUAAAAGGCAACACCAACGCUCCUUGCCUGCACGAGCUGAAACUGCAACACGGCACCAAAUGCUCCUUGCCUGCACGAGUUGAAACUGCAAACGACACCAACACUCCUUGCCUGCAUGAGUUAAAACUGCAAACGACACAAAAAGAAAAUACCAAAAAUAUGUAUGUUUUUGAACUACGUUUUGACUUUGGAAGGGUACGUAGGCAGCUCGAGCAUUCGAUUUCGAGUUCAGUCACAUAAAAAAAAGGGAUUUGAUUAAAGUUUCAUUGGUGAAGGUCAAUUUUAUUACAAAAUUACUUGCAGUUUUCUUUGUACAAAAUUAAAUUACAGUUUCUUUGAAAAGAAAAAAAAAACACAUAUGUUAUCUAAAAAAAAAAAAAAUAUAUAUAUAUAUAUAUAUACAUGUCUGAGCCCAGCCACAAAAUCAGGCCCGUCUCCUCAGACCCAAACUGUGAGCCCAACAAGCUCAGGCUCGGCUCUCAGAGCAGAAAAUCUCAAAUUUGCCGUCCUUCCGUUUUCACACAAUCCUCCCUCCCUUCGUUCCAUGCCUCCGAGUCCGAGUCGCUCUUCCAAUUGAAUAAAUCCGGCGACCUAAUUCGGAUCCGACCCGGAAACCAGAACCCAACCAAACCCAACCGCCGAGUCGAAUUUGGAUUUGUGAGGGAGGAGGGCAGCCAUGGCGUGCAAGGCAGAUGAUGACUAUGAUUAUCUGUUCAAGGUGGUGUUGAUUGGUGACUCCGGCGUCGGAAAAUCCAACCUUUUGUCGAGAUUCACGCGCAACGAGUUCAGCCUCGAGUCGAAGUCGACGAUCGGCGUCGAGUUCGCCACUCGGAGUAUCCACGUUGAUGAGAAUAUCGUCAAGGCCCAGAUUUGGGAUACCGCUGGCCAAGAAAGGUACCGUGCAAUUACAAGUGCAUACUACCGAGGAGCUGUUGGCGCUUUGCUUGUCUAUGACGUCACCCGGCAUGUGACAUUUGAGAAUGUUGAGAGAUGGUUGAAGGAGCUACGGGAUCACACAGACUCCAUCAUUGUGAUAAUGCUCGUGGGUAACAAAGCUGACCUGCGUCACCUGCGUGCUGUUUCUGUUGAGGAUGCUAAGGCUUUUGCCGAGAGAGUCGGGGCAGUUUUCAGGCUCCGAACCCCACCGUCAACAAUGUUUUGCUUGAGACUCUCCUCCCAUACGGUCUGCCGAUGUCCGAUCUCCUUAAGCCCCAAAUCGAACCAUCCCUCAAAUCGGUUGAUUUUGUCGAAACCCUAGCUUACUUGUAUUCGAUUCAGUUCUCUCUUAGUCUGUACACCCCUCAAAUCACCAUUUCCCUUGCCAACAAGCCCACCACAGGCCACAAGUCGACCUAGGACCAGCUGCUCUUGCUCCUUUUGUAGCAGCGCCGUCAGCAGAGUCAUGAGAGAGGCAGGUUUCUCCAGCACCAACGUCAAGAACAACUUGGAGGACUCGUCAACGUCCUCCGUUUUCCAGUGUUACAGCAAUUCCGCCAACUCUUCCUCUCCCCCAAUCUGCGAGCGGACCAAGCAGGUUUUGGCUGGUUCGUUUCUCCACUCGUUUUUCCAAAAAAACCAUCGAAUCCUGCAUUCAAGUUUCUCCCUUUCUCUGAUGAAUGGGAUGAUAGUGAUCCCUAUGACAUUUGGGAAUUUUGGAUUUUGAUUUGCUUCCACAGAUGAUGUCGUGACAGAUCCCUAAAAGAUGGCAUAUUGGUGUUUGGCAUGGAUGGAUCUUGUUUUUUUCUUUUGUUUUGUGAUAAACCCAGAUGGAAUGUUUAACAAUUCUGGAUGGUUAAUUGUGUGAUGCAUACUUGCAAAAUGGAAAGCAUCGAAAUCCAUGCCAUAUUGCUGGGUUUGUGCUUUAUGUGCCAUCCAGAAGCACGUCGGCAUAGCAUGGCAAAUAGGGCAGCGUCUCCGCCGUUAAACAUAAUCCUUUGCAGCAAUUGGCAGUGCAACGGAUGCGCAGUGGCGGUGCUCGAUGGCAGUACAACGGGUGUGCAGCGGCUGUGCUCAGUGGUUGGGCUCAGUGGCUGUGCUCUGGAUUCUAGCUGGAUCCGACAUCAAGGUCACCUCCACCUCCUCCGUCUCUUGCCUCGCAGCUGCCAACAACUUCAAAGACCGAUGUCAAACGACUAGCCGGCCGAGAAGCUCUUCCUCAAACUCGAGCUCCGCUCCCUGCAAAUUCCUCUACCCACCACCCAAAUUUAUACAGAAAAAAUAUAUUAAAAAAAAAAAGGGGAUGGUGGAGCAAAGUGGUGAUGGCACCACGUGAAAAAAAAAAAGGUGCAUCUGGCACCAUGAUUAAAGGCCAAAAAAAAAAAAAAAAAAAGAGUUUGAUCUUUGGUGCGUCUGGCACCACGUGAAAAAGUGGGGUGCGCCAUGAUUAAAGGCAAUAUAUAUAUAUAUAAUUUAAAAAAUAAAAUUAAAAAUUAAAAAAUUUAAAUUUAAAUUUAAAAUUAAAAAAUGUUUUAUCUCUGGUGCGUCUGGCACCAUGAUUAAAGAAAAAUAAAUAAAUAAAAAAAAAGAAAAAAAAUGUUUGAUGUUUGGUGCUCUGGCACCAUGUGCAAAAAAAAAAAGGAAAAGAAAGGAAAAUAUAAAAAAAUGGAUGGUGCAUCUGGCACCAUGUGCAAAAAAAAAGCAUUAAGAGAAAUAAAAGUCCAUUUUAUUUAUUUUUUUUGGAAAUUUUACAUAAAUUCGCAUUCCACGUGUCAUAAAAUUAAAAAAAAGAAAAAAAAAAGACAAAUCAAAUUUACAGGAGGGGAUCUUCAAGAUUGAUCCGAUGGCGCCUCAGUACUCGGCGGAACCCCAGGAGGAGGAGGCACCGAAGGUUGAUCAUUUGAGGCUUCAUUACGCAGUACAGCCCCAGAAGACGAAGGCAAAUGCUGCUGGAACAAACCCACAAACCUCUGAUGAUCAAGUAAAAUCUGACCAUCAGAUUCCUGCAUCUGGUCAAUCUUCCUCUUCAUGUUUGUCGCAUAGCUAUGUGCGAGCUUAUGCAACUGUUUAUUCUCCUGCUUGAGCCCUCUAAUCUCCUGUUUGAGACUCAUCACUUCAGCCGCCAAUUAUUCAACUUGACGGGUUCGAGCAAAUAGGCGUUGAGCCAUAUUAGACACAGAACCUGCACACUGCACACUAAGAGCCAGAGAAUCCUUAACAGCCAACUCAUCAGACCGUUUGGAAAGUAGUCUGUUAUCUCUGGGAGUGACAAGGUUUCGGGCCACCACCGCAGCGGUCAUAUCAUUCUUCACCACCGAAUCCCCAACGGUAAGAGGACCAGUAUGGGAUAUGAAGGAUGGGCGCCAUAUGUUGUCUGGAGAAGGCGGGACUGCCUCUUCACCAAGAUUCAAGUCAAAACGACGGUCAAAGGGUCCAGACAUUUUCAAAGUGUUGAAGGAAGAAGAGAUCGGACAAAUCAAGAUCAUAGAAGUACAAGAGGGGAGUUUUCACAAGCGAAAAUUCAAGUGUGCUUUGAAACGAACUGCAUGCCUCUAUAAAAAAAUCAGCACUCGACGGGAUUUCAGAGAUCGAAGAGGCGAGCUCAGAAUUUGAAGAGGCCAUUCAAAAAUCGAAGAGGCAAGCUCAGAAAUCGGAGAAGCAUCUUGCUUUUCCAGACGCGUCGGCACCCGUCACACGCAAACUCAGCUUUGCAGAAAUCACGGGCAAUUUGUCGAAGCGCCGACCCUAGAUAUCGAAGAGGCGCCAGUCUUUUUCAGCCUCGUCAACACCUGUCAUAUGCACACUCAACUUUGCGCAAAUCACGGGCAAUUUGUCGAAGAUUUUCGGUGAAGGAGAAAACACGUGAAGUUUACUGUUCAAUCACCCAUCGGUUGCCGACACGAGUGAAAGAAUAGUACCUCUACAGGUAUCAAAGAAUUUCCUAUAACUGUCCACCUUCACCUUCCAUAGCAAGGCAGACAUACAGAGCAUUUCUUCAUCUCCAAAAAUGCUUUCCCAACGAAGCCUCUCGAGUCAUUCAAUGUUCCUUAUUCCUUGGGGUACCUCUGCAAGCCAAUGACUCCAAAGCAAAAGUAUCUCAUAUCACCAGGGUAGAAAGCAAGAGUAUCUCAUAUCAUGUGUUCUCCCUGUUCUUUCCUUUGUCCUUGUUCCUACCUACAAAGACAAGGAUAAAGAAAACAAUAUGCCGGAACUUCCACUCAAACUCGAGUAAGGAACCGACUGCUUGGAACCCUUCCCUGAUUGCCUACCUAGCACUGCUUGUUCUUCGUUCUUCGUUCAUCGUUCAUCGUUCUUCCAAGAUCAAGCCCCGAGGCCCUUGGAUCAACCAUCCACCAAUUCAAGAUCAAGCCCCGACGGCCCUUGAAGAAAGCACCAUCGUUCAUCAUCCGUUCAUCCAAGAUCAAGCCACAACGGCCCUUUGGAUCAACAACGUCAACAAAUCCACACAUCCAACCGUUCUUCAAGAUAAAGCCCAAAAGCCCUUGAAGAUCCGUUCAUCUUUGUUCUUCAAGAUCAAGCCCAAAAGCCCUUGGAGAUCCGUUCGUCAUUGUUCUUCAAAGAUCAAGCCCAAAAGCCCCUUUGAAGAUUCGCUCAAAUCCACCUUCAAGAUCAAGUCCACGGCCCUUGAAGAACGUUCAUCCUUAGAUCAAGCCCAACGGCCCUUUGGAUCAAUCACACAUCCACAAAUUGACACCUUACGGAGAUCGAAUCAGAUGAUCAAAAUAGAGAGAGAUUGUAACCCAAAACCAUCAAAAAUACAAAUAUUUGUUUGUGCACGUUGUUCUUGUCUCUUUCGUUUCAGAAAUUUUCCGUGUUCACAACCACUUGACACCAAAUGGCUUGACGCCAACAAUGACCCCAAAGGCAAGCAAAAUCCCAAACCAGUUAAGAAAAAAAUUAAGACUCCAUUCUUCUGUCAUAUUCUUUUCCCCUGUUUUGCUACCCCUAAUCCCAAAUGUGUCUUCGAUGCUCUUUGUCUCGUUAUUCUCUCACCUUAAUAUCUCACCUGCAAAAUCUUAACGCUGCUACUUUCCCUCACCAGCAAACCCUCAACACCAUGUAAUGCUAUGUUCUUCCAAAUCUAUAAGAAAAAAAAUGCAUGCAUAAACACGAUAGAAAUUUGCAAAAACCCACAACACAACCUAACUAAAAAUCUCACGGAUCAAAAGUUUCACCCAAAAGACCCCCCCCCCCAAAAUCUCUCUUAUCAAAUGAAUACUCCAAAAGAAAUUCAAUGGUUGAUAACAACCCAUUUAAAAUUGAACCCAAAAAAAUUAAAAGCUUCUGACAUUUAAAAUUGAACAAAACACAAUCCAUACAUUCUAGCAAAAACUGCAUGCAUAAACAUGCUAGAAAUUCACCAAUACCCACAGCACUGACCAAGACCCACAAAAUUAGCCAAAAGAUACAAUAUAGGGGAAAAAAGCUAAAUCUGGAAAAGGAAAAAAAAAAAAAAAAGGGGGUUGCAAAUCGAAGAAGCUGAAAAGAAAAGGAAAAAGGGCGUUAAGGGAGUAGCCAAACAGCUUCGAAAGCAAUUCAAUAGUUGAUAACAAUCCAUUUAAAUUGAACCCAAGAAGCUUCUACCAUUUCAAAUUCAACAAAACACAAUCUAUACAGUCGGAAAAAAAAACAGUACCAGAUGCGAGAUUAGAAGAACUCACCAAAAACAAAAAAACGAUUCCAUCCAACAAAAGAUUCAGGAAAAAGAAUAAAAAUUAUAUACCUUGUUGAUAAAGAGCUUGCAAAGCUGCAGAUAUAAACUGGAAAAUUCGAGCAACAACUUUUGCUGCAACUAAAAAUCAAAGCAGAUCAUAAAAGUACACCCAAAACUUGAAAAAAAAUUAAAUCACACACAAUCAGAAAAAUAGAAAAUUCACCAGGAAACGUUUGAUCGUAUCCUUAACUUUUCCUGAAAUCAAAAAUCAAACACAUCAGAGCAUAAACCACGAAAAAAAUAUAUAUUAAAAUCCUACAUGGCAAGAAAACCAAAUAACUCACCAAAGAACUUUAGAUCGCAUAUCACACAAUAAUGUUGUUGUUAACAUCCUCUUCGGUUCUACAAAAUCAGAAAAAGAAAAUUUGCACAGAAAACCCAUUUUGAUAUUCUUAUUUAAUUAUAAACUACAUCAUGUGGCAUUUUUCAGAUGCAGGAAAAAAGAAGAACAGAUGAAUUCCCACGAAUGUAACUCUUAAAAAAAAAUUAAUUCUACAACAAAACCCAAAAGCGAGCAACCAAAGUUUCUCACCUUAAGCACAAAUGUUGACACGCCCCGACCCUGAUAUUUCUCGAAUACCAGGAUAGACACGUGCUGACCGACACCCGAGGGUGACGAAAGCCAUUAAUUGAUACAAAAGCUAAGAAUAAGAAAUAAAUAAGGGUUAUGAAUUUAAAAACAAUGAGUUAAUAAUUUAGGAACGUGUUCAGAACAUACAGCUAAACCUAAUCACUAAGAAGAAUUAAGAUAAAAUUUAAUGAAUAAAGGAGUGAGUCCUACAUCGAGAGGAUCCGAAGAUGCUGCUGCGGAAGUGUCUUGACGCCGAGAUUAUGUGCCUUGAUUUUAAGUCCUGAAUGGGGGCGCAAAACAAAGGUGAGUAGACCAAGUUCAUAUAUAUAAAUAAUAAAACAGGUAUCAAGAUACUAACCCCCACAGUUUAAUAAUGAAAACUACUAGCAUAAUAAGUGAUGGAUUUAAUAAAAUCCUAGCAUGCCAAAUAUCUCAAAAGCCAUAUCGCGGAAACGCAUCGCGGAAAUCAAAACAGUAAACGUAUCAUAAAUCGUCUCGUAAACGCGGUGUGCUGCUAGAAAGAUCACUGAAUAAAUAUAACUCCCGGCUCAAUGCUUGCUCCGUGGUCUCUGCUCCCGUAGCUAGAGAUUACCAACUCCCGGCCCAAUACCUGCUCCAUGUCCCUCAGCCCGUAGCUAGGGAUUAUUUCUCCCGGCCUAAAUGCCAACACCAGUUCCUCGCCCCAGGCGGCAUAGUGUCUACUAGGUACGCACAAAUAGUUACGCCUCUAAUAAAUAACCACUUUAUAGUAUAAAGUCAUCCAUCGUCUAUACUAUAAAGAGGGGUUUCCAAAACAUUUUCUAGCAUCCUAUCGUCAUCCAUCGGAUAGUCUAUCAAUUCAUGGUUUUUAUAGAAAAUACGAUAUAUAAAAAAAAUAUAGCUCAAAAUAGGCUAACAAUUAUUUCCUCACCAAAACACGAGACGAAAUCAAUAAAUUCAGUAAACAUGAUUGAUAUAAAUCAAUUCACAAAUUUCGUAGGCAUGUUAAUCAUUUAUGCAAUUACUAUAAAAUCAUGUAAUUUUAGAAAGGGUCCACUCACCUUUGUUUUGCGCCCUUAUUCAGGACUUAGAAUCAAGGCACAUAAUCUCGGCGUCAAGACACUUCCGCAGCAUCUUCGGAUCCUCUCGAUGUAAGACUCACUCCUUUAUUCAUUAAAUUUUAUCUUAAUUCUUCUUAGUGAUUAGGUUUAGUUGUAUGUUCUGAACACGUUCCUAAAUUAUUAACUCAUUGUUUUUAAAUUCAUAACCCUUAUUUAUUUCUUAUUCUUAGCUUUUGUAUCAAUUAAUGGCUUUCGUCACCCUCCGGUGUCGGCCAGCACGUGUCUAUCUUGGUAUUCGAGGAAUAUCAGGGUCGAGGCGUGUCAAAUGUCUUCCAAAGCUGCAGACAAAAGUUCCAGAAAAAUAAAAACCUGAAUCCCCUGAAAUUCAAAAGAAAACCUGAUUAUACACCCAUAUGCAAAACCCGAUGGCACAAAAAAAACAAAAAAUGAGAAGAGAAACAAUUUCAAUAGAAAAUCCAUUUACAAAUCCAUUUCUCAAGAACCACAACACAACCUAACUAAAAAACUCACGGAUUAAAAGUUUCUCCCCAAAAAUCCCAUCUCUGUCAUCAAAUGAAAACUAUGAAAGCAACAACCCAUUUAAAAUUGAACCCAAAAAAAUUAAAAGCUUCUAACAUCUAAAAUUGAACAGAACACAAUCCAUACAGUUGCAUAAAAAAGUUGGAGAUGCAAGAUUAGAAGAACUCAACACAAAACUAUCCACUUUGAGACCAGCAGAGGCGAAGAGAGGAGAGAGCAAACGGCUACGGAAGAAGAGAAGCAAAAGAAAUAGGAAAAAAAUUGGACCAAAAGCAGUGAAAAGGAAUCACUGCAGAAAGCAGGAAAGAAAAGGAACUGGACAAAAAUGUUGAAGGGCAAAAAUUAUAUAUAUAGAUAAUAUAAUUUCCUUUCGUUAUUAGGUUGUAGACAGUGUCAUGUGGCAUGCUGUUAUUCGUUAAAAAUCUGAUUGAAAUAUAUCCUAAAAGAUUCUAAAAAGAUAACGACACGUGGCACGAUGGCAUUGAAUAAAAAUCUUAUUGAAAUCCAUCAUCAAUAAUUAUCUUUUCAGAUAAUGAUACGUGACGUAACGAGAACGAUUUAAAAUCUGAUCGAAAUUUAUCCUUAAAGAUUCUGAAAAGAUAAUGACACGUGGCACAAUGACAUUGGAUAAAAAUCGUAUCGAAAUCUAUGACCAAUAAUAGUCGUUUUGGGCAAGCCUUUUCCAGGGGCAGACUUCAAAUACCUGAGAAUGCGUUGUACAGCAUCCAUGUGGGCUUCACUUGGCCUGUGCAUAAAUUGACUCACUACACUUACAACAUAGGCUAUGUCAGGUCGUGUAUGAGACAAAUAAAUCAACCUCCCAACUAAUCUUUGGUACCUUUCCUUGUUAGCCGGAAUUUGAUCAUGAUAGUCUCCCAAUCUAUGGUUUUGCUCAAUUGGUGUGUCUGCAGGUUUACAAGCUAACAUCCCAGUCUCAGUUAAUAAGUCUAUAACAUAUUUCUUUUGAGAAAGAAAAAUGCCAUGCUUUGAUCUUGCAACUUCAAUACCCAAGAAAUAUUUUAGAGUACCCAAGUCCUUCAUUUCAAAUUCCUUGGCUAGAUACUUUUGAAGUUUUUGAAUUUCCUCGACAUCAUUACCUGUAACCACCAUAUCAUCCACAUAAACAAUUAAGGUUGUAAGUUUACCUCUAUCAUGCUUAAGAAAUAAGGUAUGGUCAGCUUGAGUUUGCUUGAACCCAUAACUUCUCAUUGAUUGAGCGAACCUACCAAACCAUGCCCUUGGUGAUUGUUUCAAUCCAUACAAGGACUUUCUUAACCUGCAUACUUUGCCAAUAUCGCAAGUGGUAGUGAAUCCUGGAGGAAGAUCCAUGUAUACCUCUUCAUCCAAGUCUCCAUGUAAAAAUGCAUUUUUUACAUCAAACUGUCGUAGAGGCCACCCUAGAUUUGCUGCCAAUGACAUAAGAACCCUGAUAGUGUUGAUCUUUGCUACCGGAGCAAAUGUCUCCUGAUAAUCAAUGUCAUAGGUUUGAGUAUAACCUUUGGCUACCAGUCUAGCCUUGUACCUUUCCACUUAACCAUCAGCUUUAUGCUUUACUGUGAACACUCAUCUACACCCAACAGGUUUCUUGCCUUCAGGAAGUGCAACCAGUUCCCAAGUGGAGUUUUUUCGAAGCGCUUCCAUCUCUUCAAUCAUAGCCUUUUUCCAUUUUGGAUCUUUAAGAGCAUCUUGUAACUUAUUAGGGACUGAGACUGAUGACAAUUGGUUUGCAAAAGAUAUAUAAGAGUCUGACAAGCGAUGAGAUGAAACAAAAUUAGAUAUAGGAUAUUGAAUACCUUUUGUAGAAGAAAGACCAUAACGAACAGGGGGUAUCCUUCGAUUUUCUCGAAUAGGAUAACGGGAACCUUGAGACUCACGAUGUGGUUCAUUUGAAUCAUUUGGAUCAUCACUUAAUGAAAUCUCAUGAUUGGACUCAUCAAAUAUAGUAGGCUGAAGAGAGGGAGAAUGAGUGGUUACCUCAGGAUAAUUCGUACGAGUAGCAGCUGAUUGGUCAGAGAGUUGGUCAAUGUGGGGAUCUGUCUGUGGGUGGUCUAUCUCAUCAUCCCUUUUUUCUUUAUCUCCCUUUUUUCUUGUCCUCUCAUACACCUUCAAUAUUUUUUCACCUUGUGCCUCAUCAUUAGGCAAAUUUGCACCAUCACCGACAUCAGACAAGUGUUCAUCUGAAAAAUGCAUAUCACCAAUGUCAAGCGGCAACUUAUCUUCCUCCUUACUCCAUAUCUCCCCCUGAAGAGAAGUGGCCAAAUCUUCUUUUGAAAAAAAUGCCUCGUGUUCCCGAAAGGUAACAUCCAUAGAGACAAAAAAUUUCCCAGUGGGAGGAUAGUAACAUUGAUACCCUUUCUAAGUAGCAGAAUAGCCAAUAAACACACAUUUGAUGGCUCUAGGAUCCAACUUAUCACGAUUUUGCAUGGGGACAUGAACGUAGCAGACACAACCAAACACUUUUGGAGGAAUAUGAAGGAGUGAAGGAAGAGAAUGAUAUUGGGAAAGGGUCUGGAUAGGUGUUUGAAAUUGGAGAACACGUGAUGGCAUGCGAUUGAUAAGAAAAACAGCUGUGUGAAUGGCAUCACCCCAAAAAUGUUUAGGAACGUGCAUAGCAGAACAUAAAGAGCGAGCCACAUCCAAGAGAUGACGAUUUUUACGUUCUGCUAUACCGUUCUGUUGAGGAGUAUGUGGACAAGAUGUUUGAUGAAUGAUACCGUGUUGUUGAAAAAAUGCUCCAAGUCCAUAAUUCAAAUAUUCUUUCCCAUUAUCAGAUCGAACAACUUGAAUUUUAGCAUGAAAUUGGGUUUGAAUCAUUUGAUGAAAGAUUGGAAAAAUAGACAUAACCUCACUCUUAUUUUUGAGUAAGUAUACCCAAGAAACUCGAGUGCAGUCAUCAAUGAAAUAGACAAAGUAUUUAGCACUAGUAUAAGUAGGAAUAUGAAAUGGUCCCCAAACAUCAGAAUGAAUAAGAGAGAAAUGAACAUUACUUUUAUGGGAACUUAAAGGAAAUGAGACACGAUGAUUUUUAGAAAGAAUGCAAGUUUCACAAUGGAAAUCAGAAACCUUGACUUUAGAAAAUAAAGAAGGGAAUAGAUAUUGCAGGUACUGAAAGGAAGGGUGUCCCAAUCUUUUGUGCCAUAACCAAAUUUUUUCAGAAGCUUCAAAUUGUUUGGCCUCCACUUGACAACUGUAACUUGUCUUCUCACAAUCUGGUGGUAAGUCCAAGUAGUAUAGACCUCCCCUCUCUCUACCAUGACCAAUCAAUGCUUUCUUUCGAAUAUCCUGAAACCAACAAUGGGUAGGAGAAAAGAUGACAAGACAGUUUAGUUGAUUUGUAAGUUUACCAAUGGAAAGCAAAUUGUGAGAAAGAUUAGGAACAUGUAAAACAGAUGAGAGAGAUAAGCCUGGUGUUAAUAAGAUGAAGCCUGCUCCAAACACUGGAGUAGAAAUACCAUUAGCAACUUUAAUGGUAUUUAAAGGUAGAGUAGUGUGAGAAACAAACCAUGUAGAGUUAUUGGUCAUGUGGUCAGAAGCCCCUGAAUCAAUGAUCCAAGGUUUAUUGGGAGGAACAAUUGUAGUGUUCAAGGCAAAACCAAAGUUACCUGCAUCGACUAAGGAAGUAGAAGCAGUAGUAGGAGAAACUAAGUGAGCAGAUUGAUCCUCCCGAGGUAUGGAAGGCGUUGGUGUCAGGUGUGCGUGUGAUCCACCAAUGCCUUUUUUUUUAUUUUCCUUCUUUUGAACCCACCAAUCAGGAUAUCCAUACAGCUUGAAGCAAGUGUCUCUAGUAUGCUUAUCCUUGUCACAAUAAGUACACUUCCUUGUAUCAGUAGUUUUGGAUCCACAUAAUCGAGAAUUUGAGACUCCACGGGGAAAUCGAGACGGAGCAGCUACCAUGGCGGAUCCUUCCACUUGUGAGCCAACCAACAUAAUGGUUUGCCUACUUGCUUCAGCAUUCACAAGAGCAUAAGCAGCACGAACAGAAGGCAGAGUUGUUUGAGUCAAAACUUGACUGCGAACAUGAUCUAAAUGGGGAUCAAGACCAGCCAGAAAAUCAUACAAUCUUUCUUCCGAAAUUUCUGUCUCUCGGGUAGCAAUAUCAUCAGCGUACUUCAAUUUUCCAGGACGCAAGAAAUCAAUUUCUUGCCAUGUUUGUUGAAGUUUACCAUAAUAUGCAGAUAAAGGUUCUCCAUUCUGGCGAGUCGCCAGUGCUUGACGGCGAAGUUCGUAUAACUUUGAUGCAUCUUUUUCAAUUGAGUAAGUUUGGGUAACAGCAUCCCAAACAUCUUUUGCAGUAGAGAGUUGGAGAAAAAUGGCCCGCACAUCUCUGGUCAUGGAGUUGAGUAACCAAGAUUGAACCAUGGCAUUCUCUUCCUCCCAUAUAGCAUACAAUGCAUCAGCUUCUGCUGGUGCCAUUUUUUUUCCACUGACAUAAGACCAUUUACCUCUGCCAGUGAUGUAGAUGCGGACACUUUGGGACCAUGAGGAAUAGUUGGACCCAUCCAACUUGUCUGGGGUGAUAUGUAGAGACAUAUCACUUUGAGUAACAGUAGCUGAAACAGUGGUCUUGGAGUCACCCAUUAUUACUGCCUCAGAGGUUAUGGGUAAAUUUGUUGGGUGAUUCCAACGGGUAUGGCUUAUGGGGUAUUGGGUAGUAUAUUUUUUUUUUAUGUGGAAAGAUUUCUGGGUUUUGCAGAGAUACUGCAAAUGGGAAGAAUAUGGGAAAAGAUGCAGCGGAAUAUGUAUGGUUAACAAGCUGGAUAUGGGUAAUAAUGUUGGCAGAUAUGGCCAAAUGAAAAAAUAGUAAGAUUGGAUUGGUAUGAAAGUAGAAGGUCUUAUUGGGUAGAUGGCAGUAGUGCCAGUAAGUGAAUCAGAAUAGAAACUCUUUUUGGAUCAGAAUUGCUCUGAUACCAUGCCAAUAGAGUUAAUUCCUUGAUAUAUUAGAUGAUUAUUUCUCAUUACAAGAUGAACAUAUAUAUAGGGAAAGAAGGAAGACAUAAGACCUAACUUUUCCUAACUUGCCUAACUUACCUAACUUGCCUAACUUGCCUAACUUACCUAACUUGCCUAAUUUACAUAAAGAAAGUUGACUAGUCUAACUUCACUAGCCAUCCAAUACUCAUGGCUGCUUUUAGUUGACAGGAAAUAUAGUUAUCUGUGAAUAUGGAAACUUGAAUCUGCGUAGAUUCCUUGGGUUGUGUGUUGGGUUCAGUGGAGGUUUAGGGUUUUAAUUCUGAAUGAUUUGUUUUUCAUUUCAUGGAAAUGACCUGUUAUUUGAUUUAACUGAGUAAUUUAAUGGAAAUAUAUUGUCUUUGUUUCUUCCAUAUUUCUUUUUCUCUGCAACCAAACAGGGGCUGUGAGUUUUAUUUUUUAAAGGAUUUACUGAGGUUUUGGCUAAAUUAAUACCGGACCUAAUUAGGAAAAGGAAUUGCUGAAUUAGAUUUCUCAAUCUCUUUUGUAUGUUGUAGAAAGCUAUUUAAUUUAUGCAGCUAUUGUACCGGUUUUUCUUUUUCGGCUUUAUUUGAUUUAUUCCCAUUUUUACUAAACUCAUGUUUCCAUUUCCUUUUUCUGUUUAUCAUACUUGCUUUAUUUGUGCAAGCUGCACUACACGCUUGAAUGCAUUUUAUUACUGGCGGGAUGCGAAGAAAGCUAGAUAUAUGUGCAGGAUGGCUUGAUUAGUGUUAGGGUUUUAACAACUAAUUGUUAGCAGCUAGAAGCUCUGGUUAGAUGAAUGCUAAUCUGAUUUUCCUUACAGUACUUGAGUGCCAGUUUCAUAGUGGUUGUUCCCUACUGUAUACCUGCUGUACAGUUUCAUUUUUGUUUCUUCAUAACUUUCUUGGUCCUGGGAUAUAUGCAGAUUGAGUACAACGAAUGUCCAAUGUUCUCUAACUGUUCGGGUAUUUGUAAUAGGUUGUGUGGUUCAAGAAAUUUAACAUUUAACGAUUGGCGGGUUAGACGGAGCUGUUGGGCUAUACUAUCUUUGUAGCAGCCUGCCUAACAUUUUUUAGGCUCUACACUACCAUCCAAUUUAAUGAAAAAUUCAAAGAUUGGACGGUAUUGAUUGCAGAAAUAAAAAAAAUACUGUGAUAUUAGAAAGGUGAAAGUAAUUGUGUUAGAAGAAGCGGCUAGCAUGAUGGGUAAUAUUUUAAGUUUGUAUUUCUAAAAGUUUUUCGUUCUGCAUUUUUUCUUCUGUCCUUUGUAUGUUUGCAGUGAGAUCAAUGUGUUCAAACCCUUGAACUGAAAUUUGUGUGACAGCCUUGAAAGUGUGCCAUUUUGGUGCUCUUUAAUGUGCACUUUCUUUUGUUAAUCUAGAUUGGUGUUUUUCCGGCCCUUUUAAUCGUUGCAGUUUACAAAGUCCUUAUUGCUUCUGCAGUUGUUUUUAAUAUAUCUUUGUUGGGUAGACGGCAUGUACUAUGGGUUUCGGUGUUUAGGGAAUAUUCUGAGCUUCAUUACUAUUUUAAUGGUUAGGGUAAAUUUUGAGAUUCAUUAAUAGGAUUUUUGUGGCUAACAUUCUUUAGCUAAAUUCGUCACUAUUUGGUGUUUGGAGUCCAGUGGAUUGGUAUCCAUAUCUUAUAAAUAUGUUGGCCAAGACAUGUUAGCUUUCAUUCUGCUUUUGCUUUCAUUUUGUUUUUUCAUUUUCAUUUCUUAUAUCUUGCUUUUGCUUUUGAUGCAUAGUUUGAAAGCUUCUGGAUCAUAAUAUGAAUUCUGGUGUGUGUGAGUGUGUGCAGUGUUUGUUCAUUUCGAAUUCUCAAGAGUGAUGAUAUUGCCUAUACAUGUAGAUUUUACACUGCUUUUGUGCCAUGCAGUACCGACAUUCUAUGUGGCCUCUUAGCUAAUGAUACAAUCACAUUAUAUGAAGGGCUGGUUUGGUAUUGCUGUGCUUUGAAAAAAAACUGUUGUGAGAAUAAGCGGCUGUGCUGUGAAAAUAAGCGGCUAUGAAAUAAAUCAGCAGAGUGUUUGGUAAACUUUUUUGUAAAAGUGCUUUUGAAAAAAAAAAAGCAGUCUAAUAGUGGGUCUUUUCAUUAAAGAAGCACUGUAGCUCCGUGUGCUUUGAAAAAACCAAUUUUCCAAAGCUGCAAAUAGCAGCUUCAGCUUUUUCCUUUGAUUUCAGCUUAUUCUCACAGCAGCUUCCAAAAUAAGCCCUUUUUUUUCAGUUUACCAAACACCUAAAACUCUCACAGCUUUUUUUCAUGGGUGUUUUUUUUUUAAGCACCUCACUCCCAAACUAGGUCGAACUUUAAUUAGUUUUCAUGACACAGUUUCAAUUUCUUUGCUUUGUAUGGAAAUUUGUGCAUUUAUCUUCGGAGCACUUAAUCAAUUUAGCUUGCAGUUUAACUAUUGAGGAUUCUUAAUGUAUUUUGAUUUUACUUGGAUUCCAUUUUUGUGAUUGUCACCCUUAGUCGGUGGUAUUAUCUUUACAAUGGAUUUAAAUUGGGGAUUUAGAGAAUCUAGUAACAAAACUGAAUUAUAUGUUCCAUGCUUUUUGUUUUCAUUUUGGGUUUAAAAGUUGGAGCUUUGGUCAGGAUUUUUCUUUAUUCAACUAUAAUUUUGUGCUUAGGAGACUAACUGCUUAAAUUUGUUUGCAUAGGAACUUUUUUUUUCUUUUCGCUGUAACCUAUUUUGUUAAAGGUGAUGAUAAAGAUUUAUCAAUAUUGUUUGUUCGGAGUUAUGUGGGAAUUGGAAGGGAGUAAAUUGUGAUCGUUUAUGCAACAUUUGAUAAAAUUGAGAAAUAAAAUUGGGGAAAUAAUGUUAAUAGUUUGUAGAUGCUUAGGAUACUGUUUGGGGCUGCUUAAAUUUUAUAUAUUCAGUUGCAUAGAGUUGACUUAACAUACACAACCAUGGUCAGAUUGCCACCCUUAGUUGGUGGUAUUAUCUUUACAACGCAUUCAAAUUGAGGAUUUAGAAAUCUAAUAAUAAAACUGAAAUAUUUGUUCCAUGCUUUUUGUUUUCAUUUUGGGUUAAAAGAUUGCUUUGGAUUGGGAUUUACCUUUAUUAACCUAUAAUUUUGCGCUUAGCACACAAUCUUGGGAGUCUUUACAUGAUUGUUCUUCUAUUUCAUAGAUUCGAAAUGUGUUUAGUAUCUCAUUUAAUUGGUGUCCCUUUGCUCAUUUAAUUCAAAUUUAAUACGAUUUGGUCCUCCAAUUUCUCUGAAUUGCAAACGGAUUUACUUUCUUUGGAAAUUUUUGGAACUUUGGUUGUGGGAGGAAGAAGCCGGUUCCUUGCUAUUUUUAGGUAUACGAUUACAAAUCGGAGGGUUUAAGGUUAUGCACUUGCUUUGGAUGUGACUGCCAGAGAAAUUCAAGCUUCUGCUUAUCGAUAAUUGGAUUGUUUAAUGCGAUCAAACGUGGUAGUGAAAUGUUAAAUUUGAUGGCUACAUGUUUCUAAUUAGAAUGCUAAUGCUGCAAUUCAUGAUGAUCAAUAUGUUCUGACUUAAACAAUUACUGCAAAUGUAUCGUUGCUUUAUGAUGAAUGAGUUAUCUUUUGCAUAUAAGACUUUGUUUUUGGAUACUAAGUCUAAAAUAGAGAUUUCAGAGCAAAACGUUGAUUGAGUAUAAGCAAGUUGUGAUUUUGUAGUUUUUACAUGUUUCCAGAUAAAAGUUAGGAUCUGCAGAGAUUAGAAAGUGAAAAAAGGCAAAGGAAAGUGAUGUUGACUCAUGAAAGAUGGUUCAAAUCUUUGUUGGAGGUACAUUGGAUUUACGUUUCUGAUGUGUUACGUACAUUGUUAGGACUAUAGAUUUGGAUUGAACUCAAUGUUCUCAGUGUAUAUAUUUAAAUAUGUGUGUAUAUACAUGUGCGUGUGAAUAUAUGUGUGUGUAUAUAGAUUUAUACAUAAAAGGGAAGAUGGAUGGAUAGGUGUAUGCUUACUCCGUAAAAGAAGAAGAGAAAACGAAAACCACACCAAACAACUGGCAUUAAAGCUCUUUUUCUUUUUCUCUUUUGACAUAAAUCUCUCUUUGUUAGAUUGCUAGGGGGCUGCACUGUGUGAGGGCCAUGUAUGUUUUAUUACGGUCGUAUCUAUAGUUUUGGGAACUGGAGAAAAGAAGUGGAACAAACCAUUUGCAUGGCAGAGGCCGACUUCAUUCUUUCUCAAAUUUGUAGUGCACACAAAUGGUUUAGUAUACAUGUGAAAGGGAUGAGAGAAGGCAAAUAUGCAAAUGUUAUAUCAGAGAUGAUUCCUUUACAGAGUUCGGUGCUUACAUUUGUAGUUUUAAGAUCAGUGUAGAUGUUUCAUAACAUUGAAGGAUCCCCUAUUCCAGUGUGGAUGUUUCAUUGUACAAUGUGUUUAUAUGCUAGCUCACUUGAAUGUAUAUAAAAGCAAAACUGUUAAUCUUAUCGACCUCAUUCGCUUAUGUAUCGCUCUGUUUGUUCAUAAUUGAGUUGAAUUUAUUCAACUUAAAUGUGUUUUAUUCAUUCAAUUACGUCUGAAACAGUUGAUUCCCGCAGCAACGCGCGGACGUAAUUUCUGGUCUAUUCUAAAAUUGAGGAAUGAAUUGACUGUAGCUUAACUACAGUCAAUUGGUUGCCACUCGAUUUCACGCUAUUUACCACAAUACCAGCCAAAUGGCGCUGGUUGGGAGGAUAAUUUUGACUCUGACCAGAUUUGCAUUAUUUACAUUUCUACCAUUGUGUGUGGCUGUGCUUCAGACAGAACUCACGGAUUUGUGGAGGGAUUUCAGGGAGAGAGGCGUGGGAUGGCAGGGAGGGGAAGGGAGAGAGGAGUGAGGUUGCCAAAAAGUGGGGUUAGGGUUGAUUUUUUCUCCUCAAAUCAAGGGUUGGUGUCGCUGAUUGAGAGAUUGAGAGGGAUGGGGGAGAGAGACAGAAACACACCCAUUUGGCCUUCAUUUUCCCCUUUCUCAAACCCUAGCAGCCAGAACCCCAAAACUGAGCCCACUUCUUCAAUAACAUCGGCUCUUGCUUCCCAAAACCACACAAACCUUCCCUUCGUUUCUGUUACAGGUCGCUGAAAAAUAUUCUUGAGGAUGGAGAAGACGAUGGUGGCACGACGGUUGGGUCGUUUGUGCAGGUCAUUGUUUUGGAGAUUUAUGAUUUGCUGUCGAGCAAUGGCGGUGGAGGAUUCGGGUUUGGAUGGCCAAAGAGCAAUGUCUCCAAUUCUAAGGUGAUAAUUAACUGGGUCUCUAUUUUCUUUGUUGAAUUCUUGCCAAUCUAUGGUUUUUCUGUAAAAAAAAUUUUGUGUUUAGAACUGUAAAUUCGGAUUUGGAAAAUGGGGUUUCUGUGCAAAUUUCGAUAUUUGGAUUUGGUUGGUUGUUAUUUAAAGGCCUCUAAUUGUAUUCAUGGACUAUAACUGUAAUUAUACAAUUUACAUUAUUAUUUAAAUAUAAAAAGGUAUAAUUUAUAUAUAAAGUCAAUUUAAACACUUUUUGCUUUGAGAAAGGGAUCGGGUAAUGGAGGUAUGGGUAUGGGUUUUUAGAGCCGGUUUCUAGGGAGGUGGUCUGGUGUCAGUGCCUUCACAGGGUGGGGGUGUGAUAUAGGGGAGAGAGGAGAGGGGGUUGGUUGCAGAGAGAAGGUGACGGCGGGUGCACGAUUAGGGGGACAGAAAGAUAGUUGAUUGUGAACAAGAUUUGAGGGUAGGGUUGAGGGAAUUAGUGUGUUGGCUGCAGAGAGAUGGUGGGGUUGAGUUAGUAUCGCUCCCUUUCUGUCGCUUCUCUCUUCCUCCAUCUAUGACAUCUUUGUUUUGGGGUCAAAAUAUGUUCGCUUUUACAUAGAAAUUUGAGUGUUUUAUUUAUUUAUUUGGAUUUUUGUAGAUGAUGCAUAUUAUGUUUUUCUGGGUUUUAUCACUAAUUGUCAAUUGGAUUUUCUGGUUUCAAAAAUAGGUGGAGGCAUCGACUAAUCAGCUAGUUGAUCAGCAGAUGCCAGUGUAUAAUCUUGCAUCGAAGAUUCUUUGUCAGGUUAUCAAUGUAUCAUUGAAGGUAGUGUGGUGGCUGGUCUUAUAAAGAAAACUGGGCUGGUUUGGUAUUGCUGUGCUUUGAAAAAAAGCUGCUGUGAGAAUAACCGGAUGUGCUGUGAGAAUAAGCGGCUGUGAAAUAAAGCCAGUAGAGUGUUUGAUAAACUUUUUUGUGAAAGCAGGAUGAUAGUGUGUCUUUUCAUUAAAUGAGCACUGUAGCUCCGUGUGCUUUGAAAAAACUGGCUUUUUUUCAAAGCAGCAAAUAGCAACUUCAGCUUUUCCUUUGAUUUUCAGCUUAUUCUCACAGCAGCUUCCAAAAUAAGCCAUUUUUUUUCAGUUUACCAAACACAAAAAUGACCCUCAGCUUUUUUUCACAGUGACUUUUUUUAAAAUCAUCUCAAUCCCAAACGAGGCCUUAAGAAUUCUGGAUUUAAUUGUUUAGCUACUUCUUUGGUACUCAAGUUAUUGGGCUUUGCGAGGGAAUAAUAUGUUUCUUUCUGCUGAAUUAUAGGCUGAACCAGACAAUGAUGAAGUAUUUGCACAAGUCACUUUACUUCCUGAAUCAAAUGUAAGUUGGCUUGAGGAUUAUGAUUUAUUGUGGGCGGGUAAAACUAAUUAUGGGUUGAGAUUCUGGUGGUUUGAUGUUAUAAAUUUUAGCAAGAUGAGAAUGCAGUGGAGAAGGAAAUAACAUAGGGCGCGCGUCCUUAAACGGGAAAAGACUUUGGUUAGGCAAAGUCAAAUCAAGAAAGAGAAUAGGUAGAGGAUAAAACAUAAUCAAGUGGAAAUUUUAGGUACAAAAUUUGGAGUGAGUCAAGAAAUUAUACAAUGGUGUCCAACUGCUUUCCACCAUGGCCACUUUAAAAGGCUUAGUUCUUUUUCCAAGUGAAGACAUAAAAUGGCACUUGAGCAGUAGAAAUAUUAACAUCUAUACUAGAAUGAAAAAACUGCAUAUUUGAAAGGAAAAAAAACACACCAGCACACACUUGGAAAUAGCUGGAAAUAUUGGCAAACCUCAAUGUAUAUGCACGCUUUAGCGAUAUUUAUAAUGAGGAUAUUUAUAUUAGCAAACCUCACUUAUGCCCUGUACACAUUCUAUUGUUUAAGUAAUGAAGAAAACUAUUCUCAAUGUCUCUAGCUAUUCAUUUAUUAGAAAACUUCAUUUUAAUCCCUAAAUAAGAUUGCUUUUUCAAUAAUACCGUAUGUAAGAUUAAAAACUAAAAAUAGUCCUCCAUGUCAGAUUAUAGUAUUCCAUGUCACAUUUAAUCAUUUUUUAAUAAAUUUAUUGCAUUUUUAGUUUCCCUAUUUACCCUUAUUACUCUUUAAAACCAAUUAGAGAAACAAAUAUAUAAUUAAUUUUUCAAGAAUGCUUAAUUAACUAGAUCCAUAAUUAACAUGUGUGUUAUAACAUAAAUCUCCAUGUGUUAUUCCAAUCAAAGAACCCAGAAAACUCAGAAACCAUGAUCAAACAAAAAAGCCCAUAAAACUUACAAACAAAAAAUCUUGUUGUAUUCGGAAGAAAGGAGAAAAAAAGGGCUUUUAGAUGCCAAAUUGAAGGUGAAUCCAGAGAUAAAUGAAAAAAAAAAUACAAAUUGAGAAAAUAGAAUGUGAAAUCACAACUUAAUUGACCGUACCAAAUUAAUCGGACAUACACUAUAUAGUACCUAACCGACCAUACCGAAUGGAUAAGACCUAAUUGAUAGUACCUAAAUGAUUAAGGUACAUUCAUAUAGGUACUAUGAUUUAGGUGCAUUCAUAUAGGUACCAUGAUUUAGGUGCAUUCAUAUAGGUACCAUGGUUUAGGUGCAUUCAUAUAAGUACCAUGGUUUAGGUGCAUUUGACUUGGUACUAUGAUUUAUGUGCAUUCGACUAGGUUAUAUAAUUUAAGCACAUUAGGACAUGGUUUAAGUGCAUUCGAUUAUGUAAAAUAUAUGAUUUGGCUAUUUAUAUUUCCUCUAUGCUUUGAAUGGUGAUAAUGAAUCAUUUGAAUUAGGUAUUUGUUAAUUCUUGUAACGUAUCACUAAUAUUUUUUUGAAUUAUGUUUAUCAUUUUAGAAAGUCAAACAAUAAUCAAUGCCAAAAAAUAUGGAGCAAAUUAAAAUCAAAUAUUUAAUAGGGGCAUUAUAGGAACCCAAAAAACGCAUUAAAUAUUUCAAAACAAGAAAAUAUAAAUUUUAAUAUUUAUGCUGACAUGGAAAUUUAGUCAAAGGACUAUAAUGAAUAUAUAAUCUAACAUAAGGUUUUAAUUGAAUUUCAAUCGUUAUCAAGGAUUAAAAUGGAGAAACCCCUUCAUUUAUUAUCUUCAAUGAUUUGGAAACCUGCUACUACAGUUUUUCGAAUGGUUAUGUCACACUCUGCUAUUCUUCCUGUCAAAAUGGGGAAGGUUAGCAUGGCUAUCACUCUUCCAACAUGUUAGUGGGUUUCUCUGGAUUUUCGUUUUUCUCUAUUGGGUUUCGAUUAGUUCUCAAGUUUUUUCGUUUUUUUGAAUUGCUUUUCGCAUUUGAACAUAAAGUUUUUAUUUCCUCAUCAAUCUGAUCUGCCUUUUUCAAAGAUUUCUCUGGUUAGAACUUCAGUCUAUUGUUUAAGUAAUGAAGAAAACUAUUCUCAAUGUCUCUAGCUAUUCAUUUAUUAUCUUCAAUGAUUUGGAAACCUGCUACUACAGUUUUUCGAAUGGUUAUGUCACACUCUGCUAUUCUUCCUGUCAAAAUGGGGAAGGUUAGCAUGGCUAUCACUCUUCCAACAUGUUAGUGGGUUUCUCUGGAUUUUCGUUUUUCUCUAUUGGGUUUCGAUUAGUUCUCAAGUUUUUUCGUUUUUUGAAUUGCUUUUCGCAUUUGAACAUAAAGUUUUUAUUUCCUCAUCAAUCUGAUCUGCCUUUUUCAAAGAUUUCUCUGGUUAGAACUUCAGUCUACAAGCUUUGUGGCUGAUCAGAAGCUACCGUAUUUGGAUUUUGCUGGUAAGCAUAAAAUUAUAUAUAUAUAUAUAUAUUCAUUAAGUUUAUAUAAUUAUCUUUGAGUGCUAUGUACAUAUAUUUCCUAAAAGAAACUGAUUUCUCACACUAUUUUCUUAUUCUGCACCUUUGUUGAAUUUUUGUCCUUUAAUUUUUUUUAUUUUUUUAGUCAAUUCAAAUGACCAAAAUAAACACAAGUGUAUAUGGAGAAUAAUGAGUAUGCGGAAAUCAGUAUCAUUUGCUAAAAUUUAUAGCUCAUGGUAUAUAUGAGUUAUGUUGUUGUUGCUUUUCUUGCCUUUGCACGUUCUGCUCUGAAAUUUAUAAAUACAUAGAAUAUUGUAAUUGAAUGAAAAAUAACUUUGGACCGAAUUCUACAUACUCAAUUUGACAAGAAGAAGGUUUCGAAUCGGACGAUUGGAAGACAAAAAGGUUAUAAUUGUUAGGACUGGAUUGAGCAUGGUAUGUUUAAUUAUGCAAUUGACCAUCUGUUUUACUUUGAUUAAUUUCUUUGGUCAGUGCAUUAUAGAUAAUGUAUUUAAUAAAUGAUGUAGAAACAGUGUCCGGCUUCAAUACUACAAGUGUAUUAUCCGUUAGAUUCGACUUUCACAAUUUUUAAAUCUUUUAGUGUAAAUCUGAACUGUUUAUUUCCCGUAUCAUUCAAUAUUAUUGAAGUAUUUUCUGUAGAAACCUGCUGGAAAAAAAUUGAUGUAGAAGCCUGUGAAAAGCUCAAUACAGGCAUCUCAACUCAAAUACUACAAACCCUAUUCAAGGUGAAAGGUGUUGUACACUAUGGAAUUGCAGGAAAUGCAGAUCCCCAACUCGAAAUUGGAGAUGUCACCAUCCCUCAAUUUUGGGCUCAUACAGGCCUAUGGAAUUGGCAGGUAUAAAACACUUAUUUUCUUUAGAAAAUUAGCUUUUGUUUGGUAAUGUUUUUUUAAUCACAGUUAAUUGAAUAUCCAGUUAAUGGAAAAAUGUAUUUGUACCAAACCCCAUUCCAAUUGAAUGGUUGGUGUAUUUGUUCCAAACGACAUUCGAAUUGGAUGAUUGGUACCCCAAUAUAAUAGUAUUUGUAUUUCUGCCCAUUGAUGGAUGAUUGGUGUAGCUGCUAUGAUUGUUAGAUUGUGUAUGUUGGUUAUUGCUUAACUGAGCAAAUAAGGUCAGCAAAAAAGUAGAUGCUAUGUCAGUGUAUGUCAAUGGGGAGUGUAGCUAUGAAAAAUAUGUUUACAUUGAUCAUGGAUGAUGAGUAUAACAGAGUCCUAACUUAGCAAUGUAUGUUAGUGACUCAGUGUAGAUGCUAAAUACUAAUGGGUGAAUAAUGAAUGUUCUGCUGAGUAGCAUGUUAUUACCAAUCUUGGUAGAUUUACAAAGCAUAUGAGAGAAUUCGUAUGAUUUACAAAUUUGUACUCGAUUUUUGAUAUUUUUCAAGUGUAAGGCAUAUGUUGCACAAUUGAGGUAUGUAGGCUGCAAGACAUAUAUUUUGCCAUCUUACCUGCAGGGGAAAUACGUGUAAACUGCAGCUUGCUUCUGUUUCUUCAGUUUCGUAUGAAAACAAACCUUCUGCUUAUUUUUGCCUUUGAACAGUUGUGGUUACAAAAUUAGCUACUUGAACAAGUCCUCAACACUUUCUAUUUUUAAUUACCUGUUGAAAUGGUUGCCUACACUGCAUGACACAUAUUAUAUGUGUGAACUAAAUAUUUCUUCUGUUUCUUAAGGAAACAGAACUUUUUUGGAAACCAUCUCUUUAUAAUCAAAGACAUUUAGUUUCUUCCCACUCAUUGUACAAUGUAUCUAUAUGCCAACUCACUUGAAUGUAUAUAAAAGCAAAACUGCUUAACUUAUUGACCUCGUUCACUCAUGUAUCCUUGUGUUUGUUCAUAAUUGUGUUGAAUUUAUUCAACUUAAUUGUGUUUUAUUCAUCCGAUUACACCUGAAAUAGCUGGUUGCCACGGGCCUAAUUUCUAGUUUAACCUAUAAUCAUACAUAGGAGAUAUUGGGUGAAAAUUUGUAAAAGGAUCUUUUCAGAAAAAUCUGGAGAAUACCUCCUUAAUUCUCACUUUCUCCUUAAGAGUUGUACUUCCAGGCAGUGUGAUGCUGAGAUAUUUUUAAAUUCCUUCUAAUUUUAGUAAAAAGUAGCAUACUUUUCUUCUCGUGGUUCACCCAUCUCCUGCUUAUUAAAUUCUCAUCAGCUCGGUUCACCCAUCUCUUGGUACCCGAAGGUAUCAAGAUGACCAAUGCUCAGUAUUUCGAGAUUAAUAAAAUAUGGUACAAACAUUGGACAAUAAUGUUAUUUCGUGCAACCAAAUUUUACUUUUAAUUUUAUUCCCUCACUUAUCAUUAAAAAAAUAUAAAAUAUAAAUAUAAACCUCUUUCCGCUUCACCUUUUUUUUCCUUCCUCUCCCAUUACAAUUCUCUCCAAUCUCUCUAUUGAAGUCAAAUCCGUCAACGAGCAAUACAAAACAACACAAAGACAACCUCUUGGUUAAGUAAAAGUCUUUUAGUAUUAAGAAGUUGAGAUUCCAUCGUAAAACUAAUUGUUAAAAUGGGAAGUGGUCCAACUAUUUAUAAGCACGUAAGGUCCAUCAUCCCAUCAAUAUGAGAUUCAUUUUCAACACGUCUUUCUCACGUAUGGUUAUUUUUAAGCCUAAAACAUGGACAACACAACUCAGGGAACAUAGAGCUCGUAUAGCCAGCCAUUAGACUUAACACGUGGGACAACCUGUUCUUAUACCAUGAAGAAGUUGAGGUUCGAUCAUAAAAUCAAUGGUAAUAUAAGAAGUAGCUCAAUUAUUUAUAAACACAUACAAUAUCACUCAUUUUAUAAAUGUAAGAUUCAUGCAACAUAGUAUUAUUUCUUUUUUGCGACAAAAAACAAUAUUCUAAACUACCCUAAUACAUAGUUGGGAAAUUGGAUUUGAACUCAAUGCAAAGCGAAAGACACUGAUCAGUCUCUUCCAGUUAUGUGGCUCUACGUUUGCAAUGACAUCAUAGUAAAGAAAAAGAUGACUCACGCAACCGUCCAAAAGAAACCGAGAAACUCUAUCCUCCUAAUUAACAAAAACCCGUCCAGAUUCAGUAUGUGAAACUUCAGCAACUCCCACCAUAAAACCAUUACAAAACCCCGUCCACUAGCAACCUUCUAAAAUCACAAUCAGCAGCCAUGGGAGAGGUUGAUCCAGCUUUCAUCCAAGACCCCGAGCACAGGCCAAAACUCUCCGCCACCGAAGUCGAAGGCAUACCGUUGAUCGACCUCUCUCUGAUAAACUCUCCACACUCCGUUACCGACCCCAGAGUCUUUGAAGGGCUUGUUGCAGAAAUAGGCAAUGCAUGCAAGGACUGGGGUUUCUUCCAAGUGAUCAACCACGGGGUUCUGUUGGAGAAGCGCCAAAGGAUCGAAGCUGCUGCUCGGAAGUUCUUUGCGCUGCCUUUGGAGGAGAAGAGGAAGAUUAGAAGGGAUGAAGGGAAUGUGUUGGGUUAUUAUGAUACCGAGCAUACCAAGAAUGUCAGGGACUGGAAGGAGGUGUUUGAUUUCACUGUGGAAGAGCCUACGUUAGUCCCGGCUUCGCCUGACCCGGAGGACACGGAAGAGACGGAGUGGUAUAACCAAUGGCCGGAGUAUCCUCCUGAACUAAGGUAACUCAAUGAUCACUAAGAAAAUACUGAAUACAUAACACUUUAAUUUGCAAUUGGUAAUUAUAUAAACAUGUACUUGUAAUCGAAAUUGUAUCAAUCUAAGAGUUAGACCGAAUUCCUUGACCAGGAAUGCUUGUGAAGAAUAUGCUCGAGAAGUCGAAAAUCUAGCUCUAAAGUUGAUGGGAUUAAUUGCCUUGGGCCUAGGCUUGCCGAAAGACAGGUUCAACAGCUACUUCAAAAACCAAACCAGUUUUCUCAGACUCAACCACUAUCCGCCUUGCCCUUCACCUCAGUUAGCUCUCGGCGUUGGCCGGCACAAGGAUGGCGGUGCUUUGACAGUGCUGGCUCAGGAUGAUGUUGGAGGGCUGGAAGUGAAGAGAAAAACAGACGGAGUGUGGAUACGGGUUAAACCUACCCCAAACGCCUUUAUCAUCAAUGUCGGUGACGUUAUUCAGGUACCAAUCUUCGAACUUCCUAAGUCCUCGCAUUCAGCUUCAUUCGCAUAUAUAACAAAUGGAUAUGUUUAUGCAGGUUUGGAGCAACGAGAGAUACGAAAGCGUGGAGCACAGGGCGAUGGUGAAUUCGGAGAAGGAAAGGUUUUCCAUUCCCUACUUCCUCAACCCAGCUCACUACACACAAGUCAAGCCAUUGGAGGAGCUGAUCAAUGAACAAAACCCUGCUAAGUACAAGCCCUACUGCUGGGGAAAGUUUAUUACUCACAGAAAGCUCAGUAACUUCAAGAAGCUUAACACCGAAAACAUCCAGAUUUCUCAUUUCAAAAUAUCGGAAUAAUUUGAUUCCAAGGAGAGAAUGUCAUUUUAGCUUCCUGCACAUGCCAUGCUGUGUAUAUAUCCAUCCAGAGAAUAAUACCUCCUCCUGUGUUUAAAUUUAACUACGAAGCUAAAAAAUAUAUCAUUUACCUCCUUUAUAAGCUCUGUCCAAAAAGAAUCAAAUCAACUUAGUAAAGAACAGAACAAGAGCUCUUGAUCAAGUCCAAAAUUCUGCAAUAUUGUAUGUUGAAAGUUAGCAUCCUAUCACAAAUGCCAUCUAAUCUAUGUCUACCUUAGUUGAAUUUUUUAUUUCCUUCGACGUUUGAGACGGCAUCCUGUAAAGAAAAAGACAAUAAGAACAAUAGUAACAUCAUAUGACGGUGUUAUCAUCACAAAAUUUCUCUGAGGCCAGCACGAACUGUCACGACCUUCCAAAAUAACAAUAGGAACAAUAGUAACACCAUUUUGGUUUACUAAUUUAACAUUCUAGAAACGAAAGACUAAAAGCACUCUUAUUGAGAAGCAUGAUCAAACCGUCGAACUUCACAAACAUUUCAAAAUCCAAUUAAUUAUUUAUAUUCACGGUUCGGUUAUGAGCAGUUCUACCAACAUGAAAACCAAAAACGAAACUGGUAUGAACGGUUCAGUCCAGUUUCACGGAUUUUAUGCCAAUCUCUAUUUGUGUAUAUCAGGGCGGCACCCGCUGGGCAUGAGCCACGUUUAAGUUUUCGUUACGAAAAAGUUCGAUAUGUUACAGCUAGCUGCAGGGUUUCCAAGUCUAGUAGCAUUUUAGAAAAAGGUUGAGAGAUAGACCUUUUACAAUUGUUCAGUUUUUAGGAUACCCCACAUGUCACUAAGAUAUUUUUUAGUUUGCCGAAAAUCCAACUUGAUAUACCAAGUCUCAUAAUAUAAGUUGUCAAAUUUGUUUUUUCAAGCAUCUAACUACUCCUAUUAUGAAAUUUGGUGUACCAAACCGUGUUCUCGUAUUAAACCCCACCCCUAUUUUAUGUUAAAAUGGUUUUUAAUUCUUAAUUGGUGAGCCCAAGAGGCCCACCCCUUUAUUUGUGUGUCCCCCGUGACCCUUUUCUUUCCCUAUUUCUUCUCUCAACUCUCUCUGCUCUCUCUCUUUCGACCUGAGCACCACACUCACGCACCCACCACUGUGGCUCUCCGAUGACACACACACACACACUCAUCCUCACACCCAACUGGCCACAACGCACCACCCAUCACCAUCACUUAGACCUCCAUUCUCUCCCUCACAUCUCCGGUCUAUCUUUGGCACUAUGCACAAUCACUGUGCAAGUGUUUUCCAACGAAGGUAAGUUGAACAACUCUUCCAUCUUCCUCCCUAGUAGUCUAGAAGGCUUAGUGGUUGCUAAAAAGUGGUUUUUGGUGAAGGUUUAAACGUGAAAACUACUCAGGGAGCAUUCUCCAUAUUUUCCGACGAGCACCGCCAAUUUCGAUGCAAUUUCCAGCCAAACUACGGCUAGUUGGCCGGCUUGCAAGGUACCAAUCUAUUCGUCUCGCUGAGUACUACAACUUUCCUUUUUGAAUCACUCGAUUUCGUUGAGUUUUGACAAAGUUAUGGCCAUUUAAAGUUGGUGUAGCUUUCCGGCCGAAAUCUGGCCUUCUCCUUCCUUUGAAUCCGGCAACCUAGAAAUCCCAAGGCCUUUGGGCCUUUCCUGCCGAGCCCAACCCAAAACCCAUUUCAGUUUUUAUUAUUUAUUUUAUUUAUUGUUUUAAUGUAAAAGGCCCUUGGGCCAUUUUAAAUCAGGGCCUUAGGCUCGUCCUCCUUAAAACCCAAAAACCCUUUACUUUAAGUUGUUUUUAUUUUUAUUUACUAAACUAAAGGCCUUUAGGCCAUUUUCCUUUAGGGCAUUAGGCCCGUGCAUCCUAAGCCAACCUUUUAAGCUUUCAAAACCCUAAACCCUAACCCAAGUCCAAAACCCUUAACCCAUAACCUCUCCUAGGCUAAUUUCGACGUCCUGAAUCCGUUUUUUACGUUCGUUUUUCCAAAUUCAAUUGCUAUUAUAUAGUUUUAUUAAUUGGACCCUUUAUGUGCUUAGGGGCAAUUAUAGUGGCAUUUCUGUCUUCGCUAGUUGCGUGGCUCUUCGGUGGCUAAGUACAGUGAGUUGACCCCUUCUAAAAUGCAUGUUUUGAUAGUAGAAAUGCAUACUUGAAAAGCAUGAUUUAACAAUUAUGUUUUAUGAGACGCUUUGAGAUAACAUGCUUACUGAGGCUAGUUUGAAUUAUUACUAUUUUUCCUAUAACCCAUGUUCUUAUAGAAUAUUUGAUGGAUGACGAUAUGAUAUUUAGAACAUGUUUCGAACGCCUCUUUAUAGUAUAGAUGAUAGAUGAGUUUAUACUAUGAAGUUGUUUUUCAAUAUAUAUAUGUUAAGUGGUUUUGUACUUACCUAGUGGUCCUUUCCGCUACGAGAUGUAGGGAUAGAUUCUGGUCCAUCCCGGGCGACGGUUUGGUGUUGGCAUAAGGCCUAGAGUGUGUUUCCUCUGGCUAUUAGCACAUGGAUGGGGAGCUGACAUGGGGCCUGAAGUGUAUUUUCCUCUGACUGUCUGCUCAGAGACGGGGAGCUGGCAUGGGGCCUGGGGGUUAUCAGACAACUCACUAGUGAUUAUUAUAUAUACAAGUUAUAAUUUAAGACAUUGCACAACAUGUUAGGUUUCGGAAAACCUAUGUAUAUAUAUCUCUAAGCAUUUGACGUAGAACUUCUAAAUCAUGUAACAUGAAUCUUAAUUACUUAACGACUAAUUAAUUAAAUGGUCUAAAAUAAGACCGGCUGCGUAUAUGAGAAAUGUACAAUCUCAUCUUGUGUGGUGAAUCGCAAGAUAGUGGUCAGGGAGAGCAUCUGUGAGUCUUUCCAACUGUCACAUCCCGGCCUGAGCCCCCACCACAUCCCGGCCCGAGCCCCCACCACAUCCCGGGCUCAACUUUGUCGUAGCACGAUAUUGUCCGCUUUGGGCCCCGACCACGCCCUUACAGAUUUGUUUAUGGAAUUCACACGAGAAUUUCCUAGUAGGUCACCCAUCAUGGGAUUGCUCUCGCGCGAACUCACUUAAUUUCGGAGUUUCAAUGGAACCCGAAGCCAGUGAACUCCUAAAAAGCCUCGUGCUAGGUAGAGAUGAUAAUAUACAUAUAAGGCUUACAUGAUCCACUCCUCUGGACGAUGUGGGAUGUUACAAUCCACCCCCCUUAGAGGCCCGACGUCUUCGUUGGCACACAUCCGGCUAGGGAUUGGCUCUGAUACCAAAUUGUCACAUCCCGACCCGGGCCCCCACCACAUCCCGAGCUCGACUCUGCUUUAGCACGAUAUUGUCUGCUUUUGGCCCCAACCACGCCCUCACGGUUUUGUUUUUGGAAACUCACCUGAGAACUUCUCAGUAGGUCACUCAUCAUAGGAUUGCUCUUGCGUGAACUUGCUUAACUUCGGAGUUUCGAUAGAACCCGAAGCCAAUGAACUCUCAAAAUGUCUCAUGCUAGGUAGAGAUGAUAAUAUACAUAUAAGGCUUACAGAAUCCACUCAUCUGAGCGAUGUGGGAUGUUACACCAAACCCUAAAAAGAUAGAUUGACAUGACAAAGCCACUAGUUGGUCCCUUUUUCAAAUAAAAAAAUUACCAUAUCACUUUCUCAGUCCACUACAACCGCAGCUUGAUAGGGUUCAUACCAACGAUUGCUGCUUCCAUGACCUGGUUCCGGACCUAUAAUUUCCCCAUCAGUCCAAAAUGGAUUUUAGUAAUGUCAACUAGUGAUUAAGUAGCUAUAGUAAUUUAAAUUUAUAUCGAGUAAUUACAAUUUCCCUGAUCAAUUAAGGCUUAUGAAAUAAGGGGUUGAUUUUGACACUCCAAUUUUCACUUUGUGAAGCUAUUUGAAGUGAUUUUGGAGGGUCAAAAUUAUUUCCUUGGUGGUAAGUUGUCCACUUCCUUGUAUUCUAUUUAAAUCGAGUUUCGUUUAUGCGCUCGAAAUUUCGUGUUCGUCCUCGCAACUUAGAUGAAUUUGAUAUAAAAUAUCCUAUCUUUGCUAAAAAAAAGAAAAAAAACCCUCAAUUAUAACAAAUUACAUUCAAGGCCAAAAAUUAAGAAAAGAGAACUAAAAACGGAAGGUAAAUUCGUUUGUUGGCGCGUGUUUGUCGUUAAACCCAGAAUCACAGUUAGGUCACUCAAUCGUAGUAUCCCAGGCGGAUAAAUGUAUUUCCAGAAAAAAGACCGUUACGACCCGCCAUUUUUCCUCUCUCUUGAACUCUCUCUCUCUCUCUUUCCAGCCAAAAAAAGGCAGCCGACCCGCCACCAAAACCCAAAAGGCAUAAAAGAUGGUUUUUUGGAUUUAUGUUUUUCUUUUAUUUUGUUUAUUUAUUUUUAAUUUGCAACAAAAACAAACGCGCUUUCUCAUCCUCACACAGCCACCGAAGACGAAUAAAUCGCCACUUUUUGUAAGGGUUGACCAAUUUUGCGGUCUUUUCUCCUCUCGUGAUUGAGAAGAGGAUAGGAAGAUACACAAGAAUAAGGUUCGAUCUUUGAUGCUUUGUUCAAGUUUUGGAUUUUUUGUUUCCGCCGCGGAAUGUGAUUUUUUGUGCCGGAUUGCAGAUGGGUUUUGUGUGUUCUGUGAUUUUAGUUGCAUGGUUGAUGUGAAAAUAUGGACUUUUUAUGUUUGUUUUUGUAUGAAAUGAAUGAUUGUGUGAAAACUGCAAAUGGGCUAGUCUCUGUUUUCCGAGAUGUUUGAUAUCUCAUCAUAAAUAUGCUUUCUUCGCAUCUUUAAUAAGGAAAUUUUGAAUCCAUGUCUCUGCACCCAAGUUUGAAUCCCCAUCUCCAUGGUUUGAUGAAUUAGCGUAGAAUAUCGCUUGUGUCAAAGAAAAAAAAUUGAAUUGGUUGUGGUUACCGUUAUCAUUUCAACGGUUUGGUGAUGUAUGAGAUACAUUGUUCUUGUUUUGGUAUUGAUGUUUGCAAAUGCAGAUCAUAGAUGGCUUUGCAUUCAUCUUGAUGGUACCUUUUUUGUAUGGUUUUUCAGGUUUUGAACAACGAGCUGAAUAAUCGAGACUAAUUCUCCGAGGAGACCAAUCAUGGUAUGUCUAAUGUCUUACAUAUCUUCAUUAGACCUCUGGCUCUUUGUAUUAGCUGUUAGGUGGUGUGUUUACUUUGCUUAACAAUUUAAUAGGGUGAUUUGAAAUCUUUCGAAAUGUUCGCAUGAGGUUGUGUUAAGCAUUUUGUGCAAUGAAGGUUGAAUUAAUCUUCUUGAGCAUUUUGUAGCAACUAGGAUUUUACAUACUUAGAAUUUGGGUGCACAAAUGGUACGUUGAUCGUAGAAUGUCACAAGUUGAUGCAUGAGGUAUCUGAAGGGCAUCCCAUCUGAAUUAGGAGGUUGAAUGUUCGAUUAUCUGGUGUUCGAUAAAUUUUAGGCGAUGUGGCAGUGACAAGUUCUUAGGAGUACUAAAAAGGAUAAAACCCUAAUCCAAGAAUGGGAAAAGAUAUAAGGAAAGAAUUAGGGACUGUCAAAAGUUUAAAAAGGCUCACCAUAAAUGUUAAGGCUUUGAGAACCAGUGAAUUUAUUUGGAUAACAAUGUGAUCUCGAAAUUCUUUUGCAAGCUUUCGUUUCUGUUCAUGAUACAAUAAGAAAUCUGCAUUUUUUUUGUUUUCUGGAACUAUUGUGAGCGUUAUCUCACUCACUCUUUCUUGGGAAAUUAUAAUACUUUACAGGGUUGUCAGUUUGCUAUGUCGUCUUCUUCAUAAUGGAAGUAGAGAACAUCGGCAUCCCCGUGAUCCUACAAGUCCUGGACCUUAGUGGUGACAAGGGCAAAAAUAAUUCGAUCCCACAAGAACCAGAGUCCAAUGGGGUUGAUGUUGGCAGUAAUAUCAGAACGGAUUCCAUCCCUGAAAUCCCACCGGAAGUGGAUCUCAAGGGUGGUGAUGUCAGAGGUAACUCUGUCCUAGGGGUUCCACAGGACAUAGAACCCAAUGGCAGUGAUAGCAGAAGGAGCUCUAUCCCAGUGAUCCCACAGGAAAUGGAUCCGAAGGGUGGUGAUGUUGGAGGUAAUUCGGUCAUAGGUAAUUUGGUCGUAGGGAUUCCACAGGACAUAGAGCCCAAUGGUGGUGACAUCAGAAGGAGCUCUAUUGGAAAUGUUGAUUCUCCUUCUACUGAGAGAAACACUAUCCCAUGGAUCUCAGCGAUGAUGAUAGGAACUUUAUUGCAACUGUCGCACGGGAAAUAGAACCCGAUGGCAGUGCUAUCAAACAGAACUCUAUCCUAGAGAUCCCACAGAAAAAGGAGCUUGAGGGUGGUAAUAUCAGAAGCAAGUCUAUCAUAGAGAGCCCACAGGAAGUAGAGUCUAAUGCCAGUGAUUUCAGAAGAAGCUCCAUCGAGAAAGUAGAUCCUCCUGCUGAUAUCAAAAGGACCUCUAUCCCAGUGAUCCCACUGGAAAUGGAGCCUAAUGGUGGUGAUGUUAGAAGGAACUCUAUCAGAGUGAUCCGACAGGAAUUAGAACCUAAUGGUGGUGGUAUCGGAAGGAACUCUAUGCCAGCGGUCCCACAGAAAAUGGAACCAAAUGCUGAGGAUACCAGCAGGAACUCUGUUCCGUGGAUCCCACUUGAAAUGGAACCAAAGGGUGGUAGAAGGAUUCAGUCCCGAUAUCUCAGAGCUCCAACAGGUUCCUGCCAUGAUUAGUGCAAAUAUGGACUGAGAAAUGCUUCUGAAGAAAAUGCAACUGCCGCAAUGCUAAAAUCGGCAACAGAGAGGAAACAGAUAUCCGCUACAAAUCAAAAGCCUUCUGAUUCCGGCACCAAGAAGCUUGACAAUUCUGCCAUCACAGAGAAAAAAGUUGUCAUUGAGGAAGAAGGAAAUUGUUUCUGCAGAAAAGGUUCCAUCCUCUUCCAAGGAUAUUGAUAUUUCUAUGGAAGAUUCCUCCAGUUUGAAGGUGCAGCGUGUGCAAUCAGAGCCAUCUUCUCUCCCAGAACAGGCUUUAAGCCUGAGAAAUUCAAAGGUGAUAUCCACAACUGGAUCGAGGUCUGUUCCACAUUCCCAAACCUGGAAACUUAAUAACUCUGACGUUAUGAAGAAAAAAGGUUCAUCAUCGACGAAGAAAGAAACUGCUUCUUCAAAGAAAGGUUCAUCUCCCAAGGAAAUAGCCGUUUGUAUGGAAGAGUUGAUUGAUUCGAAGAUGAAAGCUGAGCAGUUAGAUCAAUCUUCUUUCCCAGGAUCAGACCCAAGCCUGAGCAAUUUGGAGGUGACAUCGACAAUCAAUUCUAAGCCUUCUCCAGAUUCCGAGUCCCAGAAUUCUAUUGCCACGCAGAAAAGAGUUUCACCUCUCUACAAGGAUAUAGAUGUUUCUGCUGAAGAUUCCACCGAUUCAAAAGUGAUAUCAACAGUCAGUCCAUGAUCUUGGUCUAGGAGGACAUUGCUCCCACCUUUAACCAUGGCAAUCCCCUCUAUGCAGAGACAGAGGAGGAUGUCAGGGCUGCACAAAUUUUGAAGAAGGCUGGUCUCUGGAAGGGAAAAGCAGUCAGCUAUCACCCAGAUAAGAAGGAGCAGAAAACGGUGAAGAAGGUUGUUGAAGCUGAAAAGAGCUUGCAGGCUGUUGAAGCUCGCACCAAGUGAGGGUUCUCUCUGCAUAAAACAAGGCCACUCAAUUUAAUGUUCUUGGUGUUUGUGAUCUGUUGUCAUGAUAUUGAAUUCUGGUGUUUGUGAUCUGUUGUCAUGAUAUUGAAUUCUGAUCAAGAAUCUUAUUUUAGAUAAGUCUUUGCCAAAUAUUCAUUGAAUGUUGUGCUGUAACAUUGCUUGCCCAAUUCUUCCUGACCCUCGUUAUCUCUGAAAUCCAUACAACCUCUGAAAUCCAUACGCCUCAGGACUCUCUCUAGCCUUCAUGGUAGAUCGAUCGAACCCUAGUUAUGACCCAUCUUAGGUGUUUUGGUGAAGGUUUUUAACGAAUGCAACUCGGGAUGUUAUUUUCCAGAUUCCGGCAAUAAACCCGGCGGCUUCCAAGCCCUCAUACGUUUCCAUCCCGAGUGUACACCAUGCAUGAGCUUUCGGAUCUUCCCCAUGAUGCUGCAAUUACAUGAAGCAUAAGUCUCCUUCGAUCUAUAAAUAUAUAUAGUACAAAGAGCGUCGUUUCUAGAAAUGCGUUAAACACAGAAAACAGAAAUGUAUUUCAUAUUUCUAGAAAUGAGUUAAACACAGAAAACAGAAAUGUAUUUCAUAUCUAAACAGAGGAAGGAACAGUAAAAAGAGAGGUUACCAGACGUGAAGCUGCUCUCUCCCUUCCUUGAUAGCGCUCUCUCUCUCCCCUCUGUAGCCUAUAUUUCACUUCGCUCUCAGCUCUGCACACCGCACUCACUGUCACAUAUAUGUAUAUGUAUAUAUAGAAGCUGGAAAGUUGAGGAGGUAGCGCAUUGCGUGUGACUGGCCCGUGAGAGGGGAGAGAGGAGAGAGGAGAGGGGAGAGAAAACAGUUCGGAUGCAAGAGAGAGAGAGAGGAGAGAUUUGCGGGGAGAGGGAAGAGAGAAGAGAGAAGAGAGAAAACUGUUUGGAGAGGUAUGAUCUUCUCCACAUAAAAUGAGUGUGCCCUCUCUGUCUGCCCAAUUAUAUAUUGACACGUAUUAAAUUUUACAACAAAGUUUAAAAAGCUACGUUCAUAAAUACGUUUCACUUAAUCAUUGGACCACAAAGUGAGCACAUCCAUUAAAGGUCCAGAAGAUCCACUCUCAACCGUUUGUCCGCUUUCAAACGGUUCAACCGGUUCAACCGAUUUUCUAUUUUCUUUCUAUUCUUUUCAAUUUCUUUUUAUUCCCCCAAGCAUCCAAUGCCAGGCAAUGUUUGCGUGAGCUGCUUCCGGAAGCUUCUAGAACCUUCUUUCGUGUUACGUUUUAUGUGUACGUCGCUUUGAUUAAACUUUUUCGUCGUCCACUCUUAUUAUACAAAUGAACAUGUUACCAUAUAGAUGAUACCACCCCUAACGUAUACCCAACUUGUGCAUAGGGGUGGGCGCGGUGCGGUACCUUCAAUUCCGCUUAAAUUUAACAUUAAAAUUGUACGUUUCAGUUCACGACGGUUUCGGUUCGGUUCAUACCUGUUUACGGCUCCAAGUACUAAAUCAUUUUAAUCUUGCAAUUUAGAUUACAUAAAAAGGUCAAAGGAUUUUUAUACUAAAAGAUAGUAAUUAAAUCACACAAUGAAUAACAUGACCAAUCAUAAAAGAAUGAUGAGCUACAAUAGAAGAAGAUUUAGAAGUUAAAUGGCUACCAAAACUUUACAAAGCUAAUAAAUGUUAUCAUGUCAAUAAUAAUUAAUUCACAAAACACAAACACAUAAUUAACAAAUUUAGCUUACCAUACCCAUUUUGGUUUACUAAUUUAACAUUCUAGAAACGAAAGACUAAAAGCACUCUUGUUGAGAAGCAUGAUCAAACCGUCAGAAUUCACAAAAAUUUCAAAAUCCAAUUGAUUAUUAAUAUUCACGGUUCGGUUUGGUUCUAAGCAGUUCCACCAACAUGAAAACCAUAAACAAAACCGGUAUGAACGGUUCAGUUCGAUUCUUGAACCUAAGUUAACUUAUUUUUGUUUCAACAAAAAUUUUCGUGGUUCAAUUCGAUUUCACAAUUUUCAUGCCAAUCUCUACUUGCAAGCAGCUGGGCAUGAGCUACAUCUAAGUUUUCGUUACGAAAUAGUUCAAUAUGUUAGAGCUAGCUGCGGGGUUUCCAAGUCUAGUAACAUUUUAGAAAAAGGUUGAGAGAUAGACCUUUUACAAUUGUUCACUUUUUAGGAUUCCCCACAUGUUACUUAGAAAUUUUUUAGUUUGCCUAAAAUUCAACUCGGUACACCAAGUCUCAUAGUAUAAGUUGUCAUUUUUUUUUUUUUAAGCAUCUAACUACUCCUAUUAUAACAUGUAGUGUACCAGACCGUGCUCUCGUCGGAUCGAAAAGUAAAGAAAAUAAUAUAUACGUUAAUGUUUGGCACUUUUAGGCUCACAUUAUGAAGGGGUCGGAACCUUCUGUAUUGAGGGUCUCUAUAAAGGGUGGGAAGUUGAUCAUCAAGGGUCUGUACAAAGGGGGUCGAAGCCUCCUGUAUUGGCCGAUCGUUAACUAUAGUCUUGUAUUAGCCGACUGCUAAUUUUAAAGCCAGUAACAAAAACGGUAGGGUUCUAGAGAAGGAUGAGUCUCACCGACUCACUGGUCCUUUGGUUUCUCCUCUCCGGCACAAUUCAAUCAAAUCAAGGAAAAAAAUACAUAAAAAUUAAACCAAAAAGUUUGAAUCUUUUAUACAUGUACAAAUAUUGCUGUAUAUUUCCAGUGGAAAUGCUUGUAUCGUAUACAGCCAGCCGACGACAAGUACACUUAAACCCAGAAUCACAGUCAGGUCACUCAAUCGUAUUAUCCCAGACGGAUAAAUGUAUUUCCAGAAAAAGACCGUUAGUACCCGCCAUUUUUCCUCUCUCUUGAACUUUCUCUCUCCUCCACCUCUGCUCUCUCUUUCCAGCCCAAAAAAGGCAGCCGACCCGCCACCAAAACCCAACAGGCAUAAAAGAUGGUUUUUUGGGUUUAUUUUUUUCUUUAAUUUUGUUUAUUUAUUUUUAAUUUGCAACAAAAACAAACGCGCAUUCUCAUCCUCACAGAGCCAACGACGACGAAUAAAUCGCUACUUUUUGUAAGGGACGACCAAUUUGUGCAGCUCCCUUUUGCGGUCUUUUAUCCUCUUGUAAUUGAGAAGAGGGAUAGGAAGAUACACAAGAAAAAGGUUCGAUCUUUGAUGCUUUGUUCAAGUUUUGGAUUUUUCUUUUUCCGCCGCGGAAUGUGAUUUUUUGUGCCGGAUUGCAGGUGGGUUUUGUGUGUUUUGUGAUUUUAGUUUCAUGGUUGAUGUGAAAAUAUGGACUUUUUGUGUUUGUUUUUGUAUGAAAUGAAUGAUUGUGUGAAAACUGCAAAUGGGCUAGUCUCUGUUUUCCUAAAUGUUUGAUAUCUCAUCAUAAAUAUGCUUUCUUCGCAUCUUUAAUAAGAAAAUUUUGAAUCCAUGUCUCUGCACCCAAGUUCGAAUCCCCAUCUCCGUGGUUUGAUGAAUUAGUGUAGAAUAUCGCUUGUGUCAAAGAAAAAAAAAAUUGAAUUGGUUGUGGUUACCGUUAUCAUUUCGACGGUUUGGUGAUGUAUGAGAUACAUUGUUCUUGUUUUGGUAUUGAUGUUUGCAAAUGCAGAUCGUAGAUGGUUUUGCAUUCAUCUUGAUUGUACCUUUUUGUAUGGUUUUUCAGGUUUUGAACAACGAGCUGAAUAAUCGAGACUAAUUCUCCGAGGAGACCAAUCAUGGUAUGUCUAAUGUCUUACAUAUCUGCAUUAGACCUCUUGCUCUUUGUAUUAGCUGUUAGGUGGUGUGUUUACUUUGCUUAACAAUUUAAUAGGGUGAUUUGAAAUCUUUCGAAAUGUUCGCAUGAGGUUGUGUUAAGCAUUUUGUGCAAUGAAAGUUGAAUUAAUCUUCUUAGAGCGUGUGUGAGGCUGCUACUUUGUUCCUAACAAGUAGCAACUAGGAUUUUACAGACUUAGAAUUUGGGUGCACAAAUGGUACGUUGAUCGUAGAAUGUCACAAGUUGAUGCAUGAGGUAUCUCAAGGGCAUGCCAUCUGAAUUAGGAGGUUGAAUGUUCGAUUAUCUGGUGUUCGAUAAAUUUUAGGUGAAGUGGCAGUGACAAGUUCUCAGGAGUACUAAAAAGGAUAAAACCCUAAUACAAGAAUGGGGACAGAAAGAAAGAAUUAGAGACUGUAAAGGUUUAAAAAGGUUCACCAUAAAUGUUAAAGCGUCAAGAACCAGUGAAUGUAUUUGGAUAACAAUGUGAUCUCUAACUUCUUUUGCAAGCUUUUGUUUCUGUUCAUGAUAUAAUAUGAAAUCUGCAUUUUUUCUGUUUUCUGGAACUAUUGUGAGCGUUAUCUCACUCACUCUUUCUUGGGAAAUUAUAAUUCUUUACAGGGUUGUCAGUUUGCUAUGUCGUCUUCUUCAUAAUGGAAGUAGAGAACAUCGGCAUCCCCGUGAUCCUACAAGUCCUGGACCUUCGUGGUGACAAGGGCAAAAAUAAUUCGAUCCCACAAGAACCAGAGUCCAAUGGGGGAGAUGUUGACAGUAAUAUCAGAAGGGAUUCCAUCCCUGAAAUCCCACCAGAAAUGGAUCUCAAGGGUGGUGAUGUCAAAGGUAACUCUGUCCUAGGGGUUCCACAGGACAUAGAGCCCAAUGGCAGUGAUAGCAGAAGGAGCUCUAUCGGAAAUGUUGAUCCUCCUCAUAUCAAAAGGAGCUCUAUCCCUGUGAUCCCACAGGAAAUGGAUCCCAAGGGUGGUGAUGUCGAAGGUAAUUCGGUCGUAGGGAUUCCACAGGACAGGGAGCCCAAUGGUGGUGACAUCAGAAGGAGCGCUAUCGGAAAUGUUGAUUCUCCUUCUACCGAGAGAAACUCUAACCCAGUGGUCCCGCAGGACAUGGACCUCAGUGAUGAUGAUAGGAACUUUAUUGCAAAUGUCGCACGGGAAAUAGAACCCGAUGGCAGUGCUAUCAAACUGAACUCUAUCCUAGAGAUCCCACAGAAAAAGGAGCCUGAGGGUGGAAAUAUCAGAAGCAAGUCUAUCCUAGAGAACCCACAGGAAAUGGAGUCUAAUGCCGGUGAUAUCAGAAGAAGCUCCAUCGAGAAAGUAGAUCCUCCUGCUGAUAUCAAAAGGACCUCUAUCCCAGUGAUCCCACGGGAAAUGGAGCCUAAUGGUGGGGAUGUUAGAAGGAACUCUAUCAGAGUGAUCCCACAGGAAUUAGAACCCAAUGGUGGUGGUAUCGGAAGGAACUCUAUGCCAGCGGUCCCACAGAAAAUGGAACCAAAUGCUGGGGAUACCAGCAGGAACUCUGUUCUGUGGAUCCCACAUGAAAUGGAACCAAAGGGUGGUAGAAGGAUUCAGUCCCGCUAUCUCAGAGUUCCAAUAGGUUCUUGCCAUGAUUAUUGCAAAUAUGGAGUGAGAAAUGCAUCUGAAGAAAAUGCAACUGCUGCCAUGCGAAAAUCGGCUAAAGAGAGGAAACAGAUAUCCACAACCAAUCAAAAGCCUUCUCCAGAUUCCGACACCCAGAGGCUUGACAAUUCUCUUGUCACAGAGAAAAAAGUUUUGUCAUUGAGGAAGAAGGAAAUUGUUUCUGCAGAAAAGGUUCCAUCCUCUUCCAAGGAUAUUGAUGUUUCUGUGGAAGAUUCCUCCAGUUUGAAGGUGAAGCGUGUGAAAUCAGAGCUAUCUUCUCUCCCAGAACCGGCCUUAAGCCUGAGAAAUUCAAAGGCAAUAUCCACAACUGGACCGAGGUCUGUUCUACAUUCCCAAACCUUGAAACUUAAUAAUUCUGUCGUCACGGAGAAAAAAGGUUCAUCAUCGACGAAGAAAGAAACUGCUUCUUCAAAGAAAGUUUCAUCUCCCAAGGAAAUAGCCGUUUCUAUGGAAGAGUUGAUUGAUUCGAAAAUGAAGGCUGAGCAAUUAGAUCAAUCUUCUCUCCCAGGAUCAGACCCAAGCCUGAGCAAUUCGGAGGUGACAUCGACAAUCAAUCCUAAGCCUUCUCCAGAUUCCGAGUCCCAGAAUUUUAUUGCCACGCAGAAAAGAGUUUCACCUCCCUAUAAAGAUAUAGAUGUUUCUGCUGAAGAUUCCAACGAUUCAAAAGUGAUUUCAACAGUCAGUCCUAAUCCUUCUCCAGAUUCUAAAGCACGGAAACUUAAUCAUUCUGGUGUCAUGGAGAAAAGAGCUUUAUCAUCAAAAAGGAAAGAAAAUGUCUCUUCAAAAACGGUUUUAACUCCCAUUAAGGAGAUUGAAGUUUCUAUGGAAGGUUCCAUCGGUUCAAAGGUGAAGCGUGAGCAAGUAGAGUCAUCUUCUUGCACAGGACAAGGUUCAAGUAUUCAAGGAAAGAGUGGAACUAGAAAAGGCAAGGAAAUACCCGAACGUUUGAGCAGCAGUGUCAAUAGAAAAAACAGAAGCAAACCGCCGAGGACUCCUGUAUUGGUUGAGAAAAAGAUGUUAGAGCCUGAAACUGUUUCUUUGACUUACAAACACCCCGUCAAGAGAGUCUGCGAUGAAAAUGCUGGAAGCUUUAAGAACCUUAAAGGGUUGUCUCAUAUGAAAGAUCAAAACGGUCCCCGAAAAGUUGAACCUGAGGGACCCUGCAAUAAGGAUGUUCCAGAAAAGAUUUUGUAUGUCAUCGAGUCUAAUACUGAGAAUAGUACUGUCGAACCAACUCCAAAUGGUGCCGAUGCCCCUAAGUUAUCGUCGUCGUCACAUCAAUCCUCGGAAGUCAAAAGCUCGAGACAAGCUAGGAAGGGAGUUGGUACCACUCGAGCACCGACAUCCUCUAUGAAGAAAAACUUGAAACGCACUGCAAAUGGAGGUUAUGGUCGUUCACCUACUGUUCCAUCCCCUAAAAACAAAGGCUUGAGGCGUAGUACUCGAAGACCUUUAUCUUCAUCGUCAUCCUUAUCAUCAUCAUCCAUAUCAUCAUCAUCCGUGUCCGCAUCCCCAGUCAAGUCCACUCAUAAAAAAGAAAAUGGCGCCACCUCUCAACGCAAAGCAAUGAAAACUGGUAAUCAAAGAGCAAAUUUGAAGGUGGGGAAGAGUACUAGGCCUCGAAAGUCUGAGAUACUUAGCUCUGAAAGCAAAAACAGCUCAGCCCGAAAGCUGACAUUUAGGAGAGGAAGGGUGCUUGACAUUAAGCCUGAGAUCAAUACUACAAGGAGACUCAAAUUCAGGCGAGUAAGAUUGGCAGGGGAGACCCAAAAUGGUAAAGGUGGUGUAAUAGGGGGAAGCGCCGGGAGGAAAGAAGUUGGUGACAGCCAGUCAAUUGGUGAUGUAUUCCAAAGGUUAAGCCCCUGGUGGAAAGUAGUUGAUCACAGUCACUCAAAUGGUGCUUUUAUCAAAAGGCGAAGCCUUGGGAGGAUUGAAGUUGAUGGCAGCCAGUCAAAUGGUGGUAAAUUCAAAAGCGAGAAAGUUGUUCCGAGAAGCUUCAAACGAGAUGUGGAAGGUUCACAAGGGAAGAGCUUGAGGAGGAAAGCGGCUGGUGAUAGUGGGUUGAAUGGUAGUACUAAAACGAGUCCUGAGAAAGUUGUGUUGAGACACCAAGGUGUGACAGGAAGGAAGGAUGUGCAGAAGUUGUUGAAUAAUGUGAUUGAAGAGACUGCCAGUAGGCUUGUUGAGUCCAGGAAGAGUAAAGUCAAGGCCUUGGUUGGUGCUUUCGAGACUGUGAUUUCGCUUCAGGAUACCAAAUCCAUGGCAUCGGAAACAGACACAGAAGAUGCAGUCUGAUAUACCAAAAACAUAUAGUUAUGAUUUCUGUACAUAUCUGAAAAAACACGAAUGCAGUAGUUUUGGAGGUUGCGUGGGAUUGAAGUUCUGCGAGCUUGUGAAGUUGCGGAGGCAUAAGUGAAGAGAAAACUGAAUCAAGGUGAGAAGGCUCUCUGAGAAUAUGAAACAUUUUUCUUGUGUGUACUGCUAUACUGAUUGUUUUGCCGAAGGAGUUGUGCAUUAUUGCUAUUAUUUUUCUGUUGUAUGUUUCUGCAACGUGCGUGUUGGUGAUUUUUUAGUUACUGCUUAUCGAAAUUACAUAUUUACGAAGCUUGCGAUGAACAAUUAGGGACCAUGGUGUGACUGCCAUUCUCAUAGAUGCCCCCAUAGAUGGUUAUGAGUCGUUGUCGUGUGACAUGUCGAGAACGUCAGUAACACGAAUAAGUACGUUGAUAUCUAGAGGCCAGAUUAAUUGUUAUGGUUCAAAACUCACAUCAGAAAAUGUCGUGUGGGGCAAAAUUGUUAUGGUUUUAACAGAGUCAUGCAUCCAUUUUCCAGGAUGUUGUGAUGUGGACUUCCGAUCAUCCAGAUUCGGUAUUUUAGCAAAAUUAUAUAGGAAGAAAUCAUCUUUAAGACUUAAUUGACAAGUCCAAGCAUACAAGACCAUUAGUAAUUCAGAGAACGUUGGAAUUAGUUGCAUUUUCCCGGGACUAGAUCGUAUAUUAGUAUUUCUCUUAUCACGUAAACUAUUAUCUCCUGAAGCUAGGUGAGUCCUCAUUAGUUCCUUCGUACAUGGUUUGACCGCGGCUGGCUGCUUGACGCUGCUGUUGCCGGAGUGACUUCUUGUCGAUAGAGAGCUGCCAUCCUGUUGAACAAGUCCAUACUCAUUGAUUGCUGCAAAUCAAGUUUUAUUCAAAUUAGUUCCAAAAGUUAGCAAUGCUUCUUUAGAAAGUGCUUUCUGGAAGCACAUAGCAGGUGCUCUCGCAUAAAACACUUGUGAGCAUUCUGUUAUAAACACUUUUGGUUAUCUGAAAAUUGGUUUUAGCUAUUCUAGAAGUACUUCCAAACAUAGGUUUCUUUCUAUCAUUUCCUCACAUAUGUAUGUGGAAACACGUACUUGUGCUAGGAGGGCACAAUAUGGAUCAGGUAGAGGGUCUGAACCAUUAUUCGUGCUGGUUGGUUCUGCCUUUGCUUGAGGAGGAGGGUGUGGUGGGAUUAACAGCGGCAUCAUAAAUGGCGGCAUGAAAGAAGGAAGAGCGGCAGCCACAACCGGCGUAGGAUGAAUGCGCGAUCCCAUUCCGAUUCCCAUAUGAGCCAGGAGUGACAUUUGAUGAAGAUGCUGCAGCUGCAGCUGCUGCAUUUCUAAAGGCACCAUCAUAUUCAUAUUCAUAUGGCCAUUAGCCAUGAAAUUUCUCAGAUUAUGCAUCAUUUGGACUUGAGCUUGAAGUUGUUGCAAGUAUUUGAUCACCUCAUCAAGCAUUGAAGCUUUAUCAGUCUGUAAUUAAUCACUUGACAAGUCCAAAUUAACCACAAAAAUAACAUUGUCUCCAAAUUAAAUUAAGUAAUGAUGAUCGUAAUUCAGCACACAUCAAAUUUUCUCACCUUACUUGCAUUUGGCACCAACCUUUGCAGAGCUUUUAUCUUCUGGUUAAUCAAGUCUCUUCGUUUCUGCACGGAAUUAGUUUCAGUUAGAGAAGUGAUUUCCGCACACAAAUUAUUAGAUGGGGGAGACCAAAAUUAAAUUGUUACCCGCUCUGACUGAUUAUGAACAGCAGCAGCUCGCCUUGGUCUUGUUGAGUGUGAACGGCUUGAUCCGCCACCUUUGGUGGUUUCCCGGCCAUCAUCUCGGUUUUCCUGCUAGUUGUAAGAUACAAGUUGCGAGAGAUGUGACGAGAAAUGUGAUACAUGUAGCAUAGCAUCAUUUAAAGUGCACGACGCCUCAAAGAAUAUGUACAUGUUGUAUCUUACCAGCCCUCCGUGACUGGCCGAAUCCUCGUCGGUGCUUUUGGUCUUCAAACUGGGAGGAGACUCAAAAGAAACUAACGUCGAGGUAGUUUUAUGAUUGUCCCUGCACAAUCUAACACUAGCACCAGGACUAGCACAACUGCUGGGAUCUGCAUGUUCUUCAUGAAUGCUAUUAGUACUAAAGUUAUUCUCGAAGAAGCCGGAAUAUGAUCGACUGCGUUUUCUUAUCCACCCCUGCGCCGGCGGCACCUGGACAGAGCUGUCGGUCCAUGUUUCGCCGGAGGAUGCAACCACCGAGCUUGUGUUUGCCGGGGUCUGGUCAUGGCGGAUGAUAUUUGGGUCACGUUUGUGGCAUGUAGCUUGAUCGACAAUUGAUUCCAGUGUGUCACAAGCCCUGCUCCUGCUCCAUGUGGGAUUUGAUUGAGCUGUAAGAAGCGCACCAAGCCCAUGCAUGGCCAACUGGCCGUUUUCCAAUUUUAGUUCUGUGACGUCAUAAUUAGACCUGUAAAUCCAAAAUAUAUGUUUGAAUGAGCAAGAAAAUCCUAAUAUAUGAUGAAAUAUUUUGAUAAAAAUAAAGAGUACGAAAUGUACUGUCUAAAAAUAAGUUAAUUGACUAAAAACUCAAUGUUUGAAACCAAAGUGCAUAAGGUACAUAACCGUUUGGCCUAAUGAUAUUUAUUCUUCAAUCUAUGAGAUGAGGUUCGGAAUUCAAUUUCACGAUUGAUAAUUGUUACGAAAAGAAGGAUUAAUUAUAGCAUGUAACUGGGUUUUUUACAACUCAAAGGUUUUGAGUACAUCGAGAUUCUAGUUAGAGUAAUGUUAUUCUUAUCACAAUUUUAUACCAUAUUUCUUUAUCAUCUUAGGUGGCAGAUGAGUUGGACAAGCUACAUCAUUUAAUUUCAAUAUUUUUAUUAAUUAAAACACUUAAAUAAUCUUAGGUGGUAGAAGAAGACUCCUCGUAUAUCACAAUCAUCAUUUAAGUAACAAUCUUUUUAUUAAUUAUUGAUUAAUAUUUUGAAAUUAAAUGCUAAUUAAUUUAGAUGAUGUGACUGUCCACGUCAAAUGCCACUAAGUGGUAUACAAUUGUGGUACAAAAAUAUAGUAAGAAUAUCAUUAUUGUUCUAGUUAAGAGAAUAGAGCUAGAAAAGAAAAGCAUAUAAAUCCUACUGGUGCAAUAGCAUUGAAAAAGAAUAAAAACACCAAAUUCUGGUUAAUUAUCCCAUACACAAUUUACACAUUGAUAAAAAAUUUAAAAAUAAAAUAAAAUAAAAUAAAAACUCCAUAUAAAAAACAGAAAUUAAGAGAGAAAAUUACAUAAAUAAUCAACAAAAAAUUCAAAGGUUUAUGAAAGAAAAUAUGAACAGUGGUGCUUACAAAGGGACAGGACGAAUGGCGUUGGAGUGGUUCUGCUGCUGCAUGAUGCAUGCACACGUGAGGAGGAAUGGAGGAUAUCUGUUUUCUCUCCUCCUUCGACUUGUUAUUUCUUGGUCGUCUUUCCUUUGAAUAUAGUAAUCGUAUUCCAAAUCAGAACUCCACAGUACUACUCUAUAUAAAUCUCUCUCUCUCUCUCUCUCUCUCUCUCUCUCUCUCUCUCUCUCUCUCUCUCUCUCUCUCGACAAAUGAAUGAGUUGGAGAUAUGAGUUUGGACUCUCUCUUAUUAUUUCAUUGUCUUUCUGGUCCCUUUUUUGUGUCAUACUCACAUUGCUGUGAUGGAGAUUUUACACAAAACAUGUGGUAGCUAAAAAGAAGAAAGGAGAAAAAAAAUAUAUGCUUUGCCUCUCCCUGGACCAUUUUAGAUAAGGUUCUUAAAGUCAUUUGCUUUUUUUUUUCGUGUGGUGUUUUAUACUUUCACAAAUCACGUAUGAUACUCUCAGUCUCACGUACACAUGGUCUUUUACACCUAAUACAUGAAUAGUUCGCUCUAAAUUCUCAUCAACACGAAGUUCAUAAGUCAAUUGCCCUAGACCACUAUAGAUCGAGGGUCUUCAAGUCAUUUCGUGUAGGAUACUCUCAACAUCACCUUACACAGUUUUUUGCGUUUGAUUAAUUUUACAUGAAUAAUCUACUCUAAUACAAAGUUACCAUGCUAGACUUUUCAUCCUUUGACGACCGAUGCUCUCAACACAAAUUUCGUAACGCGAUCACAAUUUCCUUAAAUCUUAAAAGAGAGAGGGUAACUGGUGAAAAUAUAGUUUAUCCCUUUAAUCAUUUAGCCGCUGAUAUAAGUUGACAAUCUCACAUUAUGCAGUGCCUCAAAGUUCAAGACAACCUCUUGUCUGGUUGGUUGAUUUAUAACAUAUAUCAUGCAAGUUAUGAACAAAUUUAACGGAUAGAUCAGUUUUGGUUGAAAACUGACAAUUUGAGUCCUCUCAUGGCCAUCUCUCUCUCUCUCUCUAUCUCUAUCUCCCUCUCUGUCUAUCUUGUGCUGCCACUUGAGACCAACAAUAACUUUUGGGGUGUGAUAUCCACACACCCCUUUUUACUUCUCCCACACUUUUUUGGUUUUUGGCCGUCGGAUCGGAUGAAUUGAAGAAGAUCAACGAACAGAAAUUAAUAAGGGGUGUGUGAAAAGUAAAAAGGGGUGUGUGGAUAGCACACCCCUAACUUUUACAGGAAUUUAUACACAAUAUCAAUAUAUAUAUAUAUAUAUUAUAUUGUGUGCGUGUGUGUAUGUGUGCGUGUAUGUAUGUGUGCGUGAUACGUGGUCCUCCUUCCUUCAUAGGCCAAAUGACGGGGCCGUGGCUUUUUGACUUUAGAGCAUUUCCAGUGUGGGAAGCCCCCAGGACAACUGCCUAUUAAAUCCUCUUCAAUGAACAGUAAUUACAUUUAAUGAAAAGUAAUUGUCUUUUGCAUUUCUAUCUAUAAAUUAAAUAGCCAUGAUAAUAGGUAAUAAAAUAUUAGUAAUUUUUUAUUUUAUAAAAUAAUAAAAAAUAAUUUUAUUUGUAAUUUCGGAUAUGAUUUUUAAUCGGUCUCGUUGCGUCACAUGUCAUUAAAUAAGAAACUACAACCUGAAGUAUUUGAAAAAAAAUAAAAUUGUGGUGUAAGAUGGAAGAUAAUGAUAAGAAAUUUUUAGAUUUUUUUUUUAAUUUUUAAAUUUGUUUUCAGAUUUUUAAUUAAUUUUUUACAUUUUUUAUUGAUUUUAUAACAUGACUAACGUCAGCCUUGCGUCAGCGCCUUCAAGCUCUAGGCCCGUUGAUUCGUGCCUCCCCUCUCAAGCUGGCCUCCCCGAGCCCAAUCGCCCGCAUGGAAUGGAGCAAGGGAGGAAGGCAAUUGGAUUGAAAUGGUCCCCAAUCCAGUGGACAAUGGGCACCGCUUGACUUGCUCUUAUUGGCCAUUGAGUAACCAGUCAUCUAUGUCCAUUUUUGUAGUCGUAGGGUGUGACUUGACUACAAUUUUUGUAUUUCUUUUUAAAAUUGUCAGGCUAAGAGCUACUUGGUAAUUUACAAGUCAUAUAAACAUCUCUUGCAAGAUGUUAUGCGUUAUUGUUACAGGAAAAGACCAGAUGAUGUUUUAAAAAAGAAAAGAAAGAAAAAAAAAGAGCUAGCCAGGCUGAAGAAUCUGGUGCAUGUUUUUGCAGGGUUAUGUGUGCUGAAAUAUAAGAGCCAAUGAUUUAUUCAGGUUUGACCUAUUUCAUGAGAACUGAAUUUUUCUUUUUGAGAAGGCGAUAUUCUAAACUACAUUUAAUCUAUGUGUAUGUGGAUUCGGAUUUAGGGCCAUCAGAACUGAUCGAAUUUGGACAACCGUCCUUCAUUUUCUCUCCGUCUCAUUGAUGGUCUGGUUUCUGACUCUCUGCUAGCUAGAGUAGCCUAGGUGAGUGAUUGGCUUGAUAAAUAGGGCCACAUUUGGUUUUUUGUCUAACAUAACUAUGGCAGCUAGGGCCACUUUGCUCCAUCUCCAGGAACACUUUCUCUUUCUUCUCUUGGAUUUUCUGAAUCAUUAAGCUCUAUUAGCAGACAGCACUUGUAAUAGCCUUUGGAGCUUGCCUUGUGAUGGUGAUUUCACAUUCAGGUCCACUUCAAACUAGCUAGUCAUGCAUGCUUAACCAUGAGAGAGACUUACAUGAAGCGACGACGCCGGCUAGGGUGGCGAAAACUCGAAAGCUUGAAAUUGGAUGGCUUCCAGCCUCUUGAUCAAUCUGGCUUAAGUUAACAACAAUGCUCCACGUGAAGAGACAGGAGCAUGUCAUGCACAGAUCGACUGAUUGAAGCUAAUGUAGUGUCAUAUAAAAUUGUUCAAAAAGAUUUCCAGACAAGAUUACCAAUAGUUUACUUUUGCUGCAAUAUGAGAUGCAUAUUUAUAACUUGAUGAACAUAUUAGGAGAACCCAAAUAACAGUCCAAAGUAUGAGGGCAAGAUGUGAUGAGGAGGUAGCUGUUGGAAACAACGUCGCCUUUGGCGGAUGCAGCUAUCUUGUGGUGGAGGUAAUUUCAAAGUUCAUGGUUUAGGGCUUGGGUUUAGGGUAAUUUAGUCCAGCAUAAUGGUCCGCCUAUUGUGCCCUUGCCCUCAAAAUGAGGGAACCGUUUACCUAGAUAUUUGUUAUCUUUCUCGUUGAAUGAGAUCUCAAUUCCAGCAACGGUUUCAUUAGAUAUCUUACAACUAUACCUAAAUGUCGCGUGACUCACGUCAAUCCAAGUCAAAAUCUUGGACCUUAUUCUUUCCCCCUGAAGUAGUCCAUUUCAAUACUUUUCAUGGUUUAGGCCUGCAGGGGCAAAAUUAUAACAAGGAUUUUUUUUGUAGUGUUUGAGAAUUUUAGAUGAAGUAGCAGAUUGAACCGGUAUCUAACUCCUUGUGCCUGCAAAAUCUGCUGUCUCAAGUCUUUGAAUCGAAAGGGCCAAAUAUAUAGUUUUAUAGGAUCAGCAGAUUCAACACACAAUUAAUUGUUAUACAUCAUGUACAAAUUAAAAUAAGUUAGGAUCGAUAUACUGUAGCUACCCGUAAUGUGGUUAACAUAUACAGAUUUUAAUCAGCAGAAUAUCGAGUGACCGAUUCACUUUCUAGUAACAAGUGAAGCAGAAACAUGUAGUAGGAGCCUUGCCUGUUGAACUAAUCCUUUUCGCCUUUUGUUUGACUUUCGACUCUUCAUUUCUUCGUUUCUCUUCCACUUGUGCCCUUGCUCCUCCUGCUAUCUGGUCAAUUCUUGCUUGCUUAAUUUGGUAAUGCUGCAUGUUUCUUGCUCUUCUCUGCUCAAUUUCACUCUGCAAUUUCAACACACUAUUUCAGCGGUCUUCUUCAUUGGCAUUCGCAAACUUUGAAUUAAAAAAACAACAAUCGUUGCAACGUACCUUUCUCCUCUCCAUCUUAGCUUUUGCUUUCAUUUUCUUCUCAUUUUCCCAAGCAUCAAUUGUAGCCUUCACUUUCUCAUACCUGAAUAGUAUAAUUUACCAUUUCAAAAGGAAGAAACUGAAUCCAUCUUCUAUCAACAACGAUUAUGUUGUACUAGUGACUUCCGCGCACGCCUUUUCCCCUCAGCGCACCCCAGUUGUUUAUUUCUGGCCUUUGGUUCCAUCAAAGGACACAAAAUAAUGAGGACAUGUAAAAGGAGAAAAGGGGUGUGCGGAGAUCGUUUCCCCAUAAAACAUUUAAUCUUUACCGCCUCUGAAUCUUUUUCAUCUGAGCUCUCUCCCAAGCAUCUGCUUUUGCGUCCGCAGCAUUACGUCUGCCUGGACUUCCCUUUUGGUUUUGGUGUCCAUUUGCAGGAGUCGAAGGUCUUGAAGAGGAUGCACGAUUCGGGUACCUAGAUGGAAAAGCACUCUCCUGUGCUCUUUGAUCUUUCAUUGAAACUUCACCUAUCAUGAAUACAACCUGUUAGUUCACCGAAACAUUUUAUCGCGAAAAAAGUAAAUAGUCAAGUACCAGCAUCCCUUGCUUCUUUGUUUGGCCGCCCAGUCAUCAGAUCCUGCAGAGUCUUGGUCCUUGAGAUCGGAAUGCUUUCCCUCGUCCCUUUUUGAUACUGUAAUUUAGCUUCUUCAUUCGAGUGAAUGGAAAGGGCAGCUGCUGCAACCGCAGUUGCAGACUCGACAUCUUGUGCAUCAGAAUAAUGACUCAUUUCCUCCGAAAAACUGGCCCGGGAAGCAGUUUUGCCCCUUGCUAUGUACAAAAAUAAAUCAAUGGAAGUCUUUUGAGUUUUCUUGUAACUCAAGCCACAGAAUUGAACAUAACAUUCAGUUUUCGAUAACGUAACUUUCUGUUUUGGACAAAAUAUUCAACUCUAACUACAUGCAUAUAAGGAAAAAAUAGUAGAAUAGUAUGCAGAUUAGUACCUACAGAGAUUGUGUUUGUUGGGCUGGCGGCUUGCUUUCUUCAGAAACCUCUGUUGCCUGUUCUUCGCUCUCAAAUUUCCUGGUUUUCAAGCAGAUUACUGUUUGGCUGCCAAGAAAAAUAGAAGCAAAGGUGUGUUGCUAUUGCUUUUAUCAGAAUUUUGGUCAUGAACAGGGAGAAACAUGGACGCAAAGCGAAGCAAGGGGAAAGAUAUGCUUCACAGUUUACAUGAAUCUAUGCAGGAAGAAGCAAAGGAUUUUCCCCAAAUACAACACCACAGGCACACGCACAUAAACCUAAACCAGCAAGAUUCUUCCAUUUUUAACUCUAUGGUCCUCUUUUUCCUUCAUAAUUUUCAUAUUAUAUUCGGAAACAUGAUUUCCCCACACUCUUUUUCUUCUUCUGGGCGUCCUUCUUUAUUUAUAUCUUUUGAUUUCUUCAGUCCGAAUACUAAAAAUGAACUCUGGGGUGUGGAUGACGAAAAAAAAUGUGUGGAAAUCACUUGAAGCAGUAGUGUUCUUGAAGUUUUGCUUAUGACCAUUCCAUGCUGGUAGCUGUUCUUAUUCCAUUGGAUGGGAAUGAUUUAACAUUGGACACCAACAUUGGAUUCUGUUGGCCCACCAGAGGAAGCAAGCAACAGAUUAUAAUGUAAUUUAUUGAAGAAUUUUCUUGGGUAAGACUUAAAUGCUACGUAUGAUUUAAUGUUACGAGUAAUUUAAUUAUUAAAUUUAAUUUUUACCACUAUUUAGAUUUUUUAUUUUUAAUCUCAAAUAUUCUUUUCUGUAUUAGUUAAUACUACGUAGUGUUGAAGAAAAAUUGUCAAAUUUGAUGGAAGUUGGAGGGGGAACUAGUAGAUGUGUGUUAUUGGGUUUAGGGUUCACUGUCAAACGUUGAGAGGCAUCUGUGUUGCCUUGUUUUUUGGGGUUUCAACUUUUCAAGCACUUGGUAAUUUUAGCAGACUUCAUCAAUCAUGUACGAUCCGAUAACACGAAUGAAAAGAAACAAAGAAAAACUAAAGAAAAUUAAUUGGUAAAGUGAAUAGUAUCAUAAUUGAUUUUUUAAUGUAAAAAUAUGGUUUUUUAUUAAAUUGAAGAAUACGAGUUUUUCGUUAAAGUUCCUAAGAAACAACCCGUUUAGCCCAGUUUUUUUAUCGGGUUGUGUCACAUGCAGACACGUGUUUAAUUUUGUUCCAAUUCUCACCUUCAAGGCCCUCUCUCUCUCUGGGGUUCCCAUUCCCGCCCUUUCAAAAAUUGGAAUUCUCCCCCCAAUCUCAAAACCCUAAUUCCCAAAAAUGGAGAUCACAGAAGAACAAAGAAGACGAGCCGAAGCGAAUCGAUUAGUAGCACUAGCGAAACGCAAAGCGCUGAUCGAAUCCGAAUCCUCCAAUCUUCAACAACAGCAGCAAAACCCAUGGUCACUCUUCAAGUGCCGAAAGAUUUCUCCCGACCUCACCCCAAGCUCCACGCAUUGCAUCCCCGAUCCGAGACCCGAAUUUUCCCGGGUCAAACCGGUUCCGGAUAUUCAAUUUCCAGCGAGGUUCCGGGUCAGGCUCGAAAUCUGCUCCCCGGACUCCUUCUCAGCCACCCCAGUUGCCGUAAAAGGGUUUGCAUUUCCGGGGCAGGAGGAGUGCUUAAGGAGACUAAGUGAUUGCUUGGCUAAUGUAAGUAGUUUAAGUGGGUUUUUGUUUUUUUAAUUUUGUGCGGUGAGAAAAAAAUGGUUGAACAAAUAGGAAAGAAAGGAAAUUGAAUUCUGGGUUUUGUGAAUUUUGGUGGUUUGGUUUUGAAAAUAGCUUAUUUCUAGGCUUCGAAAGGUAUUUGUUUGGGUGGCGAAAAAAUGGCGGAAAUGAACAUAGAGAAAGGAAAUUGAAUAAAAGUUUUCUGAUUUUCAGUGGUUUCGUUUCGAAAAAGGCUAAAUUUUUUAGUGCAUUGAGUUUUGUUUCUUUCUUAUAUAACUAUUACUAUCGGUUUUCAGUACUUGUAAAGCUACUUCAAUAAGAAAAUCAUAAUAUUCAAACGUAUUGCAAUCGUUAGUGAGGGAGGAUUUUGUGUUUAAAUUGUGGUGUUAUGGAAUUGUCUUAGGUCAUGCCAUCCCAUUACACGCAAAAUCAUGGUGGUGGAAAGGCCGGUGUUUAUAAGCUGAGUGAUUACAGUGCGGUCUUGAAAUGUCUAAGAAGCAGCAAGAGCAUUGACACUGAAGAAAUACCUUGGGGCACUCUUAAUGUUGUAGAGAGACUUUCACAUUCUUUUGUUGCGGGAAAAUGGAUACCAUGCAGGCCAGAACACUUGUCAGACGAAAUGGUUGAUGAGUUCGUUGGGAAGCUACCGAAGAAGCUGUUAGAUGCACUUUUGCCUUUCCAACAUGAGGGUGUUAGAUUUGGUUUGCAAAGAGGUGGACGAUGUCUUAUUGCAGACGAAAUGGGCCUUGGAAAGACACUCCAGGUAGUUUUUUAUUAAAUGAUCUUAAAUACCCUUUGAUUUUUAUUCAUGGUUCUAGGUUUUAACUGCAUUCUGCCUUUUGGGUGCAUUGAGUCAGCAUUGAGACAGUGCAGUGUAGUUUUAUUGAGUGUGAGUGCUAGAACGCUGCUUUUGAUAACAUCUGCAAUAUUAUUUGGCUUUUUCACAACUGUUCACAUACAGUGACUGCACAUACACACAGAACUUCGUAUUAUACACAAACAGGUGUAUCUCCUGCACUUUAAUUUUUUUUUCUCCUAUUUUCCCCUAAAGUUGCCAUGAGUAAAUGAAAUUUAAUAUGUUAACAAUUUUCCACCCAGGCUAUUGCUAUUGCAAGCUGUUUCAUGCAUGAAGGUUCCAUACUUGUUGUUUGCCCUGCCAUUUUACGUUACUCUUGGGCAGAAGAACUAGAGCGGUGGCUUCCGUUUUGCUUGCCAGCUGACAUCCAUCUAGGUACAUACUUUAGCUGUUCCCAAUUUACUUUUGUUUAAUUUAUAUGUGUAUAUAUUAUAGAUUUACUUCUAAAACAUGAAUGGAUUCUCACAUGGUCUUGUGACUCCAGUAUUUGGUCAUGAAAACAAUCCUGCCAAUUUAAAGAGAUGGCCUAGAGUUGUGGUUAUUUCUUACACAAUGCUCCACCGGUUGCAUAAGAGCAUGCUUGAACGAGAAUGGGCUCUCUUAGUUGUUGAUGAAUCCCACCACGUACGAUGUACCAAGAAAUCAUCAGAACCUAGAGAGGUAAAGCAUAUUUCUUAUCAUGCCAAAUAUCAGUGGUUACGAGGAUUCUUAUAACACCUGGUUUAAUGAUAAAUUGGUCGUAUAAGGUGCUCCAAGAUUUAGAGUGUCUUAUUAUUGUUGCCUGUACCAUAUAACGCUAGCCUGCUGGAAAUUAAAAUUAAUAAUUUAUGAAUUUUCUAUCUUUUGAGGUCUUUGGUUUUGCAUGGUAAUUUGGGUGUUAUACACUUAAUGUAAAGGAACACAAAUUUCUUUGCUUGUUUCUGCAUACUUUUGUCAUCAAUUCUAUGGACUGGCAGCUUAAAGAUGCUAGUAUGAACAAAAAUUGUAAUACGAGGAAUACCGCUUUCAUUCAAAUUUAGUCUCCUAGAUUGCUUUUUUGUGAAUGUUCAUAGUAAUUAGUUAAGUAUACUAUACUUGCAGGGAGCUUUUACUAUAUGCUAAUUAAAUCUUGUGUAUUUACAGAUAAAAGCUGUUCUUGACAUUGCAACAAAGGUCAAGCGCAUAGUUUUACUAUCUGGAACACCUUCUUUGUCAAGGUUGUAGCAUGGGACUUUGAAGAAAUUGGCAGCAUUGUCUGCAGUUCUGUAUUAUUUUUGUAUUUUUCUCUAGUUAACCACUCUUUAGUCCGUUCUAAUGUCUCAUUUUGUAUAUCUUCCUAGGUGAUCAUAGGCCGUAUGACAUUUUUCAUCAGAUAGAUAUGUUAUGGUAAGUUCUCUUCACACUGUUAUAUCUCUAUCAACCGGCUUACUUCUCUCUUGGUUUAUUGGUCACUUUACAUCUUGCUUUUUUUUUUCUUCUUUUUCAAAGGCCUGGUUUGCUGGGAAAAGACAAGUAUGACUUUGCCAAAACUUACUGUGAUGUCAAAUAUAUCCACGGUGUUCAAGGGAAAACUUUUCAGGUAAUAUUGAAGAUCAUAUCAUUAUAUUGAUUUGUUGAAAAUUAUCCUCUUUGUGCUGCCACGUAGUUAAACAUGAUCAGAAUUUCAUGCUUCUUGGCCAUGGCCUAAAAGGCCUAUCCAUUUUGUCCUGAAAAGCCUUGUGGUUGACUAUUUCAGAUGUUAUUUCUUCUUCUGGAGAAAUUAAACUUACUGUCAACCCAUAUCUAUAUAUUUACCUAUACAUUUUGCAAUUGUGCUAGCACCUUUUAUUAGCAUCAGUUUUUCUAAAACGAUUUACUGUGACAAAGGAAAGUUUUAAGAUACUCCAUGGAAUUGUGCUGCAGGAUUUCUCUAAGGGCACUCGUUUGGAGGAGUUGAACAUGUUACUGAAGCAAACGGUUAUGGUGUGCUCUUGUUCUUUUUAUUAUCUUUAAGAUGUAUAUGUCCUCUCUUUGAACUCAAUGUAGGUUUAAAGUUAACGUACAUGUUGUUCUAGUGACCAAGGAGUUUCUGCUGUUUUAACAUGGUUGGAACUUUGUAAUACUUUUGUACCCUUGGUUAUUCUUGUUCAAAUCUCUUUUUUUUAAUUGCACACUUAAUUGUAGAUAAGACGCUUGAAGGAACAUGUCCUGGUUCAGCUACCACCCAAACGCCGCCAGAUUAUACAAGUAGUACUGAAGAAAUCAGAUAUAGCUUCAGCAAUAGCUGCUGUCAGGGUGGGAAGAAGUGCCACUAAGAAUGCAUCUUCAGAAAAUUUGGAUGAACCAAAUGGUAAUUUGAAUAUUUUCUGCAUUCGAAUAUGUGCGUGCAAUCAAAGGGUAAUGUGUUUUCUUUUAUUUCAUGCCCCUUGAUGGUUUGGUGGAGAAGCCAUUUCGAGAAAAAAUUUGUGCAACUAGUGUUAUUAUUUAUCUGCUUAUACUCAUUUUUCUUUUUCUUUUACCCUAUUGCUUUCAGAUAGUGAGUGUUGCUGCAGAUCAGGGCAACUUUCCUACCAAGAAUUAGGUAUUGCAAAGCUAGCCGGUUUUCGGGAAUGGCUCUCCAUUCAUCCACUCAUUGGAGAAUCAGAUGGUGUUGUAAACUUGGAAUCAGAUUCCAGUUCUCACAAAAUGUUAAUAUUUGCGCAUCACCAUAAAGUACUUGACGGAUUACAGGUGAGAUUUUCUUCAAAAUUUGUGCUUCCUGUUCAUCCUUUGAGAAUGGUUGUAUUUUAGUGAUUAAAGUUGCUCAAGUGGGGUUACUUGGGUUUACUGCUCCAAUCUAGGGCCAUCGUGACCAGUUAUUCAAAAGGUAGUGUGUUUUUAGUUAUUUGAAGUUGAAAGGAUACAGUGGUGGAAUAUAAUUGUAAUGUUUAUGAGUAUUUCAUUACCGUUGUAUAAUUACUCGCAUGAACUAUGUGUCUUAUUUCUGUUGGUAUUACAUUAUGGAUUAUCAUGUUAAUGGUUGGUGGCCAUUGCUAUUAAUGUUUCUGUCCAAUCAAUUCCUCAAUUUAGUCUUGUUUUGUUCUGAAUUAUCAGGAGUUCAUAUGUGAGAAAGGGAUUACUUUUGUCCGAAUUGAUGGAAAUACACUUGCUGCAGAUAGGCAGGAAGCUGUACGAUCAUUCCAACUAUCUACCGAGGUUCAUAUAUACUAUACUAUUAUUUCCUUGGCAAUUUUACUUGAUGUGCCUACAAACUAACUACACCAAGUAUCCUUUCCACAGCUUGAGUUGCACAUUUUGCUGAGGUCUCAGCCAAGAAUCCUUUCUUUUGCCCCAUAUAUUUGUGUGUUUUGAAUGAUGUAUUGUGUCAAAUUUUCAGGUCAAGAUUGCAAUAAUUGGUAUUACUGCUGGAGGUGUUGGCCUUGAUUUCUCAUCAGCAAAGCAUGUUGUGUUCUUGGAGCUUCCUCAGUCUCCAUCGUUGAUGCUUCAGGUUUAAACAUUAAAAACUAAUUUCAGGCCCCAUUGUUGAACUUCUUCUAUUUUAUAUAUUAUUGACUCUUUGAUGCGCAUGAUUCUUCUGAUUUGAAGGCUGAGGAUAGAGCUCACAGGAGAGGGCAAACAAAUGCAGUCAACAUAUACAUAUUUUGCGGAAAGGUGCUUGUUUCCUUUGUUAUAUAGUUGUUCUGUAAACAUAUUCUUUAUUUCCCUUUUACUGAUGAGUAUAACAUGUUGUAGGAUACUAUAGACGAGUCACAUUGGCAAAACUUGAACAAGAGUUUGCACCGUGUUUCAUCUACAACGAACGGGAAGUAUGAUGCAAUACAAGAGAUACCGGUACUUUUCAUUUUUGGAAGUUCCUUUCAAUUCUAACUGGAUUCUAAACCUCUUUACUAGGUUCAUAUUGUUAUUGUCCUAAAAUGAAAUACAGAACAAGUUGAUUACUAGGUUAAUUUCAAAACACGUAAUACUUAUCCAAUCCUUAGGCAGUCAGGUUUGGUUUCCAUUCUGCCAUAAGCAAUGUAGCAUUUAACUUCAUAUUUGGGUUUUGGCAGGUCGAAGGUAUUUCUUUCUUUGAGACGUCAGGUGGAGCUGAUACUUGUGAAGAUCAUAUGUGGCAAAAGACAGUGGGUGAUGAGUUCUCUGGAGAGUCAAUAAAAUUGUCUAACUUUGGCUGCUUAGCCAAAUAUAUGAUACCGGCGUAUGAUAAAUUGGUUGCAAACAUUCUACAUGGAUCUGCACAGCACAAUGAUAGUGAUGGAAUUUCAUCCCAAACGCACAGUAGUACCAAGGUAAAACCUAAGGGUAUUAACUGCACCUCCUUUUAAGUAUGAGAGUGAAUUUUCGUCGUUUUGAGUUUUAUUUUUAUUUUUUGUCAUGAUCUAUACAACUUUUUCGGUGAAACAGGCUCAAGUGGUUUUUGAUUGCAAUGGGGACAAGGGAUGUUCAGAAGAGAACUUGGAAGGAGAUGUUUCUACGAGCAGUGAAGACAAAGAUGGACUUAAAAAGGCACAUUCGAAUUUUUCUUGACUCAAAAGAAAGAGAUGACUUUUUCCUUUCAAUUUAUUGUCAAAGGAAGCAAUUUUAUAAGUUAGAAUUUGCAGGAACACCAAAACAACUGUCAAGCAACCAAAUCAAAGGACGCCGAACCAGUUCAGCCAAUGGAAGCUAAAGAAAGUAGUACCAACCAAGUAGAUGCUUUGCGAUUUGAGGUAAAACUUGUAAUCUGGUUAAUAGAUAUGGUUUCAAACAAUCAGAUAGUGGACAAUCUUUCUGAUUAGUUGAUUUAUCAGUAUUGAUGCCCUCAAUUGUAUGUGGCUUCAUUUAGUUACUUUAGCAUUACAGAUGGUGGCAAUUAUACAAACAGUAUUUGAUCACAAUUUUCUUAUUUGAUCACAAUUUUCUUUCUUGGAUAUUAGGUGAGCCAAUACACUGGUAGAAUCCACUUGUAUUCUUGCAUCUCAAGAGAGGAUUCAAGACCAAGGCCACUUUUUGAGAAUUUUAGACCAGAAGAACUCGAGGCAUUGAAUUCUACUGCUGCUGACAAUAUUAAAGGAACUUCUUUCAAAUUUUUGAAGGAGAAUCCAGGUUAUUUGCAUGCUCUUCUUGCAUUCAUCAAAGAAUGGAAGAAAUUGAGGCCCAUCGAACAAAAAAAAUUACUUGGAAAGCCUUUGCAGCUUCCUUUGACUAUUGAGUUGUGCUACCUGUGCGAAGGCAUUAACCACGACAUCAGGGUACCUUUUUACAAAUCUGAAUUUUCAUACUUUGUUGAUAUCCCUUUGUGGGAGUAAACUUGAUCUCCUUUCUCUGUGCAUUUAUUGAUAAUACAUAUCAGUGUCUUUUCAGCAGUGUACUGUUAUGCUUACAAAUCAUUUUAUUUUCUGGCAGGGACUACUGAAAGGUGGAAGCAAGCGCCGCUCUACACCUUUUGUUGAGAUCAGCAAACCUUUACCAUCAAACACUGUGUGGAAAAAAGUCCACCUACGUAGUGGCUAUGGAAAAAGGGAGAAGGAAUACACUCAGGGUUUUACUCUGACUGAUGAUCCUUUGUGCAAACUGUGUCAAACACCAUGCACGUAAGUUGUCUGUAGUUUAUCUACAUAUACUGGAUACAUCUUUUUGUUUCGGACGCUUACUUUACUUGAUUUCAGGGGCCAUAAUGCCAAGACACCUGAAUAUUUUGAAGAUCUGUUCUGCCAGCUUAGCUGCUACGAAGAAUACCGCAUCCGAACAAGUAACAGAUCUCUUCGUCAUGUAAGGACAUGAAAUAUGUUACUUGAGAUAAUCAAGUUCAGCAUAUUCUUCUCUUCUAUUUUGAUUUUAUGCAUGUGGCAAGACAACUUCAAUAGAAACUUUUGGAGCAUGUUUUUUUUUUCUUGAGCUUUGCCCCCUUUGAUUUGCAGGAGCUUUUUCAACUGGAACGUGGUGUCUGCACAAUUUGCCAAUUAGAUUGUCAUAAACUUGUUGAGCACCUAAGACCGUUAUCCUUGGCAAUGAGGAGGCAGUAUAUUGAAAAUUUUGCGCCACGAGUGGCAACUCUGAAGAAACCGUAAGUUAGAAGAAAUUGUUGUGCAACUAGUUAGAAGAAAAUGUUUCAUUUUUUCUUCUUAAUGCUUCUGCUAAUUACCCAACAAUUGUACUUUCAAAUACCAACAAUAUCCCCGAUUCCCUUAAACCAAAACACAUUAUCAUUUGACGUCGUGCAGGCUUGAUAGGCUUGUUAAGGAUCCGAAAGAGGGCAAUGCAUGGCAUGCAGACCACUUUGUUCCUGUCUAUCGAGGUGGAGGUAUGUACUAAUUACUUCUUAGAAGACUUUCAAGAAUUUGCUCUCCCCACAAAUAUUUGUACCACUGAUUUUCCCAACCAACUUUCCGAUGAAUUAAACUACACUAAUUCAUAUUAUUAUUGAUUAGUGUUUUGUUCACGUAAUAAAUGGAGUUACAACUUGUUACAUUCCGCUGAUUUGGUGAUGUUUCUCAUAUCAUACCUAUUGAAAAACAGUGUGAUCUUGACAUCGAAUGUUAAGAAAAGUAGUUAAAACAUACCUUAAAAUGCUAGUCUUCGUACUCUUGUUUUCACUUGUGGAGAUAUUACCACAUCGUUCUUGAAGAUCCCUUCUUUUGGUUUCGCAGCACAAAUACUUUAUUUUCCAAUUUAUGUGCGUGGUUAGAAUUUAAGCUUUGGUUUUCAAAGUCUUAUACUAUUCAAAACUUGUGUAGGUGAAUGCAGGCUCGAGAACAUGAGAACACUUUGUGUGGCCUGUCAUCGCGAUGUUACUAAAGCACAAUGUGCUGAACGGCUGUCAACAAGGAUCCAGGCUAAGAAAAAACUGAAAGCAAUCAUGAACGACAUUAAAAAGAAAGCUACGGAGACUAAUCUAGCGGUAUGUUCUGAAACCAGUGGUACUUUUUCUAUUUUCCUAACAUGCUCUUCGGUAAGAAUACUAGUAAUAAGGACGCAACUGUUCAUUUCCCUGUGCCUGAACUACGUUAAAGUUCAUUUAGAUUGAAUUUGCAAUUUUGACGUCACGUUAAAUGAUUUUAUUAGGGCCCGGAACAUAUAGAGAUUAUGCAAGAGGAUGCAAUUGAGGAUGAGCUUUUCGUCAAGGUUCCUGGGAGCGCCUACUCAUUGGAAAAUCGCUUGGAUGCUACAACUACAGGCGAAGACUUGGACGAGCCCUCCAGUAGCAACAAGGUUCCAACGGUAGAUAGCCAUCUGUUAGGAGUAUAAUUCAUGUAUUUUUUCUUCGAAUAGCAAAUAUUUUGAUUUUUUUAGAACCUUUUGAUGUCUAGGACUCAAUUUCUGGACUUCAGAUUGUUUAAGUUGAAGCUGCAGAUUUAGGUAGUUUCAGUUGCCUUGUACUUGUCGUCGCCCGGCUGUAUACGAUACAAGCAUUUCCACUGGAAAUAUAAAGCAAUAUUUGUACAUUUAUAUAAAAGAUUCAAACUUUUUGGUUUAAUUUUUAUGUAUUUUUUCCUUGGUUUGAUUGAAUUGUGCCAGAGAGGAAAACCUAUAAACCCUUGACCAUACUUUCUUGUUCUUAUUUUUUUUGGCCAAAGUUUGAGGUAUCUCACACCUCGAAGGUACGACUAAUCCCUGGUGGGGUUUAGAAAGAUUGAAGUCAUUUCAGCCCACCCUUGAUCAUAGUCAAAUGACACACGUUCUCUCAAAGUUUUUUGAUAGUUGAGUUCCGUUUACUAAAAAUCAAGAAUCAGAUCGAUUGCCGGGAACUCGUUGAUCCAAUUCCCUUAUUCCUAUGUUUUCCGAUUCUGUACUUCUCUCAUUCAUGUUAUGUAAACAUGGUAGAAUGACAAAGUGAGGAUAGCGCUAUUUGAAAUAACAAGAAAAAACCGAACAUAGAAGCAUCCUUUAUUGUUCAAACUGUCAAUUCUGUACACAGAGGCAAACAAUUUAGUCUGCUUGGUGUUCUAAACAUGUGUGUGUGUGAUCUGUUGCCAUUCAACAAUCUGAUAUGGCCAACAAGGAUACAGGUUUUCGAUAAGUUAAAAAGUUUCGUAACUUAUUUCUUUCGCUUAACUCGCUCAACACCAAAGAGUUUUUAACCCUUUGCUGGCAAUGCCUAACAUUUGUAAAUCCCGUAGCUGUUUCAAAAUUUCGGAUUGAAUGUUCCAACUCGAAAAUGACGCCAGAAUGCCAAAGAAACAAAAUUCAGUAUGCACACACACGUACACAACUAAGAUGUCAUCUGUCGUAAGGAUAACUCUUCGGUGCAUGAGCUCAUACCUCAUCGACGCCAGGGGUCCCGGUGGAAAAGAAGUCUUCUGCUCUAUCGAUGAAGCUGAUAGGAAAUCUAGAGUGCAACAUCACGGAGGAAGUGUCCGAAACUGGAAGAUUAUCCUUCUCAGCCGUCUCUCCGGGACUCUUUGUUGCUUUGCUUUCUCUAUGGCUUUUCAUCUUGCCGCCAAUUCUCAAGCUGUUUCCUGAAGCACCACCCUUCACUGAAGAAAGCCUAGUGCUUAUGGUGCUCUUGGCAUUGUUGCGCCCGGAUCUUAGGGGAACACUAUCUGCUUGGGAAUUGUCCAAGUUUGAAUUGGAUUUAACUGACGGCAAGACAUUUCUACAAGAUCGUAACAAUGAGAGUAACAUAUCCGUACUGAUUUCCUGUUGAACAACACCCUUGUUCUGCUCACACCCAUAACAGGCACCAACCAGUGUACCAGCCAAGAUUGGCAUCAACUCAGGGUCACUGAAGAAUACAAACGGUAAAUCGCAUACCUGGCCACACACAGCUAAGGAAUUAGAUUUUACCAAUAAAAUUUGAAGAUACAAGAAAUUUGAAGGCAAAGACUUCACUGACCUUGUGAAUGAUGGUAGGACUCUUUCCCCAACGAAGGACAGCCUGAUUUCCGAGAUGGAACAAGGCAAAGUGGCCAAGGAGCAAAAGAGAUUCCAGCAGAAGAAACCCCACCUGAGACACAAAACAUCGUACAAAGGUGCAUGGAUUGUUUAGCUCAACUUUGAGCAAAUACAAGUAAAACAAACAAAUAUAAAGAAUUAAACCGAGAAGUGGCAUGGAUUUAUAACCUGAUCAUUAGCUGCUUUCCACUUGCUGGUGCAAUGCGAAAUAAGGAAACUCAUCAAGUGGAAAAAUUCCAUUUUCAGGUCUGGCCUAGCCUGCAAGAAAGUCACAAAGAGUAUAAGAAGGGUAAGCUCACCGCACGAUAGUUUCAGAAUGAAAAUUAAAAAAUGAGCAUACUAUCUAAAAAUCACAAUGAAAAAGAAAAAUGGCCUUACUAGCAUUCUCUGCAUGAAUUUAAGAUCCAAAAGAGCCAAAUUAUUCAACACCUUCAGUACUCCAGUUGCCACGUCUUCAAAAUUAGAGGGAAGGGCAUCUGAGGUCUGAAGUAGAAUAGAAAUCAUAUUAGGAUUCAGCAGAAUUAUAUGUCACGGGCAAGAUACCAUCAGUAAAAAGCACUGCAAACAGAUAAGCAUAGUCUUCCUUGAUCUGUCAACCCACCACAACUCUUUUUUUCACAGACACCAAACACAAACAUAACAUUUGGCACUCAAACAAGAUAAGAAAAGCACUAGCUAUUAAAAGAGGCCAAAAUGAUAAGAGUGCCAAUUUAUUUAUGUACUUUUUCUGAAAAAUACAAAGAAAUUGGAAGCACCAAGAAGUUACCUGUUCAGAAGCCAAUCUAUUGUUUGCCUGCAGUAGGACAGAUGUCAACAGAGAAGGGAGGCUGACAAGCCCAGUCUCUGAUACAGCAGAAAGAAGAAACACUACCGGUUGCUCUGCACUCACAAUGUUUUCAUUCUUUUGUUCUGCACCGUUAACUACCAAGGGUUUCUCAUCCUUUUGUGAUGCUAAAGGCUCCAUAAUAUCCACUACUGGAAUCUUCUGGGGUUCAUCUGGAACAUCUGUGCUGAUUGUGUUAGCAUUCCUGCCUUCUACCAAACUACUAGACUGCUCUUUCUCGCUAUCCUUAAUGAAGGAUACUGACUCAGCAGACUUAUUUAUCAGACAUGAUUCAUUUAAUGGACUUUCCUCGGGUACAUCUAGUAGAUGUACAGCUUUCCCACCACUGACGAAAGAGAAUGGAGGUCUAGAAUCUCCCAAGGACUGAGUGAUAGGAAGAAAUUCAAUGCUGUCACCCACCGCAAAUUUAGCCUCUUCGCAUCCAUUUCCUACCAUUGUUUCAAUAGGCACAGAUUCCCAAUCAAUAGAGCAAUUGAUUUCAGAUCUGGAUGUUAAAACGACCAACAAAUUUAUACUUAAGAGAAUUGAAGAUGGAAAUGGAGACCCUUCCACCUGGGGCCGAUCAUAAAGUGCAAAGAGAUCUCGCAGCCGUUGAAUAACUUGGUAAGCAAUCAACAGCUCAAGCAAGCCAUCCCGCAUUUGGAGCUGUCGUUCAUCUGAACUUAUAUGACUGAUGAUUGUUGUCACAGUCCAUAAAUAACCAUCCAGAACCUCAGACAUCGAUUCAAAAUUUUCAGCUGAGGUUUUGCUUGAUAGGGAAUUAACAUUAGCCGAAAGGUUCAAGGAUACUGCCAUCUUUAUGUAGCUCUCGAGGGCUGCUGCCAGCAUCGGGAUGAUAGGAGGUAAGAGAUUCUGUAUGAGAAAAUAACUCCUGUUUGCAGGCACUGAUAACACUACCCUCAAAAGCUUUAAAAGGUGUAUUGUCACUUGGCAGGCUUCAGGUUUUGAUGUAUGAGAAGCAGGUAAAGUAGAAGCUAUGAAAUCAAGCAAACCAGCUUGGCGGGAAGCCUGCAGUUCAGGCUCCUUUCCCUCCAAAUACUAUAUCCACAAAAAAGGAAAUCAGGAUCAGUGUAGAAGUCACCAUAACCAUUCCAAAGAGUAGAAACUUAAAAGCCAGUGUUCUGUCAUAUAACCAUAAGGCAUUUCCAAGCACACAGAUUGAUAAAAUAGUACAACAUAAUAAGCAACUUUUUUAGUGAGAAAAAAUACUCACUAAUCCCAUGUUAAAUGCAGAGUACCAAUUCAGGACAUUAGCAUCCCGUAUCUGGCUACACAGUAUAAAAACUUGUAAUUAUUGAACUUAAUUACCUUGAUCAUUUCAGCAAUUAUUAACCCAAUACUUGCAGCCCCUUCUUUUCUUGCCUGCCGGAGUGUUUUAAGUUCUUGAAGCCAUCUUCCAAUCUUUGCCCUUGCAGUUCCCACAGCCGUUCUGUAUCCAAUGCCAGCAUUUUCAGCACCAGCAGGAGGCUCGGGAAAAUCAUAUUUUAGAGCCAUAAGUCUUUGCCGAAUUCUUUUGAUUCUCCGCUUCAUUGAAUGCUGUGCUGUAACAUUGCUUGCCACAAUAGUAGAACCUCCUAAGCCUGAGAAGUUGGUCCCUUGAUACUCAUCACCAUUGUUGACCGAUGAAGAUCUUCCCUGACCCUCCUUGUUCAGAGUUCGGCGGAAUAAAGGCGAAGAUUGAUCCCUGAAAUCCAUAGAAGCUCUCUCUCGUAUCUGCUCCAGGUAAAACUUUCGGCGUUGCUCACUUUCACUAAGUCUCUCAGCCAAUUUCUGGGCCAGAAGUUCAGCCUCCUCCUGCUGAGCUUUGGCUCUUUCCUCCUUCCUACGAAGUUGUUCCAUGGCCCUUGCUUCACGGGCUGCACUUGAUGCUUUGCGUUCCUCUUCUCUUCUAACUAGAGCCUCUUCCUUUCUUUUCUGUGUCUCAGCAAGACGCUGCAACUUUUCAGCUUCGAUGAGUUUCCUCCGUUCUAAAACAGCUUCUUCUCUUGCCAUAUCCUCUUUCUGUUUAGUUCUUAUCACUUGAAGUUUUUCAGCUCUCCUCAACUCUGAAUCAUGAAGCUUCUGGCGCAAACUAAGUUUUUUAUUUUCUUCAUUUAAGGAAGUUAUGAAACGAACCUCAUUAACUUUACUGCUUUCAUCACCAGCUCUCUUUACAACUUGAGCCAGAAAAGCUUCGUGGCGAGACUCGCUGCGUUGAUGACGAGCAUAUAUUCCUUCACGUAACUUCAUGUUGCGAACAACGUGAAAUUCACUAGCUCGAUACACCUUUUCUGAAUUACGAUGAAGUUUUUGAGCUCUCUCAUUAUCUAGCUCACUUUUAAUUCUCAGAGCACGAGCAUGUUUUUCUUCUGCUUCUCUCUUCAGAUCGAGAGCAGUUUUCUUCUUCUUCUCAGGAGACAUUAGUUUAUAAUGCAGCAUACGUGCACGGUCAGCACUUUUCCUCCUCAUUCCAGGUGAACGUGAAACACGAGAAGAGACACGGGAAGGAGAGGAAAGUACGUCCUCCCAGUUCCUCUUCUCUUUCCAAGCAUCCAUAGAUUUCCAUGGAGCUGAGUUCCUCUUUUCUUUAUCUUUCUCAAAUAGAGGAAUUUCCUUUUUGGAUUGAUCCGUCAAUCUGGGGAAUUUUUCAACACCACCUUCUGUUGACAAUUUAUCUUUCUUAGGGAGCAGCCUCUCGGCUUCGGAUCCAAACUGUUUACUCUUAGUCUUUCCAGCAGCAGAACUAUCCCUAGGAGGCAGCCUAGAUGCAUUAACAACAGAGGAAGAUGCAUUAUGCGGGGCACGUGCACUUUGUACCAAGUUUGUUUGCUCGAACAGCUUGACUCAGUAUUGCCUUUUCCUCCAUUUAUGUCAGCUUCAGCAAGAUCCGAACCUCCAUUCUGCUUUCCUGACUUCUUUAUUGAAUCUUUAGUAUUAAAUUUCCCAUCAUUUAUGGCAGAUAACUUAUUCAGCUUAUCACCACAUCGGAGAUUUAGGUACUGAGGCCCCAAAAGUUUAUCAUCAGUAGUUGCACACAAGCUAGCUCUUUCUUGUUGAAUUUUCUUAAACGCCUCAAGAUGACGAUAGUAUUUCAGCUUUGUGUGCUGAAGUUGUCAUUCUUCUAACCUGCAUGCAGCAAUGACCAAACAGUUAUAUUAGAAGUUGAUUUGUCACAUUGUUAGAAGUAUAUGAGAGCCCGCUUACCUCCCAUGAGAGAGCAUGCGGCCUACGGUGGUCGCUCUUCAAGGUAAUGGGCACACCAUCAAUUAUCUGGGAUGACGACCUUUUUAUUUCCUCAAAGUCUUCCACUCUAGUGCUUAGAUCUCGAAAAUCAGAGGCAGCCUCUUCAAGAACAAGAAUUGCCUCUUUCAUCUGCUCUACAUCGCAUUCUAGUUCGCAAAGAAGAUAAAGUUCAUCCACAGCCCUGUUGAGAUUCUCAAAAAGAAAGCACCAAAGCCGCUGCCUAAACCUUUCUUUGCUUUCAUCUGUGUCACAUUCUCCAAGAGCACUCAUAUUUUGUGAGUUUGACAUAUCAUGUAUCAUACCACAUUGUGUACCCUCAUGGUCCUCAUCGGAGGCUGUGUAAGUAGACACCUCAGAAAUUCCAUGAUCCCUCUUUGGUGGAAUUAACCCUUUAUCUUCGGAAACAUGAACUUCAAUUGAAUCCCCAGUUAUCACUGAUACUUCAGGAAUUUCAUGGUCACCUACCUCAGGUAGAACAACAGGUGUCUGACAUUUCUCCACCGUCGCAGCCUCUUCACCAGCUAAAGGACUGGCACUUAAACCAUCAUCAGCUACUACUUCAACGUGUUCAGUAUCUAUAUCCUUGCAAUUCGAAGUACUGUUAUCAAGAUCAAGCCUUUUUUCAUUCAAAAUUGGCUCUUCAGUCUUUUCAGAAGAGAUUAUAUUCACCUCUUUACAUUUAUCUUCACAUAAUUGGUCCUUAGCAUCCACAGAUUCUGCAACCAAUGUGUUUUUUUGUAAAUUUGUAGAGGAAACAAACUUAUGACCAUUUCCAUGCUCACUCGAGACCACCAGAUUAUCAUCUCCGAUAGCACCAAACUUGAUUUUGGCACCGACAAGGUUAGCACAAGGGAGUGCCAAACCAUCGCCCUCGAGAUCCCCCCACUUGAUUUUAGCAACUACUUCAGAGUUAUCGUUUGCAGGGAUUUCUCAGCAUCUAUAGUUCCAUCAUCAGAAUUUGUAACAAAGGAAGGAGGUGGCUUAGGACAUCCAGUAUCUUGCUUAAUAACACAGAUAUCGUGAUAGGGAGCACCCGGUUUCUUUUCAUUUGGGACAGCAAUAGAAUUCGCAUCACUUCCCCGGCUAUAUACACCAUAAUUUCCCGGUGCCUUUGGAGGCUGGGAUCUGCGCUUGUCCCGAGAAUAACCACUGCUUUCACUUGUAGAGGUCCGACUACUCGAAUGGUUAGAAGCAUUUUUUCCAGAAAACCCCCCAACCCAACUCUGUAGAGAGAACUUUGAGCUACUUCUGUUUUUCUACACAGGACACAAACAAGUUAAAAACCAAAAUUCCAAAACACGUCAGUGACACCGGAAUUGAUCGAUAACUAUCCGGAAAAAAACAUAUAAAAUCUGCAACAUUUCGGUUGAUAUCUAUCUACCAGUAGAGCGAAAAUGUCACAUCACAUACGAACAAAAACGCAAUCGAUUUCAUUGCUCCAAUUUCCACUUACAGAGAUAAAAUCUGAGAAAUAAAAUCUUGAUAUGCAAAGAUAAACUUGGUAAAUGGUAAUUACUAAUUAGAGCAAACAGUUUCUGGGUUUCAUGCAUUUCAACGACUAUAAUCCAAAGAUAAUUGCUUUUAACCAAUUAAUUAUCAGAAACAAAUACAAUAAUCAAAAUCCAUCAAAAUCUGCAACAUUCCAUUGAUUGAAGAAAAAUGAGCAAACAGUCUGCACCUUUUUCACUUCGAACCAUCCAGAGCCCUCAUCAUCUGCUGCUUCUCCACUGUUCUCCAUUUCCCAAUUGAUCAAAUCCCAAUUAAAUUCAUCCCCAAAUCAAAGAAAAGGAUUUAAUUCAAAGAAAAAUUUGGGAAAGUUUGGAACUUUGAUUGUUUUGUUUGAUGAGACAAUUUGGGAAAGUGAUUUUCGGUAGUGUAAAGGGAGAUGACAGCUCAGACGGAACAGAAACUCUGGGGAAAUGGAAUUUAGAAGGAAAUUGGGAAUGUGGAAUUUUGACUUUUGUGUUGGAGAGAUUGGCGAGUUUGAAUAAAAGAUUUUUUUUUUUAUAUAUAGUUUUUUGGUUUGGGGAAGGGAGGGAAGAAGAAGAAGAGUGAGAUGAGAGUCGGUGAGGGAGAGAGAGCACUUGUGCAAACAAGUUAAUUUACUGGUUUGCCCAUGGAGUACAAAUGUACAAUUGUGUUUGUUCCAAUUUUUAUGUUCGACUCUAGCCAGCGAAGUUGAACCAUAUUAUUACGACAUAUGCAUUAUAAGACUUAGCUUAUUCGUCACUGUAGUUUAUAAUCCAUUUGCUUAACAAUUCAAAUAUGGAUUUGAGGUAAUUUAAUCCAAUAAUGAUUUGAUUUGACAUAGCAUACCAAAAUACACAUAAGGAAUUAGUAGAAUUCUAAAACUACGAAACCAACUGGUUUCACACCGGAGGAACAACAUCAGGAGCAAUGACCUCAACAAUUUGAAAGAUAUCUUGAGAAAAUGUUUUAGCACUGGUGUAUCCUAUAUGUACUCUAGUUUAUUCAAAGUAUCUCAAUGGUGUAACGACGUCGACUUAUUGGGAAAAAUGAGGAAAAUCACUUUGAUCUCGGAGAAAUAAGUAAUUUGAACUGCUGACCAUUAAUAAUUGGUAAAACUUUGGAUUUGCCUAUUAAUAACCAGUUGGAUUGGAUUAUCCGAUGUAUAGAUGAUAAUAUCUACUGAACUUUCUUUAAUUAGUAACAUCAGGUGGUGUCGUAUUAUUAGCAUUUUAGGUGUCAUACGUGUUCUACAUUAGCACACUAACAUAGUCCUUGACAAAAUUAGACAACGUGUAUAACAUUGAAGCGUAGUGCAUCCAGAUCGGUUUCCAAUGUGAGCAUAGGAACAUCAGGGUUCUAAAUCCAACAUAAUCAACUGAAUCAUGUUCAAGAAGUAGGACAAAAACAUUCAUAAUUUACUCUGUGAAUUCACUGAAUUGUAUAGUAAUUAAUGCAUCCUCUCUUUAAAUGAAACCCAGAAAAGACAUGUUAAAAGUACUGCAUGCAAUGUGUUUGAUGUAUUCGGUCUCCACCGAAUUACCCAAAAUUUGCAUUGACGAAUGUAUUACGUAGUUCAAAGGCAGCAAAACCUCCAUCUUCAGCCUCUCCCACCUUCUGAUUGAUCUGAUUCCGGCGGAAGAAACCUCCUCGCAACGCUUUCGCGCAGAAAACUGGCGCGGACAUGGUGGUCGUCCUCAUAGUGUUUGGGAGAGAAUGCAACACUCUCCAGCCUCAGUUACGAAAUGCUCAACAUCCUCGUCUUCAUCAUCGUCAACAGGCUCAUCUGUGAAAUCAGAUGACUUCAAUUUGCAACUUGUUCUGCUGCAUUUUUUUCGAUACCAGACUUCAACAGCUCCACAAAAACAUCCACAACCUGGUCGUGUGACAGCCUAUAUCACCCUCGUACCUCUCAGAUGAUCAGUAUCACAUGCAUAAAAAAUAAAAAUAAAAUAAAAACUUAAAAAUCCAGUUGGGGUGUUCAUCUCUAGGAGAUUAACUUGAAAGUCAUUUCAUAGUAUUCGUUACUGGUAGUGUUCAUAUUUCAUCAGUAUUAUAUGUGAGGCGUUUGAGCAUUGCGAGGACCUUUCCCCCUAGAACGAGAGGAUGGGAAUGACGCACCUCUGGUGUACCAGUUAUCGUGAAAAGUAAAAACUUUAAAUUUCCAUUAGCUACUUGAUCAUCCAUACAAAAUACUUAAACCCAGUGUAAGCCAUCAUUUUAUUUUAUAUUAUUUUUCAAUGGAAAAAAUAUUUCACAACUCACAAGCUUAUACGUAGUGAAGAUUCAACACAGAAUACUCUAGCUUAUAAAGGAUACGUUUUAGUUAAUGGAAAGAUUACAAAAAGGGGUGUGUCAAAAAUAAGAAAAGUAUGUGAGAAGUAGUAAAAAAAUAUGUGUGGAUAUCACACCCCUCAUUAAGGGAAGAGAGAGUUCGGCUAAGCCACACAAUUGACAAUCUAAUUUGGUAUCUAAUUUGCCAUCCAUGAGAUUAGAAUCUAAGAUCUCUCACUUCCAAGUGAAGAGGAAUACCACCAGACCGUAGUACUGAAUGACAAUUUUCUUGGACGUAUUAUAUUUAAAUGUGCAUUUUAAUCAAUUCAACUGACUAGUACUUACGAAUUUAGCAUGAACUUAAACGAACUUAGAAAUAUAGUUACGGGAUUACACUUGAAAAUUAAUAUUGAAUGAACAUAGAAUAAUGAAUAUUAUCACCACUUAAAAGAAAAAUCUUUGCAGUGGACAAUGACCAUUAAUCCAAUUUGGCCUAUUUGUAUGGGUUUUCUAACAAUAAUUAAUAACAGUAGUAUUCCGCCUAGUUUUGCACCUAAUAAUAUCCACAAUAAAGACUAUGGCUGCUUUCCAAAAUGUCAAACCAAAAACCAAACUAAAGUUUCGGUUAUUUAAAAAAUGGAACCGAAAUUUUUGGUAUAUCGAAAAAUUGGAUUCAGCUUUGUUUGUUAGGCCAUUUUUUUGGACUCUCUCAAUUUAAGUCCAUAUUUAAGUGGCUUUGACUGCCAAAAUUUAGUGUAAUUUUAGGUUAGUUGAGGCCUGAGUGCCAAAUUUUUAUGUAACUUCAAAAUUUAAAUGGCAUAAUAAAUAAGAUAAGUUCGAGUUGAAACUUGAAAUAGAAUGUAGCUUGGAAUUACAAAGAGAUUACACGAGUUACACAUAAUCUUAACUUUUCACAAUUACAUAUAUGAACAAGAAGCGCAAAAAAAGUAAAGUGCGUUUAAGAUUCAUUUUAGAACAAACAAAUGUAUUUUCUAACAAUUAAGAGCAUUUGUGGCUAUUUUGCCGUGUAUAAGCUUUUUUAAAAAAGCAGUACAUGCCAAUUACUUCAUUAGGAAGCACUUGUGAAUUUUUAAUUAAAAAACAGUUUCACUACAAGCACUUAUGAACAAAAAUGCUUUUUAAGAGAAUCAACACCAAACGAACUCCCUAACUUUGGUCAAACCACGGUCAAAAUCAUAAAAUACUAAAAACUUAAAAACAUUCCCUAAAACAAAAGCAAAAACCUUUUAGGAAAUGCAUCCUCUUCGGAUCCCAUUCUCCUAAUCCAUUAAAUUUGGAAAUCUGGAUUGUUAAAAUUUGAUCAAACGACUACAAAUAGGAGCCUAUUUUAAAAUUUAUAAUAACUUUAGCCGUUUGAUCAAAUUUAAACAACUCGAAUUUCCGAACUUAAUAGAUUAGGAGGAAGGAAUAUGGAAAGGAUCCCUACACAAACCUUUAUUCUAGGAGAACAUUUGGUGUUGGCAUCACUUUACAUAUGAGUAAAGAUAAAGCCUCUCGAAAAUAAAGAAAACAAAAAUCAAGCUUUAUUAUAUUAAGCGGAAUCCAUUUUAUGAAUUCUAAAUCGACAUUGCGUUCAGUUUUGUAUCAAAUCUUUCUUUUAACUUCAAAUACUAUGUACCUUUUCCUGAAGUCUUUUUCAAAACCUUCGUAGAUCUCGUUUUACCACUUUUGACUUAAGCCUCUAUCUCUCAAAGAUGAAAGUAAAAUAAUUCAACUUAAAAAACCUACCCUCCAGAAUAUCUGCUAAUAAACAAAAGAUAAGUUCAAACGACAAGAAUUGUCUGCCCUUCCACUUUCGGUACUCUUCUAUGUCUUCCUGUUUGUAUGGUCACGGUUAAGCCACAUCAACAUUUUAUAUUAUUAUUUGUUUUUGUCUUAUUAUCUCUAUAAAAAAACAAUAUAAAAUAUUAAUGUGACUUAACUAUGACCACACAAAAUAAAAAAGUACGGAGGACAUCAGAAAUGAGAGCACAAUCAUUGUCCAAGCUCAACAGCCUCAACAGAGUGAAGGGAAUAUCUGCUAAUAAAAUUUGCACGCAAAUCCAACCAAAAGCUCUCACUUUCACCUCUAAUUAAGAAUUAAUAAAUAUGAUUAUACUCUGUAAGAUCUUAACCUUUCCUCUAAUUAUUGUACUUAACUCUUAAUCUACUCCCAUCAAAUCAUCUGUCUUUUCCUUGUCUUUUUGUCGACAGUACACCGCAUCAGUGUGCCAUGGCCUCACAUGAUAUGAACAGUUCAUAUGCACCUCAAUCUAAAACUUUGGCAGACCCAUCUCACAUAACGCAGUUUCUCUGUCUUUGAAUCGCCCGGCAAUGCCAACAACUCCGAUUGGGGACUGAGAAAGCUGGUUUGAUUAGCUGAAAAGCAUUCAAGGAUUGAUGUGCAUUUGCUUUGAGCUCGAGCUUCAUCAAUGGCGCGUUGUUGAUGGUAAAUUUUCAAUCUUUGAGCUUGGUUUUGACAUGGGUUUGAUUUGUUUUGAUCAUAUGUUAUCUGGGUUGGUUCGUUUUAGUUCUUCACAUACUGAUUUGUCCUUGAAUCUGAAGUCUCCAAGGAAAAUCUGCUUUUGUUUGUGAUAAUUCUCAAUUGGGUUGUGUAUACUCUUGAAUUUUGUUGGUGAAAUGCCCUUCUUCUUCAUAUGUGUGUGUGUGCGCGCGUUAUCCAUUCAUUUCUCUUCACCUAAUGCAACUUCAAAUGUUUGUGCCUUGCUGUUACAGCAGGUAACGACAUUAAUCCGAAUAAAAGUUCAUUUAUGGCAAUGCCACCAUUGUAAAGCAUAUAUAUAUAUAUAUGCUAUCCGGCAUCCCCAGUUUGGAUUGGCUUAGUUCUUUGGUAGUGUUCUGAUUCUCAAAUAUAUGUAUAUACUCAAGAAUUUGGAAUUUCCGGUGAUCUAAUUAUCACGGGAUCUUCCUCCGGAAAUCUUUACUCAAGAAAUUACUUUCGUGUCCGAAAGAUGAUGCCUUUCUUUCUCUUGCAGUUUUUCAAUGAUACAUUUUUGCUUACACUGAUUUUUCUAUGCUCUAUAGAAGCUGAGAAUCAUGUCCUUUAGGAAUAUGUCAAGUGGCACGACACACUAUCUGCUAUGCUUCUCAUUCAAAGGUUUAUCUUUCUCCUGUUGCAGUUAAUUUGAAUUGACUGAGUUGGUGGCGGGACUGCUGCAACUGAAGUUCCAAUGGAAUUCCGUCUCUCCUUGGUCCUCUUUCUGGUUUCUCUCCCUGCAAUUUUAGCUCAAGACUUUGGAAAGGCUGAUAAUGUUGAAAAUGUUAAGGUUGUGGUUAACGGCAUUUUAUCUGUUGCGCGAGUUGACAAUAACUUUGUCUGUGCCACUAUAGAUUGGUGGAAUAAUGAAAAGUGCAACUACGGCCACUGUCCAUGGGGACAUUCUUCCGCGUUAAAUUUGGUAACGACUUAGAUAUUACCUCUGUAUGCGUUUGAUUUUUUUCUCUAUAUGUAAAAUUGUAAGUAAAGAACUUAAUGUGGUUUCCUUUUGUCCAGAACUUGUCUCAUCCUUUGCUAGCCAAGUCAAUCCAAGGUUUGUCUGUUUGUGUUAAUUAGUUCGCAUCCUUUACAGAAUACUAGUUCUGAAUCAGACUUUCAUGUCAUUUAGAACAGAUGAAUUAGAGUCUUCUAGUUUUAUUUGUUAGAAUAACAUUUUAUUAAAUUACUCUUUUAUACUGGUGGUUUGAUAGCUUUCGAUCAGUUGAGAAUCAGAAUUGGAGGUUCCUUGGAAGACCAACUAUUGUACGAUGUUGGAAAUUUGAAAUAUCCUUGCCAUCCUUUCAGAAAGCUGGAGAAUGGCUUGUUUGGAUUUUCUAGAGGAUGUUUAAAUAUGAGUAGAUGGGAUGAGUUGAACCAGUUUUUCAGCAAAACAAAGUAAGAUUCUAGACUUCUAGUUAUCAAUUUUCCACCCCGACCAGCCAAAUAUUUGAAGACAAGUAAGAAAAGCCGGGGUCUUCUUCCGUGCUGACUUGUGGUUUGACCUAUGAUUUUUGUCUUGCAUUUUUUAGGUCCAUCGUCACAUUUAGCUUGAAUGCACUGUUGGGGAGGCACCACAAAGGCGGGGGAGUUUGGGUAGGAGAAUGGGACUCUAGCAACGCUUAUGAUUUUAUUAAUUAUACCGUCUCGAAGAGAUACGAGAUAGAUUCAUGGGAAUUUGGUAUGGAACUAUAGAAAAACCUCGUUUUCUUCCCCAUCUUUCCGUUUUGCUUCACUGAGUUUUUGUUUAUGUUGCUGUAGGAAAUGAGCUCAGUGGUCGUGGUGUUGGAGCUAGUGUUGGAGCUGGACAAUAUGGUAGAGAUUUGAUCAAGCUUAAACACAUCAUCAACCAUUUGUACAAUGAGUCCGUUGCUAAACCUGCACUUAUGGCGCCUGGAGGAUUCUUUGACCAAUCAUGGUUUGCCAGGCUUCUUCAGGUUUCUGGUUCUGGCACAGUCGAUAUCAUCUCUCAGCAUAUCUACAAUCUGGGUGCAGGUAACUUAGCAUGUUAAAGUUUUAAUAAAUGUGCAGUUUAUAAUUACAUAAUACGUGCUUAGAAUGUAUUUAAUUCGAUUGUCAGGUGUUGAUCCCAAGUUGGUGAAAAAAAUAUUGAAUCCCUAUUACUUGAAUCGUGCAUACGGGCUGUUCCAUGAUCUUGAACUGACUGUGAAAAGGAACGGUCCUUGGGCUUCUAUAUGGGUUGGAGAAUCUGGAGGGGCCUAUAACAGUGGUGGUCGUAAUGUGUCUGACACAUUUGUGAACAGCUUUUGGUAAUAAUCUUGAUUGCCACAUUACUUGCAACAUCGUGUCUUUUCCAUUGCGAGCUUUUGGUCGCAGAAGAGGAGCUAUUCACCUUUGGUGUCUGUAAUUUUGUUUAAUCAACUAACCUCAAUUACGAACUUUAGGUACUUGGAUCAGCUCGGAAUGUCAGCAAAGCACAAUACCAGAGUAUAUUGCAGGCAGUCUCUAGUUGGUGGGAACUACGGUCUUCUCAACAAAACAUCAUUUGUUCCUAACCCUGAUUACUACAGGUAAAGCAUAGGCACGGGCGUAUUUAAGAAGGAUUUUCUUUUACUUGAUAUAAAGGGGUCCUGAAUUUUGUUUUAUCCGAUUUGUUAUUCUGACUAGUGCACUUCUCUGGCAUCGGCUUAUGGGACAAGGAGUUCUUAGUGCUCACAACAACGGUUCAGCAGAUUUACGCACUUAUGCCCAUUGUACAAGAGGAAGAGUAAGUCCAAGAAACAUUUCAACCUUUACGUAACAAGUCAAUACAUUGAUCUUUCUCUUAGUAGUUCAUGAUAAUUUUUCGGUAUUGUUGCAGGCCGGUAUAACUCUACUCCUCAUCAACUUGAGCAAUGAGACUAAUUUCUUUACCAAUGUUGAAAAUAUUUUGGACGCCGAUUUGGGUGCUCACGCAAGAAACAUCAGCAAAGAAAGUUAUUUCAAGCGCGGCCUGAAGAGAACGGUGUCAUGGGUAGGACGCAAAGCAUUAGAUGAAGCAAUUUGCAGAGAAGAGUACCAUUUGACACCGAAAGAUGGGGACCUCAGAAGCAAAACCAUGGUUCUCAACGGAGCGCCAUUGGAGAUCACCAAGGACGGAAACAUCCCAGAAUUGGAACCCGCUCGUGUUGACAUGAAAGCUCCAUUAACAAUCGCCCCGUUGUCCAUCAAGUUUGUGGUGUUACCUUACUUCGAUGCGCAAGCUUGUCUAUGAUUUUAGUGUGCUCAAACCCAACCAUGACUUACGUUUAUUUGUUAGGUACACAAAAAGUUGCAGGAAUUUUUUAGGCAAAUGGAAAUUGUAAUUUCUGUGCAAUAAAACAAGGCAAAUAAGUACUUUUGUAACAAGUGAUGUUGUAAUCUUUUCUAUUAAAUUGAAGAGUUUAUAAUAAGUUACUUGCGUUUAUACUGUUUUUUUUUAAUGAUGCGGUAUCAUAAUACUCUAAUCUAGUGGAAUUUGGACGUAGGUGCAAAAGGUCCAUGCAUUGUUUUAGCCAACUAACUUAAUUGACCGAAACUACUUUAAUUGACCGAAAAGAAAAUUCGAACUUGAAUGCAAGCGAGACGCACUGACAUAACCAACUACCCGCUAACCCACAAUUGGACAGAGUAAUAUUUUCCAAAUAUUUUUAAAAUAAGCGAAGGGCUUGUAAGGCUAGUAUUUAUUCAUGAGAAAUAAAUUAGAAACAACAAAAGAAAGGAUUUUUAUCACAAAUCAUUCUUGAAAUUGAGUCACCCCAUCAAGAUGGUCUUAAAAUUGAAAAUCGAUAAAUGCAAUCUUUGAAAAUAGAUGUCGCGAAUCAAUGUGGUCUAUCUAUCACUUCUGUCAAAAAUUCUGUUUUAUAAUAAAACGACAUGUUGUUCACUUUAGAAUAGAUCUCCCUCUCUCCAAUGGCGUCGCCUCCAACAAAAGUGGAGAUGCUGGGGCUGUUCCGGUCUCCACUCCGUACGGCAAGGCAGUUCUCCGACUACAACGUCAGAGAGUACACCAGCGCCGCACCGCCAACGCCUUCCGCCACCACAAGUCCCUUUCCGAGCCGUCUCACCUCUCUUCAGCCUUUUGCGACGGCUAGGGCCAGCUGGACGUCGCUAAAGGGCAAGAACUCGUGUCCAAGCUCAACGCCCCGAAGAUGACCAGCAUCAUGGACCUCAAACUCAAACCCAUCAAUUGAAAACUAUUCAUAACAAUCACGCACUGUCACGUGUUUUUCAUUUAUAAUUAGCUUGAGAUGCGGUUACGGUUUUCCUUCAGAAAUUAUUUUCUUCCAUUGCGAGUUUGCAAAGCUCAUUACUUUGUGUAGCUCUGGAAUCAUAUGCAGAGAGCAACUUACAAGGAAAAGGUAUCGUUUUAUCAAUUUAUCCUUCCAAUUCAUGAUCGACGAACGAAGUUUUAUACAAAAUCCAGAUCAAUAAAUGGGGAAAAAUAACGAGGGCUACGGGAGGGAGACGCAAAAACAAUCCGGUCCGUCCAGGCAACCAUCUACAACCCUGCAUUCUACUUUCCGAGCAAGCGACGACCACGUUGAUUUGCAUCUCUAACACGGCCAUUUAUCACAUCAACAUCAUCGUAGACACCGUCUAGAGCUUUGUUAUGCCUGCAAUUAUCAUGCGAGUACCUAGUUACAUAUAAUUCUAAGUUGCCUCUAAAAAGACUCGGGCUGGAUGAGCAAAUAAAGGUAUAGAAAAAAUAUACAUAUCGAGGCAACCCUGCAUAUCGGAAACAUCAUAACUUACCUUUCAAUUUCAGACCCCAUAUCGACGGCCAUAUCCUUCAGCUCUCCCAACAGAUCACUUAAAUCGGACAAUCCAUCAUCUUGCUUCGCCUUCUCAACCUGUUUAAGCCGAAAAAGUUAGACAUCCAAAAGUUUUGAGCAAGAACAAAGCAUUUCUUAUGCCAAGCAGACAAAACCAGUUAAUAUCCUUUAUUGUUCUCUACAGUUACAAUUAUUGGUAAGAAGUUAAUAACAAAUACAAACCUCGACUUUCUGAAGGGCGCUGGUUGGUCCAUCAGGUAGUGUUCGGGGAUUAGAUCUUCCCUUGGGUGCUGGAGUCAGUCCUAACUUCUCCCUCUCCUCCUGGCUGCCCCUUCUUACUGCGUGAUCUGCAUUUAACAAUUUUUGGAAUGAAAUUUUACCAUUUUCCAAUGCAAACUGACGACUUUAUUACAUUUUCCAAGGGAAAACAAAGAUG